rnacentral:lncRNA from 1 species
AGAGCUUGCUCAUCUUAAACCUGUCACAAAAUGCAUUGCAAGCUCCAAAUUGGUCCCAUUUCUCUCCCAUGCCUUUUUUGCGCAUCCUCAACCUCAGUCACAAUCCUCUUUCGUCGAAAUUCCCAAAUUUUAUAUCCAAUUCUCAUAGCCUGACUCACCUUAGCCUUAAUUAUAACGAGUUUACUGGUGAUUUAGUAAGUGAAUCAAUAUUUGCCAAUCUGCAUAAUCUUCAAGUCCUCAGUCUUGUUGGCAAUUCUUUUGAGGGGUCAUUUCCGCCAGAUAUAUUCAAGCUUUCCAAAUUAAAACAUCUUAGCCUGUCACGUAACAAAUUCUCAGGUUCAAUUCCCAAUGACAUAAGGUUGCUUUGUGAUCUUGAAUACCUAUAUUUAGGCAACAAUUCCUUUGAAGGACCGCUUCCACCAAAUAUAUUCAAGCUUUCAAAAUUAAAACAUCUUUUUCUUUGGGGUAAUAAGUUUUCAGGUUCUGUUUCCAAUGAUAUAGGUUUGCUUUCUGAGCUUGAAACCCUCGAUCUUCGCUCUAAUUUUUUUGAGGGGACACUUCCGCCAAAUUUAUUCAAGCUCUCCAAACUAAAGAUUCUUUCCCUUUAUGAGAACAACUUUUCAGGUUUUAUUUCUAAGGAUAUAGGUUUGCUUUCUGAGCUUGAAAGCCUCGAUCUUGGCUCUAAUUUUUUUGAGGGGCCGCUUCCCCCACAUAUAUUUAGGCUCUCCAAAUUAAGAGAUCUGGGUCUCUCAGACAAUAGAAAUUUAUUUGAAGGAAGUAUUCCUAUUGGACUGGGACUCUUGACUAACCUCAUGUUCUUAGAUCUAUAUUCCAGUAAUCUCAGUGGCUAUAUUCCAUCUGAAAUUGGAAACCUGAAGCUACUAGUACUUCUUGAUCUCCGUUCUAAUCAAUUUACUGGACCGCUUUCAAAGAUCAUUUCUAAUCUCACAAAUCUUAUAUUUCUUGAUGUAAGUUAUAAUAGUCUUAGUGGAAAUAUUCAGAGUGACUUGUGGAUAUAUAACGAUCAUCCAACUUUGGAAUUCAUCAAUUUAGGUGGGAACCAUUUUACAGGUAUGUUUUCUCUAUAUAUCUUUUCCUUUGGUCAUAUUAACUAAGCUUGUAACCAAAGUUUCAACAAUCUUGACAGGUGAGCUUCCAACAACAAUUUGCAAUGUCACUUCCCUUUCGGUUCUUGAUUUGUCAAAUAAUGAAUUAAGUGGUGCACUUCCAAACUGUUUGGGGAAUCUUGCUGAUGGAUUGCUUUUCAUUAAUCUUGCUAAUAAUCAGUUUCGAGGAACAGUACCAACUACUUUCUCCAGGAGUUGUCAGCUGACAUAUCUAAACAUGGAUAAUAAUGAGUUUGAAGGAUUGUUGCCCCCGUCUUUGGAAAACUGUAAGCACUUGAGAAUUCUUGAUAUGGGCAACAAUAAAAUAGGUGGUACAUUUCCGUCAUGGCUUUAUGUACUUGGAGAGCUAGAAGUCCUUGUCUUGCGAUCAAAUAAACUCUAUGGUACAAUAAGUGCAAGGAGCAUAGAAGAUCCCUUCCCCAAGUUGCGGAUUGUGGAUCUAUCCAAUAAUCAAUUCACGGGCCAUUUGCCAAUUCAAUACUUUAAGAAUAUGAAAUCAACUGAUAAUUUGUAUAGUUAUGAGAAUGACAGAGGAAUAUAUUAUGCAUAUGAUGAAGCAGCAGUCCCAUUAACUGUGAAGGGAACAGAGUAUGAAGUAAGAAAUAAUCUUCAUAUUUACACAAUCAUUGAUCUGUCCUGCAACAAAUUUCUGGGAGAAAUUCCAAAGGUUACUGGAGAGCUUAUAUGGCUUGCAUUGCUCAACUUAUCUCAUAAUAGUCUAACAGGACCUAUCCCAUCAUUGCUGAGAAAUAUGAAAGAACUCCAAUCUUUAGAUUUGUCUUCAAAUCAACUGACAGGGGCUAUUCCACCUCAGUUAACUGCAUUGACAUAUCUAGAGGUCUUGAACCUCUCGGGAAACCAUCUUAGUGGAGAGAUUCCUCAGAAAGGACAGUUCAGCACAUUCAACAAUGAUUCUUAUCUAGGAAACUCCGCGUUAUGUGGAUCACCAUUGACGAAGAAAUGUGCAAACACAGCAUCACCUCCACAAGAAGUCGGAAAUGUUGAUGAAGAUGAUGCGGGUGAUGAAUUGACAUGGGAAGCAAUCUUGAUGGGAUAUGGAUGUGGACUAAUAUGUGGAUUGUCAUCCGCGUACAUUGUUCUCAAACUAGGAAAGCCUUGGUGGUUUGUGAGAUAUAUCGAAGUGCUGCAACUGAAGUUGAUGAAAAGAUAUGCAUGAAGAAUGGUACUGGCCAAUCAAGACCAACUUGAAAGUUGUUGGACAUUUCUGAACCAGUAGUGUACUAUUCUCUUUGUGGCUGCAUAAGUUUUUGGUAUUGUGUAAUAUUCUGUUUGGUCUUGAAUUUCAGGGGUAUUAAUAUAAACCUUGGUAUUGUGUAAUAUUCUGUUUGAUCAAUGUUUAUAUCAAUAAUUUUAUGCUACUCACGUACUGCAUCAUGCAGCUCUCAUAUUAUCUUCAUAUGUGUAUUAUUUGGAUAUCAAAGUUGCAGGGACAUAUGGAUAUGUGUUAACAGGGACCGCUCCCAAGUAGGGGUGAGCAAAAUCGAACCGGAACCGAAAAAUCGAACCGAACUGCGUAAAUUCAGUUCGGUUCGGUCCUAAUUUUCUGAAAAUUCGAUCCAUUCGGUCAGGACCGAAUACACCGAAAUAAAGUUCGGUCCGGUUCGAUCCGUAAAAAAAUAUUUCGGUCCGGACCGAAUAGACCGAACAGUCCAAAAUAUAUAUAAUUUAUAUUUAUAUUUAUAUUAUAUAUAUCUUAAAUGUUAUAAUUAUAAUAUCUAAUUUGUAAAUUUAAUUAUGAAAAAUGAUAUAAAAUUAUGUGUUAUAUCUUAUAUAUAUAUAUAGAGGGUUACUCCAGUGAGAACUUCUUAAAAUGAGAACCGUGAGAACUUCUUUAAUUUAUCAUAUUUUGAUUAAUCUAAACAUCAAACUAGUGGGUAUCCAAUAUAAAAAGUGUAUAUAAAACUAGUCUCUCCCUAACUAGUCAAAAAAAAAAUUCAAAAAAAAAUUUUAAAAAAAGAAAGUCCACUGCCACGUCAUCAGUGAUUUUUUUUAUUUUUUUUUUAAUUUUUUUUUUCGGCUAGCUAGGUGGAGAUCUUAAUUAUAUACAUUUUUUGUGAAGGUGCCCCUGGCGGGGCCCUUCAUAUAUGUACUUUUCAUAAAUUAUAAAUUAUUGUUUUAAAUAUAUCGAAAUGAUUUCUAUAGAAAUUUAAAUUGUAUGUUUAAAUAAUUUUUUUGAGUGACUUAUGAGUUAUAAAAAGGAUGAUAAUAAAAAUAAAUUUGAUAUGUUAUUUAUACGAGUAAUGAAAUUGAUUUUUGUUAAAAUUUAUAAUGAUGGAAUAAGUUAUUCAGAAAAAUAAAUCUUAUUUAUUUAGAGAUGACAUAUUUUAAUUUUAGAUCAAUUUUUUUCUCACUAAAAAAUUAUUUUAAAAUCAAAAAUAAAUUAAAUGUCUUCGCAUUUAUGCAAACAUGCUCUAAAUUAUGCGCAAUAUUAGCAAUCAGUGACUGAUACACGUGCUGAACCUUCCGAAGAUUUCUGGUCAAAAAUAUCCGUGACCCUUUGAGGAAUACAGGAAUAAUCACACAGCUGGCUUACCAUCUGCACCCAAUUAAUACGGACAACAGUACAUUUAUUAGACUAGAUUUUCAAAAUUUUCAAUAAUAGUAUUAUAUUAUUAUCGGUUUUUCUAGUGAAUGCUCAUGGGCACACACUAAACACCAAAUUUUAUAAAUUUGGUGGUUUUUGAUUGACUCAUGCUUGUUUAUAAUGGUAGAGCCUCCUCAAAUUCACCGACCACACCAAUUAAAAUCCACCAAAAUUAUAGAAUUUGGUACUUAGCAUGUGCUCAUGGCACACACUACAUAAACCCUAUUAUUAUACCUAUUUGAAUUUUUAAAUGAGGGCAUAUAGAAUUUAGAUAUUUAUUUAAAAUUUGUAGUUCGAUUUAGGACCUUAAAUGAAUAUAUUUGAAAUCUCCAAACUUGUAUUAAUAUUUACUUGUGUUUGACUAUAAUAAAAGUUUAUAUUAUAUAUAUAUUAGAUACCUAACACUCCAUGGCAUACGCUCUUAUAUGAAGUUUCAUAGUAUAUCACUGUGCAUAAUAUAUCUAUUAUAUUUUUUAUGAAAUAGAAUUACAAAUUUUUAUUAUUAAAUCGAAAACGAAGUUAUAUAAUUUUUUUAUUCCAAAAGUCAUAUAAAAUUAUCUCAACAUGAUUUUAUAACAGAAUAAUAAUCAUCCAGAAUUAUUUUAAUGUGGAAUCAAUACGUAAAUAAACUUUUUUCUUCAAAUUUUAAGUGUUAAAUUACUUAUAAUAGAUAUAUGUUAUAGUAUUAUAUAUUAGAAUCAUGUUUUAUAUGUAUUCUAUAAUAGAAUUUGUACUAAAUUUGAUGAUUUAUAAUGGUGUACUAUGUAAAUCCAUAUAAUAACUACCUCCGUCCAAUGUUAACCUAUAUACAUAUAUAGGAAUAGGAUCAAAUAAUAUUUUUAAGUUACAAAGUUACAAACUUUUUUUUUGAAUUUUUUUAUUCUCCUAUCGUGUUUAAUCCUUAGUUAUAGAAGUAUCCAUGUUGAAAAUUAUUGAAAAAAUCACAAUUUUUAAAAAUAACGCAUAAAUAAAUCGUGCAUUUAACACAUCUAUAACUGUGGUUCAACAUCGGGUGUAGAACACUAAUUAUCAUUGUAUUGAAUAUAACCAUAAAUAUAUUUAAACUAUGUCUUUGGAGUUUGGGUAGGGUCUAGAAAUAUAAAUAUUAGUUAUAUAAUACGUUUAACUUAGUUCUUAUACUGAAAAAUUAGUUUUUGUAUUUCUCCAACACAAUCGAUGUUUAACAAAAUAUGUUAAAAAAUGUUGAACUCAAAUUAUAUAUAUGAUGAACGCAUAAAAUUUGUAAGUUUGUAAGACUCUUCAAUUAUUUAGGUUUUGGUUGCAUAGGAAGAUAGAAUGAGAAAAGGUUUCACAUUCAAUAUUUUAAAUAACGGUUUUUCUCGUGAGUGCCCAUGAGCACAUGUUAAGCACUGAGAUUCAUAAGUUUGGGUGAUUUUGAUUGGCUACUACUUCUUUAUAAUGGUGGAUCCCCCUACAAAUUCACCAACCACACCAAUCAAAAUCUACCAAACUUAUAAAAUUUGGUGUUUAAGAUGACGUUUGAAUGAGUUUAAAAUUAUGACUUUAUUUAAGAUGAUUUAGGAAACGUUUGAGUGAGGUUAAAAUAAGUGUUUCUUGAUUAAGGUAAAAAAAUGAAAUAGAAGUUAAAAACAAGUUAAGACUUAUAAGUGAUUAAAGUGUUUAGAAAAGAGGUAAAAGCUAGAAUUUGUAACUUUUAAAAAGUGUUUUUGUAUUUUUACACAAACAGGUCAAGAAAAACAGAAGCAAGACUUCUUAGAACGAAAGCACUUCUUUUGCUUGGCCAAACAAGCACUUAAUAUAAUAAUAUGUAAGUUAAAACUAAUUUGUGAUUAAAAAAAAAUAAAACAAUCUGCGAGUUAAAACUGACUGAUUGAAAAUUUUUGACUUAUUAAUAAUUUAUGAGUUGUUAAAAAUAUAAUAAUGAAAAUAAAAGUGAUUUAUGGAUAAUUUAUAACUUAUGAGUAACUGCUAUUAAAAAAAUUAAUUUUCAAAAUUUGUUGACAUAUUUGAUAAUUUUCUAUCAGUUAUGUUUUGUACUUAAUUCUGUUUUUAGAAAUAACAAUUUCAUGAAAACGACCAAUCAGACAGGCACUUGCCAAACUUCUGGUGACCAUAAUUCUUAUCUUAUCAUAUAGUAGUAUUUUAAAAUUAUUCGGAAAUAGAUAAAUUUAAUUGUUUGUAGUUGACAGGAAUAACACAGUUCAAGUCGCAUCAAAGAAAGAAAAGAAUUAAAUGCAUUUCAUUUCGAAUCACUUGUCGGCAUUCUUUUCUUCUGGUAUGCAAAUAAUUUAAUUUACUUUUCACAAAUAAAUAUAAAAACAAAUGCGCACCUACUUAUUAGCGGCCUGCACUGUAGAGUUCAACCGUACUGCAAAGUGGUCCAAGUUUGUUUGUUUAAAUCGUAAAUAUGUUAAAAUUAUGGGGCCAAACUGGUCUAGUCACUUAAUAAAUUAAAAUUAAAAUUUUAAAAAUAAAUAAAAUUUAUGAAUUUCGAUACUAUAAGUACUAAUUCAGUUUUAAUAUAAAAUAAAUUGUAAAAUUAACGUAUCAAGAUUUAAUUAUUUUCUUUCUCAAGAUAUUUGGUAAAAUCUUGGAUUCAUGUUUUCACCGAAAAAGCUCCGCUGAAAAGUACGGUUACAAUAUGAAUAUAUCUCGAUAUUUUAAACUUCAUUUCACUUAAUCUAAAAAUAAUAAUUAUAAGAAAAUUUAAUUAUUGAAUCCUUAACACAAAGUUUAACUACCGAAAAAAAGGCUUAUUAUAAAGGCGUUCUAUUUGGGAGGAAUCUUGUCAUUUUAAAGGCCCAACGCAAUAACCGUAACCAGGCCUUAACUAAGCCCAGUUGUAAUACCUUUAUAUUCUUAGUAGCAAGCAGUGUUGUAAAAAGCGGGAAUCGGACAUCGGUGAAGUUACGGAACAAGGAUUAAUCGAGGAUUAAUUGAAUUGAUCAGGGAUUAAUCGGAUUGAUCGGUGAUUAAUCGGAGAUUUAAUCAGUUCGGCGAGCUACGAAACAAGGAUUAAUCAGUGAUUAAUCGUGAUUAAUCACCGAAUUUUGGAACAGAGGUAGCAAGUAGCAAAUACUUGGCGGGUUUUGAAAUAUUAGUUUUAUUAAAAAAUUAUACUAAAAAAACCCUAUAAACAAUUGAGAUACCACCACGGAAACAACCCAUUGGUCAAAGGCCACCGGUCCACCAGUCCGGAGAUCUUCUUCCAACUGUGUUUAACCAAACAAACCAAUGCUUAAUUAAAUGCCGUUCACACGUUAAUAAAUUAUUAUGAUGCUGAGUCUAUGAUAUUACUGGCAUGAAAACACAGUUUCGUUUUAGAUAAUAUGAGUAUGAUAAUAUUUAUAUAUUGUGUGUGAUCAUAUUCUUUAAAGUAUGAAUUCUAUUUUUUUAAUUCUUUAAUAAAAUAUGUGGAUAUGAAAUGUAAUAUUUGUAACCUAAUUAACAUUAAAUAAUAAUAAAAUAUUGAUAAAUAAAAUAACAAUAAAUUUAAUACUAAUAUCAAAAUCAAUCCAGUUAUUGUACAUAUUACAAGAAUAAAACUUUUUAACUCCAUCAUCAAAAUACAUAAUAAUAAUGUGUAUUUAAAUAUUUAUUGUUAAAUAUAAUCAGUAUUGAACAGAUUAUCUAUAAACAAAUAAAAAAAAUUAAGGUUACAUUAGUUUUAAAUUUUAGAUUUUGAAUAUAAUAGUAAGUCAAUUGUCACAUUUCUAAAUUACACAUAUAAUAGAGCAUAACAGUUAAACAAACUUAUUAUUCUACUAUUUGAUCAAUGGUCAAUUGACCAACUAACUGGAAUAACUAUAGUAAUAAUAAUUGAAUUAUUAGAUUUCAGUCAAUGUACUUAUAAUCUUAUGUUAAGUUGUUUCAUACAGUCGGUUGUUUUAAUAACUAGAUUUGCUAAGAAAACAGAUCAAAGGGGAGCUGUAUGAUUAAGGUCAACUAAUCCAAAUGAUUAAACAUCAUUUCCGGUCUAUAACUUGUCUAAUCCUUAAGACCAAAUCUGGCUUUGAGUUUGUGUAGAUAGACUCUGAAGUUCCUGCAAGAAAUCUGAGAAAUCUGGUCAUGCUGACCCAAGAUUUUCAUUUACGUCAUAUUAAAAACUUUUUAAUAUUCUUAAAUUAUUCUCCUAUAAACAGUGUUGUAAAAAGCGGGAAUCGGACUUAAUCGGUAAAGUCACGGAACAAGGAUUAAUCGGGGAUUAAUUGAAUUGAUCGGUGAUUAAUCGGAGAUUUAAUCAGUUCGGCGAACUACGCAACAGAGAUUAAUCGGUGAUUAAUCGUGAUUAAUCAGCGAUUUUUAGAACAGAGCCUAUAAACAGAAGUGUGCAUUGUAGUUUAAACGCAGUAUCUAGCAUCAAUUUUCAUGUUAAGUGCAAGCAUGACAUACUUUAAAAACCCCUGUUAUCACCUUCUAUCUGUUGUAUUUUUUCUCCUGCUAUUUCCAUCGAUCCCCGCGACAAGAGAAGAAGGAGAAGCUCUAGUGAACUGGAAGAACAGCCUAUCCCCGUCCUCGUUCUUCGAAUCUUGGUCCUCAGCCAAUCUCAACAAUCUUUGUAACUGGACUGGCAUUACCUGCAACUCCGAGGCCUCAGUAUCUGAAAUCAACCUUUCGGAAAAACAACUCCAAGGAACGCUUGCUGAGUUCCGCUUCAAUUUGUUACCAAGUCUAAAAACUUUUACCAUCAGCCGUAACAACUUCACUGGUCCAAUUCCAUCAGAUAUUGGAAAUUCAACUGAGCUUCAAUACGUCGAUUUUAGCUUUAAUUUUCUCAAUGGUUCUAUACCAUAUCAGGUUAGUCAUCUUCAGAGGUUGCGCGCCUUAGACCUGUCAUAUAAUCUCCUGGAAUCUCCAAAUUGGUCCGAGUUUUCGCCCAUUCCUUCCUUGACUAAACUUUAUCUCAGAUCAAAUAAUCUUGCCUCCAAAUUUCCAGGAUUUAUAUCCAGUUGUCAGAGCCUGACAUAUCUUGAUCUUUCACAUAACUUCAUAACAGGCGAUCUCGCGCAAGAAUCAUUAUUUGACAAACUGAUACAUCUUGAAUCCUUCUCUAUUCGUAAUAAUUCUAUUGAGGGGCCGUUUCCACCAAGUAUAUUUCCUCUUUCCAAAUUACGAUUUCUUGACCUAUCAAGAAAUAACUUUUCAGGUUCUAUUCCCCGGAAUAUAGGAUUGCUUCGUGAUCUUGAAUAUCUCAGCUUAUUUUUUAAUUCAUUCGAAGGAAGCAUACCUUCAUCUAUUGGUCUACUUAGGAAGCUUCAAUUACUAGAUAUCGGAUAUAAUUAUUUAAAUUCCUGUAUUCCUCGUGAAAUCGGGCUUUUGACUAAUCUCAGCGAAUUAUAUCUCAAUGUCAAUAGUCUUACUGGCAAAAUUCCUUCUGAGCUCGGCCUCUUGACUAAGCUCAACUAUAUAAUUCUUUUUUCCAAUAAUCUGACCGGAGAUAUUCCAUCUGAAAUCGGAAACCUGAAGCUACUGACUCGGCUUCUCCUCGGGUCUAAUCAUUUGACUGGAUCGGUUGCAAACUCCAUUUCUAAUCUCAGUAAUCUAGAGUUUCUUGGUCUACCUAAUAACAGAUUUUCUGGAAAUAUUCCUAGUGACUUCUGGAAAAAAUAUAAAUCGUUAUUAUACAUCGACUCCAGGAACAACAAUUUGUCAGGAAGCAUUCAGGGAUUUGAUGCUAAUCUGAAUCUUACUUUCAUUAAUCUGAGCGGAAACCAUCUUACAGGUAUACUUUUUCACCUUAUUUUACUCCCUCCACUUUGAAAUAUACUUCGUUUGACUUUUUGGCACACGUUUCCAAGUCCUUUGACCUUAUUAUUAAGAUAAUUAUUUUUAAAGUAUUAUAUUUUUGAAUUAUUAUAUGGUCGUGUCAAAAAAUCAAACUACAUGUAUUUCAAAACAGAGGGAGUACUUUAUUUGAACGCUAAUGAAUCGGUUAGAAAUUGACUAAAGUUUCUACAUUUUAACAGGUGAGAUUCCUGCAACUAUUUGCAAUGUCACAUCCCUUGAGAUUCUUGAUCUCUCGGACAAUGGAUUAAGCGGUGCACUUCCACGUUGUCUGGGAAAGCUUGCUGAUAAUCUGCAUACCAUGGUUCUUGGUAAUAAUCAGCUUCAAGGGACAAUACCAGCAACCUUCACCAAGAGCUGUCACCUAGCAGUUUUAAACACGGAAAGCAAUCACUUUGAAGGAACGCUGCCCCAAGCUUUAUCAAACUGCAAGGACUUAAAAAUUCUUAAUAUGGGAAACAACCACAUUGGAGGUAUAUUUCCGUCAUGGCUAAGUACUCUUGCACAGCUAGAAGUCCUUGUCUUUCGAUCAAAUAGACUUCACGGUGAAGUAAGUAUAGGUAAUACAACACGUCCCUUCCUUAAGUUGCGAAUUGUGGAUCUCUCUAACAAUGAAUUCACUGGCCAUUUGCCUAUUCAGUAUUUUUAUAAUAUGAGGCCGAGUAAUAAGGGAUAUGAUUAUGUCAUUACAAAAGAGAAUUUCGAGUACUUUUACCAAGCAUCAGUCUCACUAAGUGUAAAAGGGACAGAGUAUGAAGUGAAACAAAUCCUUUAUAUUUACACAGCCAUUGAUCUGUCGCGCAACAAAUUUCAAGGGGAAAUUCCAGAGGUCACUGGAGAGCUUAGAUCGCUUGCGUUGCUAAAUCUAUCUCAUAAUAGUCUUACAGGGCCUAUCCCGUCAUUGUUGGGGAAUAUGGAAGCACUCCAGUCUUUAGAUUUGUCAUCAAACCAAUUGACAGGUGCUAUACCUGAGCAGUUAACUACUUUGACAUUUAUUGGGGCCUUGAACCUUUCAGAAAACCAUCUUACUGGAGAAAUCCCUCAAAAAGGACAGUUCAGUACUUUUGGCAACGAUUCAUACUUGGGUAACCCGGCCUUAUGCGGACUUCCUUUAACAAAGAAAUGUAGGCACACGUUGCCACCAACACAAGAAAUCCUAAAUGGUGAUGAAGAUGAUGCUAAUGAUGAACUCAGUUGGGAGGUGAUCCUGAUAGGGUAUGCAUGUGGAUUGAUAUGCGGAUUAUCUUUUGGGUACAUUGUUUUCACCAUGGGAAAGCCUUGGUGGUUUGUGAGAUACGUCGAAGAACUGCAACAGAAGUUGAUGAGGACACACAUGAAGAAAAUUAUUCGAUCAAGAAGCACAACUUGAUAAAAUGUUGUCUUGGGAUAACCUGAUUUCUGAAUUAGUAGACUAUUAUGCACAUAUAUGUAGUUCAUUAUUAUAUUAUUUUAUGCCAAUUGCAGAGUAGUCUGGUUCUCAUAACAAAUUUAGUCUUGUUUCACUGUUUAUUAAAACUACAUGCCAUGUUUCUGUAGGAGUGAAUACAAUUAUGUUAACUUAAGCAUGACAGGCAGGAACCGAUCUGCAGAAAUGACGUUAAUUGAUACAAUUGGAACCUGCAAGUUAUAUGCAGAAAGCACGCGGUGCCUCCCAAAUUCCAGAGACCUACAACUUCACAUAAAUGUCGUUCACAGCACUUAAUGAUCACUUGUUUGUAGUAACUAACACGUCUUCCGUCUACAAUGUAAAUGAUAGUGGAAGGUACUGAUUUCCACUUUCUUAGCAACACACUAACAACAGUGACGGAUCUAGAACUUUGAAAUUUCAUUGUUUUUUUUGGUUGAACAAGUAACUUACUAGAAUUUAAUUUAAUCAUAGCUACCAUAUGAAAAUCAAUAAUAUUGUUGACUCCUCUGCUUAACUAUGACUCCUGUGCAUGCCAAUCUCCAAAUACACAAAAAUGUUAUUUACUAAGAGAAGUUUGUUGAUAGCUAAAGGAUAUAGUCUCCGGGAAAAAAAUCCACUGACCAACUUAAUACACAGCUCAGCAGUUUAUGAGCAAGGGUCUGAGUCUUGGCUACCUGGAAAUGAAUUGAAAAAAUAGAAGUUAAUGCAUAGUUUUCUUGAAGUGUGAAGACUUGUUUUGUGAGUUGGUCCUCCAUAUUAGAAAUUAAAGUUUUUUUCAACAAAAAUCCGGUGGAACAUAUCAUUUUCCACUAUACCUUUUAUUUUCAGUUUCUUGCCAUCGAAGAGCACUAAUUCCAUCGGCAGUGAUUUGGAAGAACAGGUCUCUUGCCACUCCAAUUCCUAAGAAAAUUUAGCACAUAAAUAGAAGUGUGCCUUGCACUAUGAGAUGUACAAUGUGACAGGAAACAUGUUGCACUUCCCAAAGCCUAAUUAUCACCUCAUUGUGCUUGUUUUCUUUCUACUAUUGCUUCCAUCUACCCUCACAACAGUAUCUACGACAAGAGAAGGAGAAGCUCUGUUAAAAUGGAAGAACAGUCUACCACCAUCCUCUUCCCUAAAUUCUUGGUCACCCGUCAAUCUCAAUAAUUUGUGUAACUGGACUGGCAUUAUCUGUAACUCUGCAGGUUCAGUCUCAGAAAUAAACCUUUCACUAAAACAACUUAGUGGAACGCUUGCCAAUUUCAGUUUCACUUCAUUUCCAAAUCUUAAUAGUCUUGACAUUAGUGGCAACAACUUCACAGGUCCAAUACUACCUGCCAUUGAAAAGUUCACGCAGCUUCAGCAUCUUGAUUUUAGCUUUAACAAGCUCAAUGGUAUCAUUCCAAACCAAAUUUGGCAUCUUCAGAGAUUGCGCACCUUAGACCUGUCAGUUAAUCACUUGGAAGCUUCAGACUGGUCUAGUUCUUUCUCCAUGCCUUUUCUGACCAACCUCGACCUUAGUUUCAAUAAACUUGGGGCAAAAUUCCCAGGCGUUACAUCCAAUUUUUGUAACCUAACAUAUCAAUUAUUUCCUGAGUCAUUAGUUAACAAUCUGCAUAAUCUGGAAGUCCUUUCUCUUCAUCACAAUUCUCUCGAUGGGCCAUUUCCACCAAGCAUAUUCAAGCUUUCCAAAUUAAGAUAUCUCUCCCUAUCAAGUAAUCAUUUUUCAGGUUCUAUUCCGGAUGAUAUAGGGAUGCUUGGUGAUCUUGAAUCCCUUUAUCUGGGUCACAAUUCUUUUGAGGGGCCCUUCCCACCAAUUUUUUUCAAAUUUUCCAAACUAAUAAAUCUGUCCUUAUCAGGGAAUAUUUUUUCAGGUUCUGUUCCAGGUGAUAUAAGGAUGCUUAGUGAUCUGGAAUACCUUGAUCUUAGUCGGAAUUUUUUUGAGGGGCCUUUUCCACCAAAUAUAUUCAAGCUUUCCAAAUUAAAAGUUCUUGACCUAUCAAGAAACAAUUUUUCAGGUUCUAUUUCAGAUGAUAUACGGAUGCUUCAUAGACUUGAGUUGCUCCAUCUCGAGUACAACUCUUUUCAGGGACCCUUUCCACCAAAUAUAUUGAAGCUUCCGAAUUUAAGAGUACUUGACCUAGCAGACAAUGACUUUUCAGGUUUUAUUCCCAGUGAUGUAAACAUGCUUCAUGAUCUGAAAAUACUUUCAUUGUUUUCUAAUUCAUUUGAAGGAAGUAUUCCUUCUUCUAUAAGUCUACUCAGGGAGCUACGAUACCUUCACCUCGGGUCUAAUUAUCUCAAUUCCACUAUUCCUUUUGAGCUGGGGCUCUUGACAAACCUUGACCGAUUAUAUCUUGAUUCCAAUAAUCUUACUGGCAAUAUCCCACCUGACAUAGGAAACUUGAAACUACUGAGAGUACCAAGUCUUGAUUCUAAUCAACUCACUGGACCGCUUCCAAAGACCAUUUCUAAUCUCACUAAACUAGGGUUUCUUAACCUGAAAGAUAAUAAGUUUUCCGGCAAUAUCCCAAGUGACUUCUGGAAAACUUCUACAUCCUUAUAUUCCAUUGAUUUUUCCGACAACAACUUGUCUGGAAACAUUCCCAAGGAAUUUGAUGUUCACCCAAUUUUGGAAUGCAUCAAUUUAAGUGGAAACCAUUUUACAGGUCUGUUCUUUUCCUUAUUUUUCCUUUUUGUCUACAACUAUGCAGGUAAUCAGAUUAGUGAAUAUUGACUGAAGCUCCUCUGUUUAUACCAGGUAUGAUUCCCACAACAAUUUGCAACGCCACAUCCCUUCGGGUUCUUGUUCUGUCAAAUAAUGGAUUAAGUGGCACACUUCCAAAUUGUUUGCGAAAUCUUGCUGAUAAACUGCUUUCUAUUGAUCUUGGUAAUAAUCAAUUUCAAGGAAGAAUGCCAACCUUCUCCGAGGGAUGUCAGCUGACAUAUCUGAACAUGUACAACAAUUACUUUGACGGAGUGUUGCCUCAAUCUUUUGCUAACUGCAAGCAGUUAAAAGUUCUUGAUAUAGAAAACAACAAAAUAAGUGGUACAUUUCCCUCAUGGCUAUUUACUCUUGCAGAGCUAGAACUCCUUGUCUUGCGGUCGAAUAGACUUUAUGGUACAGUAAGUUUAAGAAGCACAACAGAUCCCUUUCCCAAGUUGCGCAUCAUGGAUCUCUCAAACAAUGACUUCACAGGCUAUUUGCCAAUUCAAUAUUUCAAAAAUAUGAAGCCGGUUGAUAAGGGGUAUGAUUAUCAUAAUUUCACAGCACCAUUUUAUUACUACUAUCAAGCAUCUAUCUCGUUAACUGUGAAAGGGACUGAGUACCAAGUGAGCAAGAUUCUUCAUAUUUACACAGCCAUUGAUCUGUCAUGCAACAAAUUUCAAGGAGAAGUCCCAAAGGUUAUCGGAGAACUUAAAUGGCUUGCAUUGCUCAACUUAUCUCAUAAUAGUCUUACCGGACCUAUCCCAUCACAGCUCGGAAAUAUGAAAGCACUCCAAUCUCUGGAUUUGUCUUCAAAUCAAUUCACAGGGGCUAUCCCAUACCCGUUAAUUGGUUUGACAUUUCUAGAGGUCCUGAACCUCUCAUAUAACCAUCUCACCGGAGAAAUUCCCCAAAAAGGACAACUGAGCACGUUCACUAAUGAUUCUUACCUAGGUAAUCUUGCCUUGUGUGGAUCUCCUUUAACAGAGAAAUGUGCACACGAAGAGUCACCACCACAAGAAGUCGGAUAUGAUGAAGAUGGUGCAGAUAAUAAAUUCCAAUGGAAAGUAGUCCUAAUGGGAUAUGUUAUCGGAUUAGUAUGUGGAUUGUCUUCAGGUUACAUUUUUCUCACAACUGGAAAGCCUUGGUGGUUUUUGAGAUACAUCGAACAACUGCAGCAAAAGUUGAUCAGAAGAAUCACGUAGAGUACUGUUUGAUUAAGAUGAGCAACUUGAAAAGAAUGUUUACUAGACCAGUGGUAUGUCGGGAACAUUAAUGUGUGGUGUCAUAUAAUAUUUGAAAUGCUAAUGUCAGCACUAGUUCUAGUUCGGGCCUGAUACCAGGGGCGGAUCUAGGAAGAGGCACGCGGGGACACGUGUCCCCCCUAAAUUUUCUUUUUACAUUUUUUCACCAUUAUAAAGUUUACAAAAUUAUAAAAGUGCCCCCAAAGAAUUUAAAAAUAUAUAGGUAUUUUCCGAAAAUUUGCUUCGUGCCCCCUAACAUUUGUGGGCUAGAUCCGCCCCUGCCUGAUACUGAUUUACUCGUCUCAGAGCUACAUAUUUCGUUCAAUGUUAAUGCAAAAGGAAAAAAACAUACUACACACUAAAUCAACUUUGUAUCAAGUCGAGUUUUGGAGAUGCCAUUAUCAAAAGAAAAACACGGUGAAUGAUAUUUAUUAAGAACACGACUUGAACCAUAAGUGCAUGAAAAUCGUCUUUCAAAGUAUGGCAGGGGGGUGAAUCGUGCACACCAUGGAUAGUCACCUGAAAGCUAACCAUUCUGAGGUUCGUGGAAGCUGAUUUCAUACUCUUNCUGAAAGCUAACCAUUCUGAGGUUCGUGGAAGCUGAUUUCAUACUCUUGAAAGCUAUCUUUAGGAGGUCGAAACUUUAAUUUGUGUUACAUAACAUUUCAUUAUGCAAGACGGAUGGUUUCAGGGAAACUGUACUAGAGAGCAAGUACCAAAUAGUAAGGUAAACUUUCGAUGAUGAAAUUCCUCCCUGAUUUUUACAUCAUUCCAUGUUUUAGACUUGACAGAACAAUCGGGCGAAUGUUCUGGUCAAUUUUUUCAUGGUUGGGCCAAAAGAAUUAUAGUACAAAUGGGUGAGAAAGUGAGAAAGUUAAUUUUAGCGAUCGCUUUUCAUUAUUUAUAAUGACGAUCAAUUUUAUCUGAUUACUUUUAAUUUUAUCUUUUAUGCUUAUUUUUUUUUUUUUGUAUGGUCUACAUAAUCGUAGAUGAAUUGUAUCGAAAUACAAUAAACCGCAACCGAGAUUUCUUUCUUUCAAGAAAGUUUAUUAUCUAACCGAAAGCCAUGCAAUCAUAACUCCGGACGUUUAGACAAUAAAAUUUAAAUGAAUGAGAAAAGAAUACCCAUACAGCUCGCUUCCACAGUAUCCUGAGAAAAAACAAUCAAACAAAAUAUAAAUUAAUAUACAAGAAAAUCUAAUAAAAACAAAAACAAAAGAGUUUAUAUAUAAAAAAAAUAGAGAGGAAAUAUAUAUAUAUAUAUAUAUAGGGUCAAGUUCGAGAUAGAACCACAUUAUACUUAGAACUUAGACCCUAUAAAUUACCAUUAGAUAUAAAUAGGAUGUGUGGUUAAGAUUAUCAUUGGUAUUAAUCACAUGUUAUAUAUUUAGGUGACAUUUAUAUGUAUGCACAUUUAAUAAAUGAGAGUUAAUAACCAGAUUUAUUACUUUCCAUGAUUAAUACAAAUCUCAAUUAAAUUUUAUGUAUAUAAAUCAGUAUAACAAAAUUAAAUAUAUCAAAUAUUUUGUUUUCAUACAUAACAAAUUUGUGUGAUUUAAUUCUAUAUGUGUAAAUGUAUAACAAAUUUACGUGAUACUGUUGCAGCACUUGUACUAAUAUAAAAGAUGGUGUUAUAAUGCAAUAUUUUUCUAAAAAGAUGGAAAUACUGCUAUAGUACAUCAAAUAUCAUACUUAUAUUAUUUAAUAAUUAUACCGAUACUAUUGCAAUACAUAGUUUUUUUUAAAAAAAAAUAAAUAUAAAAGUACUGCUAUAGUACAUCAAAUACUAAUAUAAAAGAUGGUGUUAUAAUGCAAUAUUUUUCUAAAAAAUAGAAAAUACUGCUAUAGUAUGUCAAAUANNNNNNNNNNNNNNNNNNNNNNNNNNNNNNNNNNNNNNNNNNNNNNNNNNNNNNNNNNNNNNNNNNNNNNNNNNNNNNNNNNNNNNNNNNNNNNNNNNNNNNNNNNNNNNNNNNNNNNNNNNNNNNNNNNNNNNNNNNNNNNNNNNNNNNNNNNNNNNNNNNNNNNNNNNNNNNNNNNNNNNNNNNNNNNNACUAAAUAUUCAUAAAUAAUAUUUAUUCAAUCACAAUUUAAAACGUAACCAAUACAAUUAAAAUUAAUAAAGAUAAAUAAUGAACAGCCAAUAAGAGAGAUCCCGUAAUUAAAGUCAGUCCAAAUUAAAAUUCAAUUAUUGCCUAAAAAUCAAACAAUCAUGAUAAAUUAUGAAUUCAUAAAAUUUAAAAUUUAAACCUUAAGAAGAUAAAUAAAGACCAUCAUAAAUGUUAUUAAAUAUUCAUAAAGAAUAUUUAUCAAGAUAUAUUCCUUUCCAAAAUUAACCGAAAAAAUUGAAUACUUGCAUUUUAAAAAAUUUGCACAUAAAUAUACAAACAAAUAUAAUAUAUAAAAGCAACGCCAUAAUUCAAAAUAAAUUGAUAUCGAAACACUCAACAAUAUUACAUGCACCUAAAAACAUGUUAAAAAACUAAAAAGAUUAAUCUAGAAGAUCAAAUCACACACUUAACAAACACAUACAAUCAAGAAUACCUAUCGAAAAUCUAUAUCGAGAAUCUAUAACAGACCUAAUUUCAAAUCGAUAUUCCGGUCAACCAUCACAAAUCCGGCUAAGAUAAAACAUGUCAGAAAAAGGGGGAAAAAUGGAUACAUAACUCGACUUGAUCUACAAAACUAAUCAAACAAAAUUCUAAAACAGAUACGAAUCCAUGAUUUCAAUCAACUCAAAAUUCUAUACACCUUAAAAUUAGAAGAGGAAAAGCAUAAAAUGAUUUCUAUGAUAUAGAUAUGUUAUCGUAAUUCAUAAGUUAUACAAAACAUAAAGAACAAGCAAAGAACACAUAACAAGCAUUUAUUUUGGAUCAUAACAAUAUAAUCAAAAGAAGAUGAAAGAAGCGUACCUUUUCAAAGAGACGGAGAUAUUUUGAAAAACUAUAAAAUUGAGAGAAUAAACAUACCGAAUCCGAAAAUAAAAUCCAUAAAUUGUCACGAGCAAAAUCAUCUUUUGAUCCAUCAAAAUCUUUUAAAUAUUACAUCACCUUGUUUUCUUUGGUCGCUCGGUACCUUCUUUCUUAUCUUUUAUGCUUAUUAAAAACACAGAAGAUCGUGUAAACAAAAUUAAUACAAAACGUACUUAUUCAUAGAAUAUGAUUUACUUCACUUAACUGCGCUUAAUUAUUUGAAAGGAAAGAAUACAACACAAAAUUAAAUAUAUAAGAUCUGUUAAUUUUGGAAAUGAGAAUUUUUUUAACAUAAUCAUUGAUAACAUAUUUUUCCAACUUAUUUAUAUCUGCCAGAAUUAAAUAAAAUAUGCCUCAAUAGGUUAUCAUUCUUAAUGUGAAACUGCAAAAUUAUAUAUAUUUUCAUUUAUGCCAUAUUCUUAGACAAAAAUUAAAAACAAAAUAAUGAUCCUGAUCAGCUUUAAAGGGUGUAAAACAAGUGUAAAAUAAGUAAAGUAAUUUAACUUUCACUUAUAUUAUUAAGACAAAAGUAAGCGGAAAUAAACAUAAUUUCAAUAGAUUUAACUUACUCUCCAGAAUCGAUAAGUUUGGAACACGUUGAUUGAGCACAAGACGAAGGCCACACAUGCGCAUCGUCUGAUGCAGCUAUGGUGCCUUUACAGUUGCUCAUACAUAUAGUGAAACAAUAAGGAUCAACUCCUCCAUUGUGCGUACACAUUUUCUAUCCUUAUUUUCAUACAAUAAGGAUAGAGUCUUUGCAAUCUCGUCAUGACCAGCUAUACAUCCGAUCAUGAUAAACUCUAGCAGGAUCAUCCAAGUAAUAAUUUUCAUAAUGAUAUUAAUUAUCAUUGUGAAUAGUUGCAUUGAGUUAUGUAUGUGUGUGUAUAUAUAUGCAAUGGAUUUUGUGGUUGAGAAUAUCUAUUAGAUUUUGUAUAUCCAUAACAAUUAUUAAAAUUUGAACAAUAAUAUCCAUUAUUGGUUGUGGUUGACUAUUGUAGUAGUCCAAGAAGUCUAUGCAAGUGAAAUCUAUAUUAUAUUUAAAAAGAUUAUACAUGAAAUACAAAAGGUUUUUUUAGGACUGCUGUUAAAAAUUGUUAUGUUGUACGAAAAAAUGCUGAUAAAAAAAGUGUUAUACGAAAAUUUAAAUGCUGAUAAAAAAAAUGUUGUAGAAAUCAGACAUGACAGCUUCCCACAAAAGCUGAAAAAACAAUUUUCCGUAAUAAUAUGGGAGGAGAAAAACUGUUUAUAGAUUUAUAGAACAAUUUUUCACAUAUUUUUUGAUAAAAAGCUGUUGUUGUCUUCAAGCUGAGUAAUGCCAAACAGUUCCGAAAUCAUUUUGCAGGUAGUUAAUCUCACUUCCAUAUAAUAUACUCCUAUAUAUUACCGAAAAAACAUGAAAUGAUGCAAAUCUCAUACUAUUGACAACAGGUAAACUCCUUGCAAUACUUUGAGCUGCAAAAUCCAUCAAAUUUGUUGAUAUAUCAAUGUAACUGUUUGACAGAGUACUUCCAAGCUAAGUAUCAAAAAUCACUACCUUACGAAAUAUAUCUCACCCUACCUUCUCUGCUUAACUGUUUCGAGUACUUUUACCAAGCAUAUUUUCCAUUAAGGUGAAAGGCACAGAAUAAUUAAGGAUCACCUAUCCCAUCAGUGCCGGGGAAUAUGGAACCAUCUUAUCAGUUAACUAGUUUAACAUUUCUCGCGGUCUUGAACCUCUCAGAAAACCAUCUUAUACUCAUGUGCGGACUUCCUUUGACGAAGAAAUGGUGAUGCUGAUGCUAAUGAUAAUGAACUCAACUGGGGAGUGAUCCUUAUGGGAUACGGAUGUGGAUUGAUAUGCGGAUUUUCUUUGGGGUUUAUAUUUUGUGGUUUGUGAGAUACAUUGAAGUACUGCAGCUGGAGUUGAUCAUUAUAAAGAACAUAGGCAAGUUAAUCGCUUAUUGAAAUUAGUAAUUGUCAAAAGUAAAAUGUUGAAAUUACUUUUUCCGAAUGAAAUCAUCGGCAAAAAGUCUCUGUCGAAUUUGAUCUGCCAAAAUUAUGUUUAAUAUCUACGGCCAAGAUUAUCUGUCGAAAAUAUUUCCCGACAAUUUUAAAAGACAAAUUUGUCGCGUCUCAGUUGUGAGCAGGAAUAGAUAUUUUCGACAGAAUUCCACUGAAAUUAGCUAAUUUCAACAUAAAUUUUCUAUCGAAAUUACUCGGGUUUUUUGUAGCGUAUCUGAUAGCCUUUGGGGACUGGGGUAUAUUGUUUUCACAAAGCCCUGGUGAUUUGUGAGAUGCAUCGAAGGACCGCAACUGAAGUCGAUAAGAACAUGCAGAAAGAAAACUGAUCCAUCUUGAUAAACUUGAAAAAUGUUGUCAUAUGGUGAUAUAUACUCCCUGGCCCCAGUCUCUUGGAAAGAACUUAGUUGAUUUUUUUUUUUCAGUAUCCAUCCCUAAUAGUUGCAGCAAAUUAAAAAAUAUAGUUAUAUCUUUUUAGCAAUGGUGCAAUUUGGAAAGCUUUCUCAUCAUCUUCUUCUUUUCUUUAUCUCAUUACUCUCAUUUAAUUCCACUGUCCUGCAACAAUUCGCCAAGGAGAAGCUCUAGUUGAAUGGAAGAACAGCCUAUCCCUGAAUUCGUUUCUUGGUUCUUGGUCACUAAUUAAUCUCACUUAUCUUUGUAAUUAAGUGGACUGGCAUUGUAUGCAACUCUCUGCAGGUUCAGUCAGUCAGAUUAAUCUUCAAGAACUCACAGGAACACUUGCUAACCUCGGUUUCUUUUCGUUUUCAAAUCUCACCAAUAUCAACAUUACACAUAACAACUUCACUGGUCCAAUACCACCCGAGAUUGGAAAUUUACGACGGAACAAUGUGUCAUAAGUUUCAGUUUUCCUCCAAAACUUACGACGGAUGUUCAUACAUAACUUCUGUCGCAAGUUCAACUUUUUUCAAAAGGAAAACCAGGACCCACAACAGACAUGCGAUAGAAACUUCCGUCGUAAGGUAGUUAACAUACGACGGACCGAGCAUCGUAAGAUAAAAUUUAUCCAGACAAGGAUCUGGGCCCCACAACAUACUUGCGACGGAAAGUUCCGUCGUAAAUUCUGUAACUUACGACGGUUUUAAUACUUACGACGCAUGUUUGGAAUUGUGAUGUAUUUUGCAACUUUCGACUUGACAAAAAAUGACGGAAAAAGUCCGUCGUAAAGUAAGAACUACUUCCAUCGUAAAAACCCAGUUUUGUUGUAGUGUCUGCAGGUUCAGUCAGUCAGAUUAAUCUUCAAGAACUCACAGGAACACUGGCUAACCUCGGUUUCUUUUCGUUUUUCUAAUCUCACCAAUCUCAACAUUACACAUAACAACUUCACUGGUCCAAUACCACCCGAGAUUGGAAAUUUAACAGACGUUCAGUACCUCGACUUUAGCUAUAAUAAUCUCAAUGGUAAUGGUACCCUUUCAUACCAGGUUAGCCACCUUCAGAGGUUGGUCGUCUUACGGCUGUCAUUUAAUCACCGAAAGCUCCGAGUUUGUCCAAUUUUUCCCCCAUACCUAAACUGGUUGGUCUCGGUCUUAGUGGUAAUAAGCUGGCGUCAAAUUUUCCAGAAUUCAUAUCUAAUUGCUAUAACAUAAUUAAUCUUGAUCUUUUAUUUAACGUGUUAACUGGCCUGGUGAUCCAAUGCCUGAAUCAGCAGAUGACAAUUUACGUAAUCUUGAAGAACUGUAUCUUGGUGCCAAUUCUUUCGAGGGGCCAUUUCCAACGAAUAUAUUCAAGCUUUCCAAAUUAAGGGUUCUUGACCUAUCUAUGAAUAAUUUUUCAGGUUCAAUUCCUGAUGGUAUAGGGAUGCUUCCUGAUCUUUGAAUAAUUCGUUUAUAUAAUUCAUUUGAAGGAAUUAUUCCUUCUUCAAUUAGUCUACUUAAGGAUCUUCAACACCUAGACUUCAGUGACAACCUUCUAGUUUCAAGUAUAAUGUCUUACGGGUCCAAUUUAACCGAUCAUUAUAGGCAACCCCAUUAGAGAUGCUCUUAAUAACAUUUUAACUAGAGAAUAUCUUACUUUCAGUUGCAUUUGUAUUAAAUCUGAUUUAGAUGAAGAGAAACAGAAUACAUAUGAUCCUGAGACAACAUUUUGUCAAUGUUUUCGUCUUGAUUAAACAGUCUUCUUCAUGCGUGUCCUUGUCAACUUCAGUUGCGGUAAUUCAAUGUAUCUCACGAACCACCUUGGCUUUCCCAUUUUGAAAACAAGUAUCCUGAAGAUAAUCCGCAUAUCAAUCCACAUCCGUAGCUCAGUUGAUUUAUUAAUUUAUUCAUGAAGUGGCGAACGACAUUCCUGCAAAAGUAAAAGUCAGUGGAAUUUGUAUGAUAGCAUGAUCCAUGAUGAAUAUUUAAAGUUUCAGCUAGAAUUUCACCAAGUAAUUUAUUUCUUGCUUAAGUCCCGGAUUGACGAAUUUUGCUGAUCACAUUUCUAAUCGACCAAUUCUGGUCGAAUAAAUUAAAUGGCACACUUCCUGAGUUGGUGGUGGGGGCGUUCUUCUUGUGUUUCUUUCUUUUCAUUAUUGACAUUGUUAUCCAGGUCCUUGCUUCUGGGCUUUUGUAAAGCACCCAUUUACUCCAUUGUCAUGAUCAUAGCUAGUCUUCCAUAUCCAAGAUACGCGCAUUAUAGUGGAUUUAUCUUUAUUAGUGAUUUCUGUGGAAAUGCAUAAUCUUUAUAAGCUCCAAUAUUAUAAAAUAAACCUAACUUAUUAGAGUUAACAGGGCAUUUGUGUUGAUAAUUUGCGCAAUGUUAUGGGGAUCGCUCCCAAGUCUUGGACGGACUCUUUCCAAGUCUUCUGAGGACCCAUCUGCACACUAAUUUGUCCGCCAACUAAAAAUUUAUAUAUAUUUUUCCAUAGAAUAUAAAUAGUUGGGGGUACUAACAGAACCUCUAGUAAAAUUAAUUAAUACCGUUAUGAUUUCGCAAACACAGCAGACAGCAGGCAUAAGGCUUAUAAAUAGAAGUGUCGUAUUUGGUUGAUGGUCAAGUUGAGUGGAAAUAUGGCACACUUUGUAAUGCCUUGUUAUCCUCUUCUCUUUGUUUUCUUUCUCUCAUUACUUCAAUCCAUUCUAACAACACAAGAGGGAGAAGCUCUUGUGAAAUGGAAGAAUAGCCUAGCCCCUUCUUCUUUUCUCGACUCUUGGUCACUCACCAAUCUCGAUAAUCUUUGCAACUGGACUGGCAUUACUUGUAACUCUGCAGGUUCAGUCUCUCUGAUUAACCUCUGUGAGAAACAACUUGAUGGAAUGCUGUCUGAGUUUGGUUUCACUUCAUUUCCAAAUCUCAACAAUCUCACCCUCGCAGUUAACAACUUCUCCGGUCCAAUACCAGCAGCCAUUGAGAAUUUAACAGAGCUUCGGUAUCUUGAUUUGAGCAAUAAUUAUCUAGAUGGUCCCAUUCCUUUCCAGGUUAGCCAUCUUCAGAGGUUGCUCAUCUUAAAUCUGUCACGGAAUGCAUUGCAAGCUCUAAAUUGGUCCAAUUUCUCUCCCAUGCCUUUUUUGCGCAUCCUCAAGCUCAGUAGAAAUCAUCUUGCGUCGAAAUUCCCAAAUUUUAUAUCCAAUUCUCAUAGCCUGACUCACCUUGACCUUUCAUAUAACAUGUUUACCGGUGAUCUAGCAUGUGAACCAAUAUUUGCCAACCUGCAUAAGCUUGAAGUGCUUAGUCUCGUUGACAAUUCUUUUGAGGGGCCAUUUCCGCCAAAUAUAUUCAAGCUUUCCAAAUUAAAACGUCUUGCCCUGUCAGGUAACAAAUUUUCAGGUCCAAUUCCCAAUGACAUAAGGUUGCUUUGUGAUCUUGAAUCCCUAUAUUUAGGUAACAAUUCCUUUGAAGGACCGCUUCCACCAAAUAUAUUCAAGCUUUCAAAAUUAAAAGAUCUUGUUCUUUGGCGUAAUAAGUUUUCAGGUUAUAUUCCCAAUAGUAUAAAUUUGCUUUCGGCGCUUGAAGCCCUCGAUCUUUAUUCUAAUUUUUUUGAGGGGCCGCUUCCACCAAAUAUAUUCAAGCUCUCAAAACUAAGGAUUCUUUCCCUUGGGAACAAUAACUUUUCAGGUUCUGUCUCUAAUAAUAUAGGUUUGCUUCCUGAGCUUGAAACCCUAUAUCUUGACUCUAAUUUGUUUGAGGGGCCGCUUCCCCCACAUAUAUUCAAGCUCUCUAAAUUAAGAUAUCUAGACCUCUCAAACAAUAGAAAUUUAUUUGAAAUUAGAAGUAUUCCUAUUGGAUUGGGACUCUUGACUAACCUCAACUAUUUAGAUCUACAUUGCAGUAAUCUCAGUGGCGAUAUUUCAUCUGCCAUUGGAAACCUGAAGCUACUAGUAUUUCUUGAUCUCAGUUUUAAUCAAUUGACCGGACCGCUUUCAAAGAUCGUUUCUAAUCUCACAAAUCUUAUAUAUCUUGAUGUAAGUCAUAAUAGUCUUAGUGGAAAUAUUAGUGACUUGUGGAAAUAUUAUCUGUCUGGGAACAUUCCUAAGGAAUAUAACGAUCAUCCAACUUUGGAAUACAUCAAUUUAAGUGGGAACCAUUUUACAGGUAUGUUUUCUCUAUAUAUCUUUUCCUUUUGUCAUAUUAACUAAGCUUGUAAUCUUUUUGUAGUUAUACCAAAGUUUUAACAAUCUUGACAGGUGAGCUUCCAACAACAAUUUGCAAUGUCACUUCCCUUUCAGUUCUUGAUUUGUCAAAUAAUGGAUUAAGUGGUGCACUUCCAAACUGUUUCGCGAAUCUUGCUGAUAGAUUGCUUUACAUGAAUCUUGCUAAUAAUCUGUUUCGCGGAACAAUACUAAUUACUUUAUCCAAAAGUUGUCAGCUGACAUAUCUAAACAUGGAUAAUAAUGAGUUUGAAGGAUUGGUGCCCCCAUCUUUGGCGAACUGUAAGCACUUGAAAAUUCUUGAUAUUGGCAAUAAUAAAAUAGGUGGUUCAUUCCCGUCAUGGCUUUAUGUACUUGGAGAGCUAGAAGUCCUUGUCUUGCGAUCAAAUAAACUCUAUGGUACAAUAACUGGAAGGAGCAUAGAAGAUCCCUUCCCCAAGUUGCGGAUUGUGGAUCUGUCCGAUAAUCAAUUCACAGGCCAUUUGCCAAUUCAAUACUUUAAGAAUAUGAAAUCAACUGAUAAUAUGUAUAAUUAUCUGAAUUCCACAGGAGGAAUAUAUUUCACUUAUGAAGCAGCAGUCUCACUAACUGUGAAGGGAACAGAGUAUGAAGUAGCAAAUAACCUUCAUAUUUACACAGCUAUUGAUCUGUCGUGCAACAAAUUUCAGGGUGAAAUUCCAAAAGUUAUUGGAGAGCUUAGAUGGCUUGCAUUGCUCAAUUUAUCGCAUAAUAGUCUGACAGGACAUAUCCCAUCAUUGCUGAGAAAUAUGAAAGAACUCCAAUAUUUAGAUCUGUCCUCAAAUCAACUGACAGGGGCUAUUCCACCUCAGUUAACUGCAUUGACAUUUCUAGAGGUCUUGAACCUCUCAGGAAACCAUCUUAGUGGAGGGAUUCCUCAGAAAGGACAGUUCAGCACAUUCAACAAUGAUUCUUAUCUAGGAAACUCCGCUUUAUGUGGAUCACCUUUGACGAAGAAAUGUGCAAACACAGCAUCACCUCCAAAAGAAGUCGGAAAUGGUGAUGAAGAAGAUGGUGGUGAUGAAUUGACAUGGGAAGCAAUCGUGAUGGGAUAUGGAUGUGGACUGAUAUGUGGCAUCAUCGGCAUACAUUGUUCUCAAACUAGGAAAGCCGUGGUGGUUUGUGAGAUGUAUCGAAGUACUGCAACUGAAGUUGAUGAAAAGAUAUGCAUGAAGAAUGGUACUCUGGUCGAUCAACACGAACUUGAAAGUUGUUGUCCUUGUGGACUAGCUGCCUAAGUAUUUGGUAUUAUGUAAUAAUCCGUUUGGUCGGGACUCAUAAUCAUGCAUUUUUCUUGCUUCAGGAGUAUUAAUAUAUAUUAACCUUGCUAUCUAAAAGAAUAAAAUUGCAAAUUAACCUUCUCAGAGAAAUCUUGCUGAUAAAAUGCAUUGCAUUGAUCUCGCUAAUAAUCAGUUCCGAGGACCAAUACCAACAACCUUCUCAGACAGUUGCCAGUUAAGAUAUCUAAACAUGUAUGACAAUCACUUAAAAGGACUAUUGCCCCGAUCUCUGUCAAACUGUAAGCACUUGAAAAUUCUUGACAUCGGGAACAACAAAAUGGGCGGUACAUUUCCUUCAUGGCUAUUUACUCUCGGAGAGCUGGAAGUCCUAGUCUUGCGAUCAAAUAGACUUUACGGUCCAGUAAGUGGAAGGAGCACAUCACAUCCAUUCCCCAAGUUGCGGAUUUUAGAUCUCUCCAACAACCAAUUCGCGGGCCAUUUUCCAAUUCAAUACAUUAAGAAUAUGAAACCAACUGCUGACAACGGGUAUAGUUAUCAAAAUAGAUCACAAGGACUAAUUAAUUACAUCUAUGAAGCAUCUAUCUCCUUAAAUGUGAAAGGAACAGAGUAUGAAGUGAAAAACAUUCUUCAUAUCUACACAACCAUUGAUCUGUCGUGCAACAAAUUUCAAGGAGAAGUUCCAAAGGUUACUGGAGAGCUUAAAUGGCUUGCAUUGCUCAAUCUAUCUCAUAAUAGUCCUACCGGACAUAUGUUCUGCAUUAUUAUUAUGCUUUCAUCAAUAUUUUUAAACACUUCUCAAUAUGUAUUUUCAAAGAAUUCUCAAGCACUUGAACAUUUGGACCGGUUCUUUCGAAGCCAAGAUGCCCAGGUUAUCAUGGCCAUGCACAAAAAUGCCCAAAAAUAAAUAAAUUAAGAGAGAUUGCUCAGGGUCUCCCCAAGCCUUCCAGGACACAUUCCAAGUCUUCGGAGGACCACUGCCUCGCCCUUUCAAAGAUGUGAUAGUAGCUCGAGAGUGAUAUAAAUUAUUUUCCCGACACUAAAAUAAAUAGGGUUUUGUUCCAGGACAAUCGAUUGUCAUGGAGGUCUUCCAUCAUAUCCGCAGAUAGGAACUUUCCCUAUCCGCGGAAAAUUAUAGCGGAUACUUAAAAAAAUGAAGUUUAAUCUGGACCCUUGAAAUAGAGAUCCGACGGCCAUGAAAGUGUGUGUUAACUUACUUGGCACUAAGAUUGAUAAAGACAGUAUAAUAAUUUAAUUGAUGAAAAGUCAAAGUUUUCUAAUAAAUCCAUAAAGAAUAUGAUAAUCAAAAUAACGAAAAUUAUAAUUGAAAAAUCAAAAUCAUUAGUCAUGUAUUAGAAUAGUGUUCACACACUUAUAUAUCAAAAUUUGUGGUCCCAAAAACUAUAGCACAAUAUCCUAAAUACACCACAUUAAAUACUAGUUCAAAAAUAUUCAAUAAAUAAUUGAUUUCAUUCAUAAUUUUGUUAUUUUAAAAACGAAUAAUUUGGUUGAUGUUGACCUAUAUUUUAAUAUAUAAUUAUAUUAUUUUUGUCUUAUUUUAUUUAACUAGAAACAAUAUUUUUAUAAUAUUUAUUACAUUAAUUAUAUUAAUAGAUAUAAUUUUAUUAAAAAAAUUGAAUAAAAUUAAGAGGAAAACUCUAUGCCACUCCAAGUCUACAAGACUCAUUUCAAGUCCACCGAGGACCACUACCUCAACCAUUGAGAGAUGUGAAAGUAGCUUGAGAGUGAUAUAAAUUAUUUUCCUGACAAUAAAAUUUAAUAUCUAAUAUAAAUUAAUUAAAUUAGUUAAUAAUAAAUCAAAAUUAAUCAUAAAUUAUGAUUAUAAUUAAAUUAUAUAAAUCAACUCCAAAUGAUACAAAUAACACUAAACCUUGGUUACUUUGUUGGUAAAUAAAUAUAAUAUAAUAAUCAAAUUGAUGAGAAAUCAAAAUCAUCUAAUAAAUUCACAAAAAAUAUAUGAUCAUUAGUAUAUUAUAUUAGUAUCCACACACUUAUAUUUCAAAAUCUAUCCUCCAAACUUAUCAUCUCUGUAAACUAGCCACAUAAAAUAAAAAAUUUCCACACUAAAUAACAAAAUAUCUUUAUCAAAUUAUUAUUUAUGAAUUAAAUAUUCAAGUUAUAAUUCCAGCAUGCAGCGUAUAAAUAGAAGUGUGCAGUAUGAUAUCAGAUUCAUAACCCAGUUGAGGAGAAACAUGGCACACUCUGUAAAGCCUUCUCACCUUCUUCUCUUUGUUUUCUUUCUCUCAUCACUUGAAUCCAUUCUUGCAACAACACGAGAAGGAGAAGCUCUUGUGAAGUGGAAGAAUAGCCUAGCCCCUUCUUCUUUUCUCGAUUCUUGGUCCCUCACCAAUCUCGAAAAUCUUUGUAACUGGACUGGCAUUACUUGUAACUCUGCAGGUUCAGUCUCUGAGAUUAACCUCUGUGAGAAACAACUUGAUGGAAUGAUGUCCGAGUUUGGUUUCACUUCAUUUCCAUAUCUCAACAAUCUCACCCUCGCAUACAACUUCUUCUCAGGUCCAAUACCAUCAGCCAUUGAGAAUUUAACACAGCUUCAAUUUCUUGAUUUGAGCAAUAAUAAUCUCGAUGGUCCCAUUCCGUUGCAGGUUAGCCAUCUUCAGAGGUUGCUCGUCGUAAACCUGUCACAGAAUGCAUUGCAAGCUUCAAAUUGGUCCAAUUUCUCUCCCAUGCCUUUUUUGCGCAUUCUCAACCUCAGUAGCAAUCAUCUUGUAUCGAAAUUCCCAGAAUUUAUAUCCAAUUCUCAUAGCUUGGCUAUCCUUGACCUUGGAUAUAACAACUUUACAGGUGAUCUUGUGCGUGAAUUUACCAAUCUACAAAAUCUUGAAACCCUCUACCUUGAUGAUAAUUCUUUUGAGGGGCCAUUUCCGCCAGAUAUAGUCCAGCUUUCCAAAUUAAAAGAUCUCACCCUGUCGACUAACAAAUUUUCAGGUUCAAUUCCCGAUGACAUAAGGUUGCUUUGUGAUCUUGAAUUCCUAUAUUUAGGCAACAAUUCUUUUGAAGGACCCCUUCCACCAAAUAUAUUCAAACUUUCAAAAUUAAAACAUCUUGUUCUUUGGAGUAAUAACUUUUCAGGUUCUGUUUCCAAUGAUAUAGGUUUGCUUUCUGAGCUUGAAAUUCUCAAUCUUCAUUCUAAUUUUUUUGAGGGGCCACUUCCGCCAAAUGUAUUCAAGCUCUCCAAACUAAAGUUACUUUCCCUUCACGAUAAUAACUUUUCAGGUUUUGUUUCCAAUGAUAUAGGUUUCCUUUCUGAGCUUGAACACCUACAUCUUGGCCAUAAUUUUUUUGAGGGGCCACUUCCGUCAAAUAUAUUCAAGCUCUCCAAAUUAAGAUAUCUAGGCCUAUCAAACAAUAGAAAUUUAUUUGAAGGAAGUAUUCCUAUUGGACUGGGACUCUUGACUAACCUCAGGUUCUUAGAUCUAUAUUCCAAUAAUCUCGGUGGCUAUAUUCCAUCUGACAUUGGAAACCUGAAGCUACUAGUUAAUCUUGAUCUCAGUUCUAAUCAAUUGACUGGACCGCUUCCGAAGAUCGUUUCUAAUCUCACAAAUCUUAUAUCUCUUGAUGUAAGUGAUAAUAGUCUUAUAGGAAAUAUUCAGAGUGACUUGUGGAAAUAUAACGAUCAUCGAAAUUUGGAAAACAUCAAUUUAAGUGGGAACCAUUUUACAGGUAUAUCUUUUCCUUUAGUCAUAUGUAACUAAGCUAGUAAUCUGAUUAUUGCAGUUUUACCAAAGUUUCAAAAAUCUUGACAGGUGAGCUUCCAACAACCAUUUGCAAUGCCACUUCCCUUUCGGUUCUUGAUUUGUCAAAUAAUGGAUUAAGUGGUGCACUUCCAAACUGUUUCGGGAAUCUUGCUGAUGGAUUGCAUUACAUUAAUCUUGCUAAUAAUCAGUUUCGAGGAAAAAUACCAACUACUUUCUCCAGGAGUUGUCAGCUGACAUAUCUAAACAUGGAUAAUAAUGAGUUUGAAGGAUUGUUGCCCCCAUCUUUGGCGAACUGUGAGCACUUGAAAAUUCUUGAUAUUGGCAAUAAUAAAAUAGGUGGUACAUUUCCGUCAUGGCUUUAUGCACUUGGAGAGCUAGAAGUCCUUGUCUUGCAAUCAAAUAAACUCUAUGGUACAAUAAGUGGAAGAAGCAUAAAAGAUCCCUUCCCCAAGUUGCGGAUUAUGGAUCUGUCCAACAAUCAAUUCACAGGCCAUUUGCCAAUUCAAUACUUUAAGAAUAUGAAAUCAACUGAUAAUUUGUAUAGUUAUCAGUAUUCCUCGGUAGUAUUAUACUUCUCUUAUGAAGCAGCAGUCUCAUUAACUGUGAAGGGAACAGAGUAUGAAGUAAGAAAUAAUCUUCAUAUUUACACAGCCAUUGAUCUGUCCUGCAACAAAUUUCAGGGAGAAAUUCCAAAGGUUACUGGAGAGCUUAUAUGGCUUGCAUUGCUCAACUUAUCUCAUAAUAGUCUAACAGGACAUAUCCCAUCAUUGCUGAGAAAUAUGAAAGAACUCCAAUCUUUAGAUUUGUCUUCAAAUCAACUGACAGGGGCUAUUCCACCUCAGCUAACUGCAUUGACAUUUCUAGAGGUCUUGAACCUCUCGAAAAACCAUCUUAGUGGAGAGAUUCCUCAGAAAGGACAGUUCAGCACAUUCAACAAUGAUUCUUAUCUAGGAAACUCCGCGUUAUGUGGAUCACCUUUGACGAAGAAAUGUGUAAACACCGGAUCACCUCCACAGGAAGUCGGAAAUGCUGAUGAAGAUGAUGCGGGUGAUAAAUUGAUAUGGGAAGCAAUCGUGAUGGGAUAUGGAUGUGGACUGAUAUGUGGAUGGUCAUCUGCGUACAUUGUUCUCAACCUAGGAAAGCCUUGGUGGUUUGUGAGAUAUAUCGAAGUACUGCAACUGAAGUUGAUGAAAAGAUAUGCAUGAAGAAUGGUACUGGUCGAUCAAGACGAACUUGAAAGUUGUUGUCCUGGUAGACAUUUCUGAACCAGUAGUGUACUAGCUACAUAAGUAUUUGGUAUUAUGUAAUAAUCUGUUUGGUCGGGACUCAUAAUGAUUUCUCUUGCUUCAGGGGUAUUAAUAUUAACCUUGCUAUCUUCAUCUGUGUUGAUGCAAAUGAAAAAGAAUGGAAAAACAAAAAAAUUGCAUCAAACCUGUUGUACCAAGAUCCAUUAAUCUGCUUUCAUCUCUUACGCAACAAUUUAACAGCACUUUCACACUGUUUGAAAGAUUAUCAUAAAUUCGAGUUUUCCUCGGCAGCACCAAAUCCAAAUAUACAAUCCGUCAAUCCCACACAUUCCAGUCUCAGCUUCAGCUCCCAGGCUAGCAUUAAUAACAGUUGGGGAUUUGAGUGAACGUGCCUUGGUCCUGCCUUCAAAUGUGUAACAUUAACAGUUGGAUAUGUCGACAAAAAAAUUGUUCCUCACACAGCGGAAUAAAUCCGACAGUUCUUUUCAUCCAGCAAUUUAAAGCUUAACAGACAGUCAUUAUUUCAGCAAUAUGUCUAGCAAAUAUGUAGGGCACUUGACACCAUACUUCCAACACAAGUAGUAAAAGGAGAGACCAUUGUUUCGAAUGCUCGGAAAUUUGAACUGGGUUUUUUCAGCGUGCCCCUGACUUUUGUACACAAACAGCUGAAGAAAAGCAGAAGUCGGAUUCUGGAAAAAAGAAGCACUUAUCUAUGCUAAUAUAUUAAAAAUGUCAUCUGUGUUUCUUAUGUUUGUGCAACAACCUGACAGAAAGGGAUGUAGGUGAAACCAGGGGCGUAAAAUGAAUCGGGACUAAAAUCUACUAAAAUGAUAAUUAUGUACUAUAUUUGGUCUGUUUUAAUAUACAUGUAAAAGGGGACGAAGUAGUUGGUUAUAGUUGCGAAUCCUAUAAAUGAAUGCGCGAUCAGGAUGUGUCACUAAGCACCUCCAACGCCGGGUAAGGGUGAGUAGUCUACUUCUGCUUCCUCUGUUUUUUGUAUUUGACGUUUUAAAUUUUGGCACACAAUUUUAAGUGUUUUGACCGUAUAGUUGAAAAUAUUAAUUUUAAUUUUUUUUUGAAUAAAAAUAUAUAAUCAAAAUUUUAAUUUAGAAAAAAGAUCAAUCAAAAAUAAUAUUUUUUACUAUUCGAUCAACCCACUUAACAAUAACAAUUAAAAGACUUUAGUGACGUUAUCUGACCAAGGGUCAUGGAAACUUCGACAUCGGAAUCUUGCGAGGCUACUAUUCUAAAGCACGCAUAAUCAUUGUAUCCAUUUUCCUCUAACACUGACAAAAAAUCUAUUUGAACAAAUGAAAUACAAACAACUCAGUGGAAUGCUAACUGAGUAAAGUUUCACUUCAUUUCCAAAUCUCAACAAUUUCACCAUCAAAUAUAAUGACUUCUGCUGUCCAAUACCACCAGCCUUUGAGAAUUUGGCACAGCUUCAAUUCCAUACCAGGUUAGUCAUCUUUGGAAAUUACACGUCUUAGACCUGUCAAACAUAAAUUUCAAUCUCCAAACUGGUCCGAUUUAUCUUCCAUGCUCUUUGUUGAGAACCGGUCCAUCUAAAACCUUAAGAUGUCAGAGGAAACUCAAAAUGGAUCUUCUACUAUAUUUUAACAUUUCUGAGUACAUUCAAUUAUAAGGUCACUUGUGCAUCGCUGUUCACACACUUAGACCCUGUUUGUGUGGGCUUUAAGUCCGGGCUCAAGCUAUUUCGACUUCAUCACUUCCAAGGACUUAUACCAACAACCUUCUCAAAGAGUUGCCAGUUAAGAUAUCUAAACAAGUGUGACAAUCAGUUAGAAGGACUAUUGCCCCGAUCUUUGUCAAACUGUAAGCACUUAAAAAUUCUUGACAUCGGGAACAAUAAAAUGGGCGGUACAUUCCCUUCAUGGCUAUUUAAUCUCGGAGAGCUAGAAGUCCAAGUCUUGCGAUCAAAUAGACUGUACGGUCCUGUAAGUGGAAGGAGCACAUCACAUCCAUUCCCCAAGUUGCGGAUUCUAGAUCUCUCCAACAAACAAUUCACGGGCUAUUUGCCAAUUCUAAACUUUAAGAAUAUGAAACCAGCUGCUGAUGAUAACGCGUAUAGUUAUAAAAAUAAGUCACAAGGACUAAUUAAUUACAUCUAUGAAGCAUCUAUCUCCUUAAAUGUGAAAGGAACAGAGUAUGAAGUGAAGAACAUUCUUCAUAUUUACACAGCCAUUGAUCUAUCGUGCAACAAAUUUCACGGAGAAGUUCCAAAGAGAGCUUAAAUGGCUUGCAUUGCUCAAUCUAUCUCAUAAUAGUCUUGCCGGACAUAUGUUCUGAAUUAUUAUUAUGCUUUCAUCAAUAUUUUCAAACAUUUCUCAAUAUGUAUUUUCAAAGAAUUCUCAAGCCCUGGAACAUUUGGACCGGUUCUUUCGAAGCUAAGAUGCCCAGGUUAUCAUGGCCAUGCACAAAAAUGAAUAAAUUAUUCCAAGUCUUCCAUGACUCAUUCCAAGUCUUCGGAGGAGACCCUGAGCACAAAGAUGCUCAGGGUCUCCCCAAGCCUUCCAGGACUCAUUCCAAGUCUUCGGAGCACGGCCUCGCCUCGCUCUUUCAAAGAUGUGAUAGUAGCUCGAGAGUGAUAUAAAUUAUUUUCCCGACACUAAAAAUAAAUAAUCAGAUCAAAUUAAUCAAUAAUAAAUUAAAGAUGAAAUCCAAAUUAAUCUUAAAUUUUGAUAAUAUAUAAAAAUUAUAAUUAUAAAUUAUAUACCAAAUCAGAAUUGAAUUAAUUCCUUGGCACUAAAAUUGAUAAAGAAAGUAUAAUAAUUUAAAUUUAAUUGAUGAAAAGUCAAAGUCUUCUAAUAAAUCCAUCGAAGAGCACUAAUUCCAUCUGCAGUGAUUUGGAAGAACAGGUCUCUUGCCACUCCAAUUCCUAAGAAAAUUUAGCCCAUAAAUAGAAGUGUGCCUUGCGCUAUGAGAUGUACAAUGUGACAGGAAACAUGUUGCACUUCCCAAAGCCUAAUUAUCACCUCAUUGUGCUAGUUUUCUUUCUCAUAUUGCUUUCAUCUACCCUCACAACAGUAUCUACGACAAGAGAAGGAGAAGCUCUGUUAAAAUGGAAGAACAGUCUACCACCAUCCUCUUCCCUAAAUUCUUGGUCACCCGUCAAUCUCAAUAAUUUGUGUAACUGGACUGGCAUUAUCUGUAACUCUGCAGGUUCAGUCUCAGAAAUAAACCUUUCACUAAAACAACUUAGUGGAACGCUUGCCAAUUUCAGUUUCACUUCAUUUCCAAAUCUUAAUAGUCUUGACAUUAGUGGCAACAACUUUACAGGUCCAAUACUACCUGCCAUUGAAAAGUUCACGCAGCUUCAGCAUCUUGAUUUUAGCUUUAACAAGCUCAAUGGUAUCAUUCCAAACCAAAUUUGGCAUCUUCAGAGAUUGCGCACCUUAGACCUGUCAGUUAAUUACUUGGAAGCUUCAGACUGGUCUAGUUCUUUCUCCAUGCCUUUUCUGACCAACCUCGACCUUAGUUUCAAUAAAAUUGGGGCAAGAUUCCCAGGCGUUACAUCCAAUUCUUGUAACCUAACAUGUCAAUUGUUGCCUGAGUCAUUAGUUAACAAUCUGCAUAAUCUGGAAGUCCUUUCUCUUCAUCACAAUUCUCUCGACGGGCCAUUUCCACCAAGCAUAUUCAAGCUUUCCAAAUUAAGAUAUCUCUCCCUAUCAAGUAAUCAUUUUUCAGGUUCUAUUCCGGAUGAUAAGGGAUGCUUGGUGAUCUUGAAUCCCUUUAUCUGGGUCACAAUUCUUUUGAGGGGCCCUUCCCACCAAAUAUUUUCGGUUUUUCCAAAUUAAUAAAUCUGUCUUUAUCAGGGAAUAGCUUUUCAGGUUCUGUUCCAGAUGAUAUAAGGAUGCUUAGUGAUCUUGAAUACCUUGAUCUUAGUCGGAAUUUUUUUGAGGGGCCUUUUCCACAAAAAAUAUUCAAGCUUUCCAAAUUAAAAGUUCUUGACCUAUCAAGAAACAAUUUUUCAGGUUCUAUUUCAGAUGAUAUACGGAUGCUUCAUAGUCUUGAGUUGCUCCAUCUUGAGUACAACUCUUUUCAGGGACCCUUUCCACCAAAUAUAUUGAAGCUUCCGAAUUUAAGAGUACUUGACCUAGCAGACAAUGACUUUUCAGGUUCUAUUCCCAGUGAUAUAAACAUGCUUCAUGAUCUGAAAAUACUUUCAUUGUUUUCUAAUUCAUUUGAAGGAACUAUUCCUUCUUCUAUAAGUCUACUCAAGGAGCUACGAUACCUUCACCUCGGGUCUAAUCAUCUCAAUUCCACUAUUCCUUCUGAGCUGGGGCUCUUGGCAAACCUUGACCGAUUAUAUCUUGAUUCCAAUAAUCUUACUGGCAAUAUCCCUCAUAUCUGAACAUGUACAACAAUUACUUUGACGGAGUGUUGCCUCAAUCUUUUGCCAACUGCAAGCAGUUAAAAGUUCUUGAUAUAGGAAACAACAAAAUAAGUGGUACAUUUCCCUCAUGGCUAUUUACUCUUGCAGAGCUAGAACUCCUUGUCUUGCGGUCCAAUAGACUUUAUGGUACAGUAAGUUUAAGAAGCACAACAGAUCCCUUUCCCAAGUUGCGCAUCAUGGAUCUCUCAAACAAUGACUUCACAGGCUAUUUGCCAAUUCAAUAUUUCAAAAAUAUGAAGCCGGUUGAUAAGGGGUAUGAUUAUCACAAUUUCACAGCACCAUUUUAUUACUACUAUCAAGCAUCUAUCUCGUUAACUGUGAAAGGGACCGAGUACCAAGUGAGUAAAAUUCUUCAUAUUUACACAGCCGUUGAUCUGUCAUGCAAUAAAUUUCAAGGAGAAGUCCCAAAGGUCAUUGGAGAACUUAAAGGGCUGGCAUUGCUCAAUUUAUCUCAUAAUAGUCUUACUGGACCUAUCCCAUCACAGCUCGGAAAUAUGAAAGCACUCCAAUCUCUGGAUUUGUCUUCAAAUCAAUUCACAGGGGCUAUCCCAUACCCGUUAAUUGGUUUGACAUUUCUAGAGGUCCUGAACCUCUCAUAUAACCAUCUCACCGGAGAAAUUCCCCAAAAAGGACAACUGAGCACGUUCAGUAAUGAUUCUUACCUAGGUAAUCUUGCCUUGUGUGGAUCUCCUUUAACAGAGAAAUGUGCACACGAAGAGUCACCACCACAAGAAGUCGGAUAUGAUGAAGAUGGUGCAGAUAAUAAAUUCCAAUGGAAAGUAGUCCUAAUGGGAUAUGUUAUCGGAUUAGUAUGUGGAUUGUCUUCAGGGUACAUUUUUCUCACAACUGGAAAGCCUUGGUGGUUUUUGAGAUACAUCGAACAACUGCAUAGCAAAAGUUGAUCAGAAGAUUCACGUAGAGUACUGUUUGAUUAAGAUGAGCAAGUUGAAAAGAAUGUUUACUAGACCAGUGGUAUGUCGGGAACAUUAAUGUGUGGUGUCAUAUAAUAUUUGAAAUGCUAAUGUCAGUGCUAGUUCUAGUUCGGGUCUGAUACUGAUUUACUCGUCUCAGAGAUACAUAUUUGUGUUCAAUGUUAAUACAAAACGGAAAAAACAUACUACACAUUAAAUCAACUUUGUAUCAAGUCGAGUUUUGGAGAUGCCAUGAUCAAAAGAAAAACACGGUGAAUGAUAUUUAUUAAGAACACGACUUGAACUAUAAGUGCAUGAAAAUCGUCUUUCAAAGUAUGGCAGGGGUGUGAAUCGUGCACACCAUGGAUAGUCACUUGAAAGCUAACCAUUCUGAGGUUCGUGGAAGCUGAUUUCAUACUCUUGAAAGCUAUCUUUAGGACGUCGAAACUUUAAUUUGUGUUGCAUAACAUUUCAUUAUGCAAGACAGAUGGUUUCAGGGAAACUAUACUGGAGAGCAAGUACCAAACAGUAAGGUAUACUUUGGAUGAUGAAAUUCCUCCCUGAUUUUUACAUCAUUUCUAGUUUUAAACGUGACAGAACAUUCGGGCGAAUGUUCUGGUCAAUUUUUUCAUGGUUGGGCCAAAAGAAUUAUAGUACAAAUGGGUGAGAAAGUUACAUUUUAGAGAUCGCUUCUCAUUAUUUAUAAUGACGAUCAAUUUUAUUUGAUUACUUUUAAUUUUAUCUUUUAUACUUAUUAAAAACACAGAAGAUCGUGUAAACAAAAUUAAUACAAAACGUACUUAUUCAUAGGAAAUGAUUUACCUCACUUAACUGCGCUUAAUUAUUUGAAAGGAAAGAAUACAACACAAAAUUAAAUAUAUAAAGAUCUGUUAUUUGUUAUUUGGAAAUGAGGAAUUUUUUUAACAUAAUCAUUGAUAACAUAUUUUUCCAACUUAUUUAUAUCUGCCAGAAUUAAAUAAAAUACGCCUCAAUAGGUUAUCAUUCUUAAUGUCAAAUUGCAAAAAUAUAUAUAUUUUUAUUUAUGUCAUAUUCUUAGAAAAAAAUUAAUAACAAGAUAAUAAUCCCUAGCUUUAAAGGGAGGAAAACAAGUGUAAAAUAAAUAAAGUAAUUUAACUUUCACUUAUAUUAUUAAGAUAAAAGUAAGCGGAAAUAAAUAUAAAUUCAACAUAUUUAACUUACCCUUCAGAAUCCAUAAGUUUGGAACAAGUAGAUUGAGCACAAGACGAAGGCCACACAUGCGCAUCAUCUGAUGCAGCUAUGGUGCCUUUACAGUUGCUCAUACAUAUAGUGAAACAAUAAGGAUCAACUCCUCCAUUGUGCGUACACAUUUUCAUACAAGCUAUAAAGCAUGGUGAUAGAGUCUUUGCAAUCUCAUCAUGACCAGCACAUCCGAUCAUGAUAAACUCUAGCAGGAUCAUCCAAGUAAUAAUUUUCUUAAUGAUAUUAAUUAUCAUUGUGAAUAGUUGUAUUGAGUUAUGCAUGUGUGUGUAUAUAUAUGCAAUGGAUUUUGUGGUUGAGAAUAUCUGUUAGAUUUUGUAUAUCCAUAACAAUUAUUAAAAUUUGAACAAUAAUAUCUAUUAUUGGUUGUGAUCGACUAUUGUAGUAGUCCAAAAAAUCUAUAUUACAUUUAAAAAGAUUAUACAUGAAAUACAAAAGCUUUUUAUUAGGACUGUUGUUAAAAAUUGCUAUGUUGUACGAAAAAAUGCUGAUAAAAAAUGUGUUACAGAAAAAAUGCUGAUAAAAAAUGUGUUACAGAAAAAAUGCUGAUAAAAAAAAUGUUGUAGAAAUCAGAUAUGACAGCUUCCCACAAAAGCUAAAAAAACAGUUUUUUUCCAUAAUAAUAUGGGAGGAGAAAAACUGUUUGUAGAAUUAUUGAACAAUUUUUCACAUAUUUUUCGAUAAAAAGCUGUUGUUAUUGUCUUCAGUAAUGCCAAACAGUGCCGAAAUCAUUUUGAAAUCAUUUUGCAGGUAGUUAAUCUCACUUCCAUAUAAUAUAGUACUCCUAUAUAUUAUCGAAAAAACAUGAAAUGAUGCAAAGCUCAUACUAUUGACAACAGGUAAACUCCUUGCAAUACUUUGAGCUGCAAAAUCCAUCAAAUUUUUUGAUUUAUCAACGUAACUGUUUGACAGAGUACUUCCAAGCUAAGCAUCAAAAGUCACUACCUUACGAAAUAUAUCUCACCCUACCUUCUCUGCUUAUAAGCUGUUUUGAGUACUUUUACCAAGCAUAUUUUCCAUUAAGCGUGAAAGGCACAGAAUAAUUAAGGAUCACCUAUCCCAUCAGUGCCGGGGAAUAUGGAACCAUCUCAUCAAUUAACUAGUUUAACAUUUCUCGCGGUCUUGAACCUCUCAGAAAACCAUCUUAUACUAAUGUGCCGACUUCCUUUGACGAAGAAAUGGUGAUGCUGAUGCUAAUGAUAAUGAACUUAACUGGGGAGUGAUCCUUAUGGGAUACGGAUGUGGAUUGAUAUGCGGAUUUUCUUUGGGGUUUAUGUUUUGUGGUUUGUGAGAUACAUUGAAGUACUGCAGCUGGAGUUGAUCAUUAUAAAGAACAUAGGCAAGUUAAUCGCUUAUUGAAAUUAGUAAUUGUCAAAAGUAAAAUGUUGAAAUUACUUUUUUCGAUUGAAAUCAUCGAAAAAAAGUCUCUGUCGAAAUUGAUCUGCCAAAAUUAUGUUUAAUAUCUACGGCCAGGAUUAUCUGUCGAAUAUAUUUCCCGACAAUUUUAAAAGACAAAUUUUUCGCCUCUCAGCUGUGAGCGGGAACAGAUAUCUUCGACAGAAUUCCAUUGAAAUUAGCUAAUUUCAACAUAAAUUUUCUAUCGAAAUUACUUGAGUUCUUUGUAGCUUGUUUUCACAAAUACGCUGAUAGCCUUUGGGGACGGGUAUAUUGUUUUCACAAAGCCCUGGUGGUAUGUGAGAUGCUUCGAAGGACUGCAACUGAAGUCGAUAAGAACAUGCAGAAAGAAAACCGAUCCAUCUUGAUGAACUUGAAAAAUGUUGUCAUAUGGUGAUAUAUACUCCCCUGGCCCCAGUCUCUUGAAAAAAACUUGGCUGAUUUUUUUUUUUUCAGUAUCUAUCCCUAAUAAUUGCAGCAAAUUAAAAAAUAUAGUUAUAUCUUUUUAGCAAUGGUGCAAUCUGGAAAGCUUUCUCAUCAUCUUCUUCUUUUCUUUAUCUCAUUACUCUCAUCUAACUUGACGAUCCUAUCUGCAACAUUUCGCCAAGGAGAAGCUCGUGUGGAAUGGAAGAACAGCCUAUCCCCGAAUUCGUUUCUUGGUUCACUAAUUAAUCUCACUUAUCUUUGAAAUUAAGUGGACUGGCAUUGUAUGCAACUCUGCAGGUUCAGUCAGUCAGAUUAAUCUUCAAGAACUCACAGGAACACUUGCUAACCUCGGUUUCUUUUCGUUUUCAAAUCUCACCAAUCUCAACAUUACACAUAACAACUUCACUGGUCCAAUACCACCCGAGAUUGGAAAUUUAACAGAUGUUCAGUACCUCGACUUUAGCUAUAAUAAUCUCAAUGGUACCAUUCCAUACCAGGUCAGCCAUCUUCAGAGGUCGGUCGUCUUCGGCCUCUAAUUUAAUCACUUGAAAGCUCUAAGCUUGUCCAAUUUUUCCCCCAUGCCUAUACUGGUUGGUCGCGGUCUUGGUGGUAAUAAGCUGGCGUCAAUUUUUCCAGAAUUCAUAUCUAAUUGCUAUAACAUGAUUAACCUUGAUCUUUCAUUUAACAUGUUAACUGGUAAUCCCUUCAACAACUUGCGAAUCUUGGAUCUCUCGGACAAUGAAUUCACUGGUUACUUGCCAAUCCAAUAUUUUAAUAAUAUGAAACCAGUUGAUACUGUGAUUGAUUAUUACAACCUCUGUUCUAAAAGUCGGUGAUUAAUCACGAUUAAUUAAUCACUGAUUAAUCUAUGUUCCGUAGCUCGCCAAACUGAUUAAAUAUCCGAUUAUUCUAAUUAAUCCCCGAUUAAUCACCGAUCAAUGUAAUUAAUCUCCAAUUAAUCUUUAUUCCGAAACUUCACCGAUUAAACUCGAUUCCCACUUUUUACAACACUGAUUACAACAUAACAGGGAAUCAUGAUUAUCAAGCAUCUGUCUUGUUAACAUUGAAACAAAGAGAGCAUGAAGUGAAAGGAAUCCUUUAUAUUUACGAUGUCAACAGCCCUACUGUCAAAAUUCCUUUCAAGUCGGGGCUUUUUACGAUUAUUUGGUAAUUCAGUGUUGAACUCCGCUCAACUUAUAAUUAGAUAAUCGAACUCAAAAAUCUUGCAAUCAACAAAUAAAUUAUUGAAAACUUGCAAUUGAAUAAUGGCCGUCAAGUCACUUAACAAUACUAACCGAAAACGAACGUGACGGGCUGAUGUGUUUAAAAAAAUGCAUGAUGACUAUAUACGUGAUGUUUACGACCCUGACUAAUAUAUCCAACAAAUAAUACAUUCAACCUGAUCUAAUAAUGUAAUACAUCUACUUAAAUAUAUUUUCAUGCCAAAUAUUUAUAGAUUUGUUUUUACAAAAAUGAUUAGAGACUUUUGCAUAUAUAAAAAUUGAGAAUUAUUGCUUGACUAGACAAAAAUAGGUGAGUUGUGAUUAUAAUAAAUAUUUAUUUCUACGAUGUAGUUUUUAUUAGUUAUAUAUAAAAAAAAUCUUGCUCUAUUUUGAUACUAGUGCAAUGAUUACUUCAAUUUAUUUUUUAUACGAGUUAGUAAGAUAUAUGACUAACUCAUCUUGCACUCGUAUUAAUUGUCUUAUAUAAUAUUAAUAACAAAAAUAUGAGGCGGUGCUUAGUCAGAUGAUUUUAGUUGUUAAAAUAUUUUUUUGUUAUUUAUAGAUAGUGAAACUUGUCUCAUAUUUUAUCUAUUUUGUUUCGUUUCUUGAGAUUUCCAAAUAUUUAUUAGGACAUUGUACCAUGGUGUAUUUCAAGAUAUUAUUGUUAUUUAGAUAAUUAGUCAUAUUCAAUGAAUUUUGAGGACAAAAUUUAAAUAAGAGGAGAACAAUGUCAUAUCUCACGUAUUAGCAGUUUUAAUUAUUUUAUAUUUUUAUUUUAAAGAUAAGAUAAAGUUUAUUUAUUUAAUUGUUUUUAUCUUAAAAGCGAUUUUGAGUUGUUUGAGUUAGAUAUAUACUCCUACUGUGGUUCAACUAGUUUUGCCGUAAGUGAAUAAUUUCCGGUCAAUAUUUUGAAAUUUGUUGUUAUCUUCUAAUUAAGAUAAUUAAGGGGUUAAAUAGCUUUUGAAAAAUGUGAAAAAAAUCAAAAAAAUUGGGAAACCAAAAGUGGCAAGCUUUUUUUUUUUUGUUCUUUUUAAAUUUUCUAAAAUCUGGGGAAAAAAGAACUUGCCACCUAAUUUUUUCCAAAUUUUUUCAAAUUCUUUUCAGAUUUUUGAAUUUUUUCCCCAAUUUUUCCUCACUUUUUUCUGAUUUUUUUUGAAUUUAUUAAGAUUUUUUUUGUUUUUUCUGCUUAUUCUGAAUUUUUUAAGAUUUAUUCGCAUUUUUUUCAUAUUUUUAAAAAAUAUUUUUGAAUUUUCCGUUAAGUAAUUAAUGGAACUGACGGAGAGUGAUGCUUUUGAAAGUUUUUAAUUACUUGAUAAUGCGUUUGAAAAUUUUUUCAACAACAUGACCCAGUUGCAAGUUUCCGGCGAGGUUAGUGAUGAAUUAGUUAUUUAACUCUUAAUAAAAAUCUAUCUAAACAAUAUUAUAAAUAUAAUGUUAUGGGUUCGAUGAGUCGUGUAAAACAUGGAAGAAGUUUAGGUGGGGUAAAAAGAGCCUAGCUGUGUGAUUUCCAUUCUGUUAUACGUGAUAUACUGUAGUUGAUCAUCUCCUUUGUCCGCUUCAUCCUGUGCAACCUUAACCUUUAAGGAAAAACUUAUGAGAUUCUCUACUGCAUCUAAAUUCUUGUGUGAAGAAUGUGAAGAAAAAUGUUAGUCUCAGAUUAUUUUUCCUAAAAUGCUUGCAUGUUACAUUUUAUAUGUAUGUCCUGACUUUAAGUAUAAUUUAGCAUUUUUAUUUAGUAUUGUGUAAAAAUAAUAUAUUUUAUUCAGUCUUAUUAAAAAUAUAAUCAUGUUAUACUGUAAAAGUAUUUGUGAAUUUCUUUGUUACAUAUGUGUUUAAAUUAUUUUAUUUAUAUAUGUUUUACAAUUUUUUACAAAUAUAUAAGUUGAGUAUUGCAUAGGAAUAUAAUUACACGUUAGCAAAUAUGAUUAUGUGUAAACUGUUCUGCGUGCAUGUAUAUUGCUGCUAAGUUUUAAACUUCUUACUAACCGGAAUAAUUUUGACAGAUGUGUGGAACUUGAUUAAUUUAGUUGCACUAUAAGAGAAAGCGUUUUUGUCAAUAAAAAUUGUUAAGGAAAUUAGUCCGUUGGUAGUUCUCAACGGAUUUGUAACAAUUUGACUGGUCAAUGUUCUGUCAACCAAUUAGUAAUGAAAUACCCACACUUAUUUACCAACGAGAUGUUCUAUUAGGAAAUAUAGCCACACAAUGGAAUAGUAACAAAAGACCAAGGAAUGAGCAACAUACUAGCAACGAAAGUAUCUGUUAUUAAAUAUUCCCUUGAUAAAUACUAGACUUUUUAGCACUUUGGUGCAGUGGCGGAGCCAGCCAUAAACUUUAAUGGGGGCCAAAAAUAACUUUUUAAGACAUCAUAAAAGAUGAUAGUUUAUAAUCAAGCAUCUCCCAUUAUAUUUUGAAGUAUACUUUUAAUAAGAUUAAUAGUUUGAAAAACUCUUUCAACAUUGUCUGUUGCAACAUCAAAAUUAACUUACAUUAGUUAUAUGAAUUCAAAUAUCCAUAUCAAAUUUCGAGAUAUCGAAGAAAAGAAUAGAAAACGUGCAUGUUCUACUUUUUGAAUAGAAAGAAAAUAAAGGAAUAAUAGUGAACAACCAAGAAGGCAAGAAGUAAUCGAUGAUAACCAUAAAGCCCAGAAGAGGUGGAUGAUAGAAUGUCGUCCCAGCUAAUGUAUGUCUAUAUAUUAAUAUUAAAAACUAUAAAAUCUCUAGUGGGGUCCAGUGCCCCCACAUGCCUCUACAUGCCUCCACCACUGCUUUGGUGGCUUGUACUAUUUCAAAUUUGCACGUUAGUGGCCCACCUUUAAAAGUCAUCAAUUGUGUUGCUGAACUUAUUUUUUUUUAACACAUUAGGGGCUCUGCAUCAUAUCCGUUAAAUCGAAGUAACGGCGUCAAAUGAUCAAUACAUAUCUCCUCCUCCUCUUAUUUCCCUCCAAAUUAAAAACGAAACGGCUACCCCCUUUUCCGAAGCAAGAACGACGACGAAUUCCUGCUUACAGAGAUGAGUUGGUUCCGGCGUCUUAAAGAGGAUGCUGAUGUGUAUCAGCCUCGACAGUGCCCCGAUUACUGUGGUAAGCUCUUCAACUUUUCUUCUUUGUAGCAUAUGAAAUGAGUUUAAUUGACCAUUAUUUCAGUGUUUGUUGUUGUUAGUGGCUAGUUGUUUAGUAUUAUGGACCUGCAAUUGCUUUAUACUAUUAAAAUGGAAGAUUCUGCUUGUGGGUUUUUAAAAAUUAGGGCUUUUACAUAGUCCAAGAUUCGGUCAUUAUAAAAUCAAUUUAUGCCUGUUUUAGUAUAAUGCUUGUUGUUAGUGGCUAUUUGUUAAGUAUAGUGUUGUUUAUUGUAAAUAAAACUGUUGCUUUGCACUCUACAUUUGCAGAACCUGGUGAUUUUACCCUAAAAAUAUAUCAUGGGGCCGAUUGGGUAGAUAACCCUAGGGCAUAUGUGGGAGGUACAGUAGAUUUCUUUGACUUCUGUAAUGCUGAUCAGAUCAGCAUAAUUGAGAUAUAUAGUAUGUUGAAAGAGGUUGAUGAGUUUGGGUUUCACCAACUGUGGUAUAAGCUACCUGGCACUACAUUCGAUAGAGCUUUUGUACUAAAUAAUGAUGAGGAGCUAAUGACCAUGUGUGAGCUUAUAUCUGAUGUGGAUAAGUAUAUGGAGAUUUAUGUCACCACUAUGGCACAUCUAAGUACAGUGCCCUAUAGAGAUUUAGAGGUUGAAUUUGUUGAACCAACUCCUAAAGAAGCACCUGAAAAGAACAAUCCAUCACCUGAAAAGAUCAAUCCAGCACCUGAAAAGAUCAAUCCAGCACCUGCAAAGAUGUAUCCAGCACCUGCAAAGAGCAUUCCAACUGUGGGAAAUGAUGAUGAUCAGGAAGAGUUUGAGUUUGAUUUUGACAAUUGAUAGAAUAUAUUUUUGUAUAUAUUCUAUAUGAUUUUAUUCCCAUAUUUAAUUAUAUUUUGCACUGAUUUGGAUAUUUAUUUAAUAUAUUUUCAUGUUUUAUUGUAGGGAAUAAAGAAUUCCAAGUUGAGAAGGAUUUGAAGAUAAAUUAGCUAUUUUGGAGUUAAAUUCUAAAGAAAUUCGGAUUUAUUGGGUUUUACCCGAUUUCUGCACUGUUUGAGCCAUAUCUUGAGUUCCGGAUGUCGGAAUUGGACGUUCUUACAGCUCACGCGAAGCCCUUGAUAUUUCCUUUAAUUUAGAAGUGGCCCAGCAAGAAAAGUCCAACUGGAAAAGCCCGAAAACUGGACAGAACAGAAAGCUACGAAUUUUGAGACUAAAUCCUACUUGGUUUUGGAGUUUUAUUCAUAUAUUAGUUUUAAAUAUUAAAAGAGGUAUAUUAUUAGAGAUAGGAUUAGUUUUUAUCAUUGUACAAUAUUAGAGUAGGUUAGGGUUAGAGAGAAACUUAGAGGAGAGGCCAUUACUCUUUUUUGGAUGACAACAAUGAAGGUUUAUAAAGGUUUUCUUCUAUAGUUUUCUUCUCUUUACUUGUUAGUUUAAUUAUGUCUUUUAAUUAUUCUAGUUGUUUAAUUAGUAUCGAGUAGUGUGUUCUAGGGUUUAAGGGGAAGCCAUGUUUGCGUUAUGAUGUUGGCAUGAUUUAACAGUGAUUUGAUUGAUUGGUUAAUUCUAAUUGAUAUGUUUUAAUAUUGAUUUAUGUAAUCGGCCGAUAUCAUGAAUUGAUUCUAUGCGAAUAGGAGUAUGAUCGAGAGAUAUACGACUAGAGGCACACAUACAAUUAGCAGAAUUGAAUUUGAGUGCGAGAGCAUCAUUGAAUUUCUGAAAGCGUUAAUACUCGAGAGAGAUUAACAUUGCUUUAAUUAUCUGAUUAAUUGGAUUACUAAAAGUGAUUAUUUGUGUAAGCAUGUUUCGAGAGUGUUGAUACUUGAGAGAGAUUAACAAACUCUAGUUUCAUGACCGCUUUAAUUGCUUUAGCUUAGAGCCAGUCAUUGUCUAAGCAUGGUGGACCUGAUUGCCCUGGAUUUUUAACAUAUUAUUUUAGUGUCUAUUUAGUUAGUGUUAAUAUAAUAAUGUUUAUUUAGUUAAAAAUAUUUCUUUCGAUCAUCGUUGAUUUGGGAACAAUUGAAUGUAACUUAAUAAAAUUGAUAGCAUCUGUCUCCUCGAGGAUACGACCCGCAUUUGCCAGUCUACACUACAAUAGACACCGUGCGCUUGCGGUAGUUAUAAUUUAACACAUCAAGUUUUUGGCGCCGCUGCCGGGGAGACGGCUAGUUUCUAUUAGUUUUGUUUGGUUAUCUAGAUUGUUUCCUUUGCCUCGUUGGAACCCUUGUUCCAAUUGAGGCGGAUUUUACUCUGUUUUCUUGGCUGUGUUGUGUUUUUCAGGUUUACAAUGGACGGAGUUGAUAACUUUGCACGUCUAUCUUCCCUGAUCGAGGCAUAUACUCGUGAAAAUGCCUCAUUGAAUGCUACAGAGCCCACUACACGUCCACUGAGUAUCAACGAGAUGUCACAAGCUGCCCCGAAGACUUAUAACUUCUGUCAAGUUUGUGGUGUUCAGGGUCACUAUGGUUAUGAAUGUUCUUACAAUGUAUUUAAUUCUCAGAAUGCUCAGUUGGGACAUGUGAAUGAUUAUCAAGAAAGAUAUGAGUACAAUCACUAUUCUAAUUCUUGUGAUCAACAAUGGAUGGGUCAACCAGAUUUCUCUUACAUGGACAAUGAAUUUCAAAAUUUCUCAUAUCAUGAUCAACAACAAUUUCAGCAACAUCGUUAUGAAGAACCACCACUACAGCAAUAUGAUCAGUUUGAGCAGGAAUAUCAUCAACCUCAAUAUGAGCAACCUCAGUUUCAGCAGUAUCACUAUUCUCCACUUCAACAAGAGCUACAGGUUCCUUUAACCAAUGUAGAUGUGCCAUCGUAUCAGACGAAUGAGGUAUGUGAUAUGUUGAUAUAUAUGACCAAGAGUUUUGAGGAUGGUAUCAUGAACUUCCAGAAAUGCAUUGAUGAGAGUACCAUGAUGAUUAAAGAAUUAAAAGCUGAACAACUGAUGAUGGAAGGUCAAAUUGCACAAUUGUCUAGUUCUUCUUCUACAUGUCAAACCGAAUCCUCUCCACCUCCAUGUCUUCAAGUUGAAGAUGACAUAAAUACUAUCAUUCUUGCAAGUGAUAAAGACAGUGAUAGUUUUUCGAUCUGUGAUGAUGAUGCGCCUAUUGGUAAAGGGGAGGAUCAUGUCAUUGCCAAUGAAAUUGAUGAUGUUGUUGAUGUUGUGGACCAUGUGCGUGAUGAUGAGCUAAGUGAAGAAAGCAAUAUCGAGUUGGUAGUAGUUUCUCCUCCGCCUUGUGUGCUUAAAUUACCAUUCUUGAAAGGAAUCAACUUAAUCAAGGUGGAUCAACAAUUUGAUAUGAAAAACUUUGCUUUUACUCGAACCUCAGCUCCAAUAUUUGAGAGCACAUGUUUUAAAGUUGAUGUGAUGAUUGUCCAAGAUGAGAUUUCUCAGAAUAUUUCCUAUGAUCCAUUUCAAAAGGCUCUUACACCUCAAGUCUUGGAAGAAGGUGUUUGCAAUAUUGACUUUUUAUUCAUUGAAGCAAGAAGAAGCCAAGAGAUUCAACUAGCUCCUGCGAAAGUGAGGAGUUCUGAAAAACCACCACCGGAGCCUCCACCUCAUGUGAAUAUCAAGGGAGUUCAAUCUUUUGAUGGAUGUGAAUUCUAUCGUUGCUUUAUCAUAAAGUUCUCCAAAUCUAUGAAAUAUAUUGAUCAGUUGUUAUAUCUUGAUGCGACAAUUAAUUUUAUUAAUGCUUGUUUGGAGACUUUCUGCAGGAUAAAGACAACAUUUGAUGUUAAGGAUUUUAUUUUUGGUGGUGAGAUCAUGUUUGAGAAAGCGGAAACUCCGCCUUUUACAUAUUCUUUUUGGAGGUAAAAAGUCAAGCUAAUGACUCUAAAAGAGCGCUACUUGGGAGGCAACCCAAGGUCUCUAUUAGUUUAUUUAUAUAAUAUAUUUUUGUAUUUUUUUAGGAGCUUAAAAUUUUUAUUUUCAUUUUUUUUACUCCCAUAAGAUGCCUUGAUGAAUUUGUGUGAAGUGUUUUCAGAUAUUAUAUCCAAUCACUCAUGCGGCUCCUUUUUAAAGUUCNNNNNNNNNNNNNNNNNNNNNNNNNNNNNNNNNNNNNNNNNNNNNNNNNNNNNNNNNNNNNNNNNNNNNNNNNNNNNNNNNNNNNNNNNNNNNNNNNNNNNNNNNNNNNNNNNNNNNNNNNNNNNNNNNNNNNNNNNNNNNNNNNNNNNNNNNNNNNNNNNNNNNNNNNNNNNNNNNNNNNNNNNNNNNNNNNNNNNNNNNNNNNNNNNNNNNNNNNNNNNNNNNNNNNNNNNNNNNNNNNNNNNNNNNNNNNNNNNNNNNCAUAUCUUCUGUNCUUUUAGUAAACAGUAGAAGAAGAGCUGUGGUGCUACGAUGUCUAGCUGCGGCUCCGGAGCUUCUGCCAAGCACAAUUUGUUCGCGCUAGUUUUUCACAAUCUACUUGAUAACUUGAAGCAGAGCUCCUAACUCCCAAGAUCAUCUGUUCCCUGUUCUGCUACAUGGAGUCCACGCACCCAGCCCAUUCAAGUCCAGAAGCCCAUGCACGGAGCCUGUUCUCAAUUCAGCCCAUGCUCCAAGCCCAAGACCACACCACCUGGGCCCAGUACAGGGGGUGCAUCUCAGCAACAGAGGCCCAGCCCACCAGUUGAUCCUCGAAGUCCAGCUGCUUCAGUCCAGUAAAAGUCUGCGUGUGUAUGCCUACAAAAAAGAACUGUUGCUGGUAGGAAUCGAAGACGGGUCAAUUACAAAGCAGAUCUCAGGAGCCACCUACCAACCACUGGGCCAACUGAUUCUUUUGUUGAGGAAACGCAUCCAGUUUAACAAAAACUUGAGAAGUCAAGAGCCAAUUCAACACUCAACAGCAUUUCAGGGGAGUAUUCCUUUUAACCACUAUUGUGUAAUUAUAUUAUUAUAUUUAUAUAUUUCUAUCAUAUUUGUUCAUUGAGGACAAUGAACCACUUUAGUGUGGGGAUGGUUUCUCAAUGAUAAAAAAUUAUAUAUCAUAAAAUUCAAAAAAAUAGAAAAAUUAAAAAAAAAUUGUAUAUUGCCAUGUCUUAAAUUAGGAAAUUCAUGUUAGUUGCAUUAUAUUAGAGCUAGUUACUUAAUUUUGUAUGCCAUUUUUUAGUAGAUUUUUUUCUUCUUCUUUCUUUUAGGUUACAUAAUUCAUGAAAGUAUAUAAUACCGAGUUAAUUUCUCAUGAUGAGUUUAUUUGCAUAAUUAUUUGGCUAGUAGUCUUGAUCAUAUGUGAUGUCUUGCAUGCUUAGAAAUUGCUUGUGCGGAAAUUUUAAAUACACUAUAAAAUGCUCUAGAGACAAGACUGAGACUAACUUAAUUCUUGAGUUUUAUCUAUGAGUUGAGUGUAGAAUUUUGACUAUUCCCUUUUAAGCUUAGAGUAUGUAAAUCUUAAGUUUAGGGGAGUUUUAGGAUGUAUAUGCCUUUCUAGAAAAAUGAAAAAAAAAAUAGAAUAUUGCAAAUAAAGUAUCGAGUACUCCUUUGAGAUCAACGGGUGGUAAUAUUUGAAAGGGACGAUCCAUGUACUUGUGCUGGUAUUAAGUGCAAUUGUACUAGAAAUAAAUUUUCUUGGUGACUUUUCACAACCCUUGGUUACUGGAGAAUUACUUGACUUAAAAAAAAUAGAGAAAAAAAAUGAGCUAGCAAAGUCUUAUGGUGGUCGUAACUCACUUACCAUGAGAAGCUUCCCAACCUUUGACUGAGCAUGAAAAAAAAAAGUAGAAAAUAUAAGAGAGGCAUAGAAAUUCCUUUGCGACCCUGAGCUGUAGUUGACUCUAAUGUAACGAAGCGUUUAAGCAUUAUUCUGAUAAACGACUCAUGGUUAAGACUCUGUUGAACUUUGUUGGUGUCUGUUUUGUUUCAUUAGAGAGCAUGUUGAACACACACGAUUCACUCCGUACUUGCAGCGGAAAAGUUGCAUGACUAAUGUGUGAGAUAGAUGAAUGCCUUGAAUGUUGCUUAUUCUGAAGAUUAUUUGUUAACGAGGUUGAUGCUUUCAUGAUUGUAUUAUAUGCAUUUUCAUUUAGAUUGCAUUCAUAGUAGUUGCAUGUUUAAGACCGGUAGAAAAUAAUGAAUUUUGUGGGUAGAUUCGCUAUAAACCCUCACGAGACAAAACUCGUCCUACUAGGGCUGCCUAGAGGUUUAACGGCUUGUUGCAUGCGCUCAAUGCAAUCGUGUCAUCUACGAAAGUGGUGUUAGUUAGUUAGUUAGGAUAUUUUUAUUUCUUUUAUUUGCCCGAGGACGUGCAAAAGUUAAGUGUGGCGGAUGUUUGAUAGGGUAUAUAUUUACAUAUAUUCUAGAUGAUUUUAUUCUCAUAUUUAAUUGUAUUUUGCAUUGAAUUGGAUAUUUAUUUAAUAGAUUUUAAUGUUUUAUUGCAGGAAGCAAGGAGUUCCUAAACUUGGAGGAAAUUGGAAUAAAAAGCUUAAUUUGAAGAUUAAUUAGAAGGAAAUUCGGAUUUGUUGAAUUGCUUGCACUUGAAUCACUGUUUGGGCCAUAUCUUGAGUUCUAGAAAUCAGAAUUGGGUGAUCUUACAGCCCACGCGAAGCUUAGAGAAUUUUCUUUAAUUCAGAGAUGGUCCAAUAUCCAAAAUCCAACAGAAUCAGCCCAGGAAUAGGCAGAAAACAGAGCUACGAAUUUUCUUGAAGAAACCUAUUCUGUUUAGGAAACUGUUUUGUAUUUUCUUGUAAGUAUUAAAAUCAAAUAUAUUAGAGAGAGGGAUGGGUNNNNNNNNNNNNNNNNNNNNNNNNNNNNNNNNNNNNNNNNNNNNNNNNNNNNNNNNNNNNNNNNNNNNNNNNNNNNNNNNNNNNNNNNNNNNNNNNNNNNNNNNNNNNNNNNNNNNNNNNNNNNNNNNNNNNNNNNNNNNNNNNNNNNNNNNNNNNNNNNNNNNNNNNNNNNNNNNNNNNNNNNNNNNNNNNNNNNNNNNNNNNNNNNNNNNNNNNNNNNNNNNNNNNNNNNNNNNNNNNNNNNNNNNNNNNNNNNNNNNNNNNNNNNNNNNNNNNNNNNNNNNNNNNNNNNNNNNNNNNNNNNNNNNNNNNNNNNNNNNNNNNNNNNNNNNNNNNNNNNNNNNNNNNNNNNNNNNNNNNNNNNNNNNNNNNNNNNNNNNNNNNNNNNNNNNNNNNNNNNNNNNNNNNNNNNNNNNNNNNNNNNNNNNNNNNNNNNNNNNNNNNNNNNNNNNNNNNNNNNNNNNNNNNNNNNNNNNNNNNNNNNNNNNNNNNNNNNNNNNNNNNNNNNNNNNNNNNNNNNNNNNNNNNNNNNNNNNNNNNNNNNNNNNNNNNNNNNNNNNNNNNNNNNNNNNNNNNNNNNNNNNNNNNNNNNNNNNNNNNNNNNNNNNNNNNNNNNNNNNNNNNNNNNNNNNNNNNNNNNNNNNNNNNNNNNNNNNNNNNNNNNNNNNNNNNNNNNNNNNNNNNNNNNNNNNNNNNNNNNNNNNNNNNNNNNNNNNNNNNNNNNNNNNNNNNNNNNNNNNNNNNNNNNNNNNNNNNNNNNNNNNNNNNNNNNNNNNNNNNNNNNNNNNNNNNNNNNNNNNNNNNNNNNNNNNNNNNNNNNNNNNNNNNNNNNNNNNNNNNNNNNNNNNNNNNNNNNNNNNNNNNNNNNNNNNNNNNNNNNNNNNNNNNNNNNNNNNNNNNNNNNNNNNNNNNNNNNNNNNNNNNNNNNNNNNNNNNNNNNNNNNNNNNNNNNNNNNNNNNNNNNNNNNNNNNNNNNNNNNNNNNNNNNNNNNNNNNNNNNNNNNNNNNNNNNNNNNNNNNNNNNNNNNNNNNNNNNNNNNNNNNNNNNNNNNNNNNNNNNNNNNNNNNNNNNNNNNNNNNNNNNNNNNNNNNNNNNNNNNNNNNNNNNNNNNNNNNNNNNNNNNNNNNNNNNNNNNNNNNNNNNNNNNNNNNNNNNNNNNNNNNNNNNNNNNNNNNNNNNNNNNNNNNNNNNNNNNNNNNNNNNNNNNNNNNNNNNNNNNNNNNNNNNNNNNNNNNNNNNNNNNNNNNNNNNNNNNNNNNNNNNNNNNNNNNNNNNNNNNNNNNNNNNNNNNNNNNNNNNNNNNNNNNNNNNNNNNNNNNNNNNNNNNNNNNNNNNNNNNNNNNNNNNNNNNNNNNNNNNNNNNNNNNNNNNNNNNNNNNNNNNNNNNNNNNNNNNNNNNNNNNNNNNNNNNNNNNNNNNNNNNNNNNNNNNNNNNNNNNNNNNNNNNNNNNNNNNNNNNNNNNNNNNNNNNNNNNNNNNNNNNNNNNNNNNNNNNNNNNNNNNNNNNNNNNNNNNNNNNNNNNNNNNNNNNNNNNNNNNNNNNNNNNNNNNNNNNNNNNNNNNNNNNNNNNNNNNNNNNNNNNNNNNNNNNNNNNNNNNNNNNNNNNNNNNNNNNNNNNNNNNNNNNNNNNNNNNNNNNNNNNNNNNNNNNNNNNNNNNNNNNNNNNNNNNNNNNNNNNNNNNNNNNNNNNNNNNNNNNNNNNNNNNNNNNNNNNNNNNNNNNNNNNNNNNNNNNNNNNNNNNNNNNNNNNNNNNNNNNNNNNNNNNNNNNNNNNNNNNNNNNNNNNNNNNNNNNNNNNNNNNNNNNNNNNNNNNNNNNNNNNNNNNNNNNNNNNNNNNNNNNNNNNNNNNNNNNNNNNNNNNNNNNNNNNNNNNNNNNNNNNNNNNNNNNNNNNNNNNNNNNNNNNNNNNNNNNNNNNNNNNNNNNNNNNNNNNNNNNNNNNNNNNNNNNNNNNNNNNNNNNNNNNNNNNNNNNNNNNNNNNNNNNNNNNNNNNNNNNNNNNNNNNNNNNNNNNNNNNNNNNNNNNNNNNNNNNNNNNNNNNNNNNNNNNNNNNNNNNNNNNNNNNNNNNNNNNNNNNNNNNNNNNNNNNNNNNNNNNNNNNNNNNNNNNNNNNNNNNNNNNNNNNNNNNNNNNNNNNNNNNNNNNNNNNNNNNNNNNNNNNNNNNNNNNNNNNNNNNNNNNNNNNNNNNNNNNNNNNNNNNNNNNNNNNNNNNNNNNNNNNNNNNNNNNNNNNNNNNNNNNNNNNNNNNNNNNNNNNNNNNNNNNNNNNNNNNNNNNNNNNNNNNNNNNNNNNNNNNNNNNNNNNNNNNNNNNNNNNNNNNNNNNNNNNNNNNNNNNNNNNNNNNNNNNNNNNNNNNNNNNNNNNNNNNNNNNNNNNNNNNNNNNNNNNNNNNNNNNNNNNNNNNNNNNNNNNNNNNNNNNNNNNNNNNNNNNNNNNNNNNNNNNNNNNNNNNNNNNNNNNNNNNNNNNNNNNNNNNNNNNNNNNNNNNNNNNNNNNNNNNNNNNNNNNNNNNNNNNNNNNNNNNNNNNNNNNNNNNNNNNNNNNNNNNNNNNNNNNNNNNNNNNNNNNNNNNNNNNNNNNNNNNNNNNNNNNNNNNNNNNNNNNNNNNNNNNNNNNNNNNNNNNNNNNNNNNNNNNNAUGAUGUCAAAUUACUUAGUCUUUAAUGGUAUAUUUAUUAGAAUUAUGAAACUUAUUUUAAAAAAUUAUUUUGGACGAUCCAAACUGUAUGAAUGUUAUUUUAACAUGUUAAUAUUGAUUAAAAUUGUUUUUAAAAAAAAAUUAGUUGUAUUUUAUGUGUGAAUUUUUAGUCAAAUACGAUAAAAUAUUUAUUUAGCUUGUAAUGAAAUAUUAAAACCCUACUUCAAAAGAAACUUGUCUAAAACUACCUAUAAGUGUUAGAGAAUCAUCGAUUUAGUUAUCAAAUUAGUUAUCAUAAGGGUUUUACUCCGCUUUUCUCUGGUAUGAUGUUGAUUUUUGGGGUUUGAUUGGUCGAUUUUCAUGUUUUAUAAGUUAUGUGAGUUCGAUUUUGAUGUUUUUACAAUUAGGUUUAUGUAUGUUCUUAUACAGGUUUCAUGUUCAUGUUUUGAUUUGUUGAUUUCCUAUUUUUCAUAUUUUGUUGAUUAGUUAUUUGUGUGGGUUUUGAACUUUGAUGAGUGUGUAUGUAAUCUCCUGUUUUUUUUUCAUUUUUCUGGUUCGAACACUUCGAUUAGUAGCUGGAAAAACAGCUGAUGCGGCAGUAGCGGCUAGCGAGAUGGAUAACAAGAAAAGGAUGAUUUCGAGGUCAUCUCGUGCAAGUCUUCAGAUAUAGUUUUGUUCCUUUAUGUUUUUAAUUGACAUAAAUUUUCACAUUUGAUGAUUAUAUUAUGGGGGAUUCUGGGUAUACUUGUAUAUAAUCUAGCAAGUUAUUAUAAUUCUGGACGGGGGGCUUAUUGUGAAAUUAAAUUGAGGGAUAAGUUGUGUUAUUGGUUCUAGUGGAUUAAAUUUAUGUUGACACUUGAUAUAUGCAUUGAUGUCGUAAAAUAAGUUGCACAUCAAACUAUUUGGCUUGUUUAAGUUGUAUGGAGUAAGGCUGUACGCGGAUCGGAUCGGUUCGGUUGGAGGGUAAUAACCAAACCAAACCGCAACUUACGGUUUUCUAAAAUCUCAAACCGCGACCAUACUGUUGGUUAAAAAAACCCAACCAAAUCCAUCCACGUAAUUGCGGUUGGUUGCGGUUCAACCGCUAAAAUAGUUAUAACAAAGAAAAUAUAUAAGUUAUCGCUUAAAAUCUUGCAUAAAGUACAGGCUUUAACUCAAAAAUAUAUAAUUUAUCACUUAAAAUCUUGAAUAAAGUUAAUACAAUAAAUCUGAUUACAUAUUACAAAAGCAAACUAAUCCGGAAAUAUAUAACUUGAAGCAGAGCUUCAAGUUAAUGGUUAUUAAAAAUUUCAUCCGCGACCGCCCACAUUUUACGGUUAUCCAUAAUACACGGAUCGGUUGCAGGUGGUUGUUGCGGUUAAUGCGGUUGAGCGGAUUCAACGUACAGAGCCCUAUGAAGUAUGGUUGCCAAGCAUUGAUUGGUUGUACACGUAUAAACAAAAUGAUAUUUUAAUAUUUAAACAAAACAAUACAGUCAUAAACAGAUCGUGUCGGGCUGGACUGAUUGUGAUUUUCCUUUUUGGAACUCGUACUCGGCAUCUUCCAAGCGAAUGAUAUUUAGAAGUUUGUUGCUAGUAUACUCCAUGUCAUAAUAAGAGUUCUUUAGAUUUUUUAUAUGUAAUUCGAAGUAUAAAAAACAUAUUUUAACAUAUUAUUUUUAAAUUUUUUAUACAUAAAAAUAUAACAUCUAUAUUUUUAUUUAAAAAAAAAUUUGAAAUAUAAUAUAUGGAUGCAUGUCUUUUUUAUACGUGAAAUUACAUGUAAAAAAUUAAAAGACUCUUAUUUUGAGUAAGAGAGAAUAUGAUGUACCAUAAAGUCAUCGAUCUUUUGUUAUCAAAUAAAUGUGAUAUUUAAUUAUUUAAGAGCAAGUCCAAAAGUAUCUUAGUUAAAGUCCUAAAUAUAAUAUAAAAUAUUACGUUCCGGUGAUUUAGGAUAUAUUUUACUAACUUGGACUCCAACAAUGUGUCUUAUUCUCAUAAGAAGUUUAAUAUUUUAUUAUUAAAAACUCUCUUUCAUCAUUAAAGCAUAAUAUAAAAGUAGAGAGAGAAAAAAAGUGUUGAUAAGAAUUAAUAAUAAAAUAUGGGAUAGGGUAAGGAGAGAUGUGCCUCAAAAAUAGGGCUUGAGGAGGUUGUCCUAGUGAUAUAAGGGCAAGGAGAUCAACUUUUUACAUCAAAUGCCUUAAAUAACAAUUUAGGACAUAAUAUUGGGCAUCUGCUGGACUUGCUCUAAGUUGUUACUCCUUUAUUAGGUGUGGACACGGAGACGAAGAAGUAAAAGAUGAGUACAGUUAAAUGAAGAUGUGGUAAAAUAAUGUGACCCAUUUAUAUUUAAUAAUACAUUUGAAAUAGUGGAGGAAAGUAACGAGUGUAAUAACGUUUAUAUUAUUAUAGCAUAUAGAUAGCAGAAGAAAGCAAUGGGUAUAAAAGUGUAUUAUAUUAUUAAAAUUACUAUUUUUGAAAUGUUUAGAAAUAAUGGGGCAAUCAAAAAGAAAACUGUAUAAAAAUGGACGAGAGAAUACAAUUCAAGAAGUAAUAUAUCUCAAUUCAAACUAGGUAAUAUAUUUAUGAAUUAUAUUAAAAAAAAUUUGACAUUCAAAUAUAAAAAUUUAUUUUAUCAUCUUAACAAUGGAAUAUUCGAUUAUUAACUUUCGUAAAUAACAUUAAUUUUUCAUUAUAAUAUACUCUAAACUUUUAUUUUAUGUGCCUGUUUGUUUACAAGAAGCUGGAGUCCUACUUCUCUUGACUCGUUUGUGUAAAAACGUAAAAAGUGCUUUUAAAAAGUACUGAGAAGGAAAUGGAAGUAGAAAAUGCUAGUUUUUCUUUAUAAUAUCUAUUUCUUUUCUAGACACUUUAAUAAUUUAUAUAUAUUAAUUUAUUUCUCACUUAUACUCCAUUUUUUUAUAGAGAACUUCUUUUAAACUAAUCGGCUCCUAUAAUCAGUAGUUUCUCAAUUUUAACAGGAAUAAGAGCAUGUUUAUCUGAGCUUAAAGCCCGGGGUUUAUAUCAUCUCUGGCUUUAAGCUGAAAAAUGUAUGUUUGUGUAUUAAGUCGGAAGUCGGCUUAAAGUCGGAAAUAAGUCAAAAAUUGACCUAAAACCAGAAGUUAGUUUGAGAUACUUUUCUCGGUGACUAAUUUUUUUUUUAGCCAUUUUUUGAUAAAAAUUAUUCUUAAAUCACAAAUUACUCAUAAAUCACUUUUAUUAUUAUUAUUACUAUAUUUUUAAUAACUUAUAAGUUAUUAAUAAAUCAAAAUUAAUCAAACAAAUAUUUUAAGUUCUCAUAAGAGUUUAUGAGAUAAGUAACGUUAAGUCAUGAAUCAACUGAACGGGAUGUAAGUCUUCUUCUCCCCGAGUCAUCAGCAGACUUUUUCCAUGUCUUCUGAGCCCCCAUUGGCUCACAAUUGGCCCAAAAAAUAUUUGGUUAUGCAUUGCUAUUCACACACUUAGACAUCAAAAUUUAUCAUCCGACAGGCGACAGCUAACUGCACACUAUUUUUCCCACAAGCUGAAAAAUCAACGAUCAAUUAAUUUUUCUUAUCAAUUAAUAAAGUUAUGAUUUCACGUACACGGCAGGCAAAAUGCUAAUAAAUAGACGAGUGCAGUAUAGUAUGGGUUCAUGAUCACCUUGAGAUUUAAUUGAAAAAUAUUAUGGUGAUAUAGAUUAAAUUAAAUUAUAAUAUCUUGAAAAGUUAUAAAUAAUUUUAAUUACUAAUAAUAUUUAUUUGUACAUUUAAAUAUUUUUAUAAAAACACAAAAAUAGCAUUAUACUCAUUUAAGUUUCUCGUAUCCGCCUCUCUUCUUGGAGAUUGUGGAUUUGCGAUAUUUAUAUUGAUUAUUAUAGGAAAAUGUUAUUUCCAGAGCAAACAUUUUUAUUUCCGGAGCAAAUUCAAACAAAUUUUUCCAAAUUGUUCUGGAAAUUAAAAUAUUGAUAUGGAUAUAACAAUUCCCUUAUUAUAUCCUAUGUAUAUUACAUUAAUGCAAUUAACAUGGUUGAUUGUUUUAGUAUAUAAUCAUAUUACUGUGACCUUUUAGUAUAUAAUUAUAUUAUUUUUGUUAUAUUUUAUGCAUCUAGAAACAAUUUUUUUAUGAUAUUUAUUAUAUUAAUUAUAGUAAAAGAUAUAAUUUUGUUUAAAAAAUUGAAUAAAACUAAGAGGGAUAGCCUACGUCUCUCCGAGUCUUCGAGGACUCAUUCCAAGUCCGAGAGGACCACAGCCUCAACCUUUAAGAGAUGUGAAAGUAGCUUGAGAGUGAUAUAAAUUUAUUUUUGACAAUAAAAUUUAAUAAUCAAAUAAAUUAAAUUAAAUUAAACUAGUUUAUAAUCGAUUAAAAAUAUAUAAAUCAAAAUUAUUCCCGAAUUAUGAUAACAAUUAAAAUCAUUUUAAAAGUUGCAUAAAUCAAAUCCAAAUCGAACAAAUUCCCCUAACACUAAAAUGUAGUUGCUUUAUUGUAGAUAAAAACAGUAUAAUAAUAGUAUUGAUGAAAAAUCAAAUUCAUCAAAUAAGUUUAUAAAAAAUACAUGAUUUUAAUUUUAAAAAAAAAACAUGAUUUUAGUGUGUUGUAUUAGUAGUGUGUCCACGCAUUUAUAUAUUAAAAUCUAUCCUCUAAAAACUAUCGAUCUAUUUACACAACUAUUGAUCUGUCGUGCAACAAAUUCCAGGGCGAAGUUCCAAAGAGAGCUUAAAUGGCUUGCAUUGCUCAAUCUAUCUCAUAAUAGUCUUAACGACAUAUGUUUUGAAUUAUUAUUAUGAUUUCAACAAUAUUUUCAAACAUUUCUUAAUAUGUAUUUUCAAAGAAUUCUCAAGCACUUGAACAUUUGGACCGGUUCUUUCGAAGCCAGGCAAUGCACAAAAAUGUCCAAAAAUGAAUAAAUUAAGAGAGAGUAGCUCACCCUUUCAAAGCCUUCCAGGACUCAUUCCAAGUCUUCGGAGGACCACUGCCUCCCCCUUUCAAAGAUGUGAUAGUAGCUCGAGAGUGAUAUAAAUUAUUUUCCCGACAUUAAAAAUAAAAAAUCAGAUUAAAUUAAUCAAUAAUAACUUAAGGAUGAAAUCCAAAUUAAUCCUAAAUUUUGAUAAUAUAUAAAAAUUAUAAUUAUAAAUUAUAUAACCAAAUCAGAAUUGAAUUAACUUACUUGGCACUAGAAUUGCUAAAGACAGUAUAAUAAUUUAAUUGAUGAAAAGUCAAAGUCUUCUAAUAAAUCCAUAAAGAAUAUGAUAAUAUGAAAAUUAUAAUUGAAAAAUCAAAAUCAAUAGUGUAUUGGAAUAGUGUUCACACACUUAUAUAUCAAAAUUUGUGGUCCAAAAACUAUAGCACAAUAUCCUAAAUACAUCACAUUAAAUAAUAGCACAAAAAUAUUCAAUAAAUAAUUGAUUUCAUUCAUAAAUUUGUUAUUUUAAAAACUAAUAAUUUGGUUGAUGUUAACCUAUAUUUUAUAUAUAAUUUCGUCUUAUUUUAUUUUACUAGAAACAAUAUUUUUAUAAUAUUUAUUACAUUAAAUAUAUUAAAAGAUAUAAUUUUAUUAAAAAAAUUGAAUAAAAUUAAAAGGAUAAGUCUCGGCCUCUCCAAGUCUACAAGACUCAUUUCACUACAAGAAAAAUGCAUAAAAGCGACCACCUAAAUGCGUGAAUGAAAAAAUAAUUUUAGAAAAACGAAAAUAAUCAUUCGUGACAAGACUAGUUAAAAAUAAUUGUUUAAUUUUUUUGACCAUUAUGAGAAGACACUAUUAAGUCGUUAUUUUUUAUUUCUUCACAUAAUUAAAAUCAACACAUAUUAAGAUAUUUAUGAUUGAAUGGUGAAAAAAAUAAAUCAAAUAUCAUAGAUCACAAGACUAGUUAUUUAAAAUUUUUUAAUUAAUCUUUACUAUUAUAAAAAUAUAUAAAUAAAUAUUUAUUUUUAUUUCUCCACAUCACAAAAAUAAACUCAUGUUAACAUUUAUGUGUGACUCGUGAACUUUUUUAUAAAAAUCAUAAAAUAAUUAAUACUGGCAAAAGCGACCGGCUAUAAAAUGGUAGCUUUUGUUUUUAUAUUUUUUUACUUCUCUUAGGCGGGAAAAUUCCCGCUCAAACACAUGAAAGUUAAAAGCGACCGCUAGACUUAGCCGGUUGCUUUUAUAUUUAAAAGCCACCAAACAAAAGCGACCCCUCGUAAAAGCCACCAAACAAAAGCGACCGCCAAUAAAAGCUACCAAACACGGUCGCUUUUGUUUAUCAGUCAAAUCAAAUUUCUAUUUUGAGUAAAAGCCACCGCUUUCGGUGGCUUUUAUACUUGGUCGCUUUUGUUUGGUGGCUUUUAGUGUUUUUUCUUGUAGUGUUUCAAGUCCACCGAGGGCCUCAACCAUUGAGAGAUGUGAAAGUAGCUUGAGAGUGAUAUAAAUUAUUUUCAUGACAAUAUAAUUUAAUAUCCAAUAUAAAUUAAUUAAAUUAGUUAAUAAUGAAUCAAGACUAAUCAUGAAUUAUGAUAAUAAUUAAAUAAAUUAUAAAAUUAAAUUAUACAAAUAACACUAAACCUUAGUUACUUUAUUGGUAAAAUAAAUAUAAUAUAAUAAUUAAAUUGAUGAAAAAUCAAAAUCAUCUAAUAAAUUCACAAAAAAUAUAUGAUCAUUAGUAUAUUAUAUUAGUAUCCACACACUUAUAUUUCAAAAUCUAUCCUACAAAAUUAUCAUCUCUGUAAACUAGCCACAAAAAAUAAAAAUUUAAAGAUAUUAGAUAUUUAGUUAUUUUCAUUAUAUAAUUUUUCCACACUAAAUAACAAAAUAUCUUUAUCAAAUUAUUAUUUAUGAAUUAAAUAUUCAAGUUAUAAAUUGAAGUGUGCAGUAUGAUAUCAGAUUCACAUAACCCAGUUGAUCAGGAGAAACAUGGCCUACUCUGCAAAGCCUUCUCACCUUCUUCUCUUUGUUUUCUUUCUCUCAUCACUUGAAUGCAUUCUUGCAACAACACGAGAAGGAGAAGCUCUUGUGAAGUGGAAGAAUAGCCUAGCCCCUUCUUCUUUUCUCGACUCUUGGUCACUCACCAAUCUCGAUAAUCUUUGUAAUUGGACUGGCAUUACUUGUAACUCUGCAGGUUCAGUCUCUAAGAUUAACCUUUUUGAGAAACAACUUGAUGGAAUGUUGUCCGAGUUUGGUUUCACUUCAUUUCCAAAUCUCAACAAUCUCACCCUUGCAAACAACUUCUUCUCGGGUCCAAUACCGCCAGCCAUUGAGAAUUUAACACAGCUUCAAUAUCUUGAUUUGAGAAAUAAUUAUCUAGAUGGUCCCAUUCCGUUCCAGGUUAGCCAUCUUCAGAGCUUGCUCAUCUUAAACCUGUCACAGAAUGCAUUGCAAGCUCCAAAUUGGUCCCAUUUCUCUCCCAUGCCUUUCUUGCGCAUCCUCAACCUCAGUUACAAUCCUCUUGCGUCGAAAUUCCCAUAUUUUAUAUCCAAUUCUCAUAGCCUGACUCACCUUAGCCUUAAUUAUAACGAGUUUACUGGUGAUUUAGUACGUGAAUCAGUAUUUGCCAAUCUGCAUAAUCUUGAAGUCCUCAGUCUUGUUGGCAAUUCUUUUGAGGGGUCAUUUCCGCCAGAUAUAUUCAAGCUUUCCAAAUUAAAACGUCUUGCCCUGUCAAGUAACAAAUUUUCAGGUUCAAUUCCCAAUGACUUAAGGUUGCUUCAUGAUCUUGAAUCCCUGUAUUUAGGCAACAAUUCCUUUGAAGGACCGCUUCCACCAAAUAUAUUCAAGCUUUCAAAAUUAAAAAAUCUUGUUAUUUGGAGUAAUAAGUUUUCAGGUUCUGUUUCCAAUGAUAUAGGUUUGCUUUCUGAGCUUGAAACCCUCGAUCUUAACUCUAAUUUUUUUGAGGGGCCGCUUCCGCCAAAUGUAUUCAAGCUCUCCAAACUAAGGUUUCUUCACCUCUGGGGUAAUAACUUUUCAGGUUCUAUUUCCAAUAAUAUAGGUUUGCUUUCUGAGCUUGAAACCCUCGAUCUUAACUCUAAUUUUUUUGAGGGGCCGCUUCCGCCAAAUGUAUUCAAGCUCUCCAAACUAAAGUUUUUUGCCCUUCGUGAGAAUAACUUUUCAGGUUUUAUUUCUAAGGAUAUAGGUUUGCUUUCCCAACUUGAAAGCCUCUAUCUUGGCUCUAAUUUUUUUGAGGGGCCGCUUCCCCCACAUAUAUUUAGGCUCUCCAAAUUAAGAGAUCUGGACCUCUCAGACAAUAGAAAUUUAUUUGAAGGAAGUAUUCCUAUUGGACUGGGACUCUUGACUAAUUUCAGCUUCUUAGAUCUAAAUUCCAAUAAUCUCGGUGGCUAUAUUCCAUCUGACAUUGGAAACCUGAAGCUACUAGUAUAUCUUGAUCUCAGUUCUAAUCAAUUGACUGGACAGCUUUCAAAGAUCAUUUCUAAUCUCACAAAUCUUAUAAGUCUUGAUGUAAGUUAUAAUAGUUUUAGUGGAAAUAUUCAGAGUGACUUGUGGAACUUCCCUAAGGAAUAUAACAAUCAUCCAACUUUGGAAUACAUCGCUUUUAAGUGGGAACCAUUUUACAGGUAUAUUUUCUCUAUAUAUCUUUUCCUUUUCUCAUAUGUAACUAAGCUAGUAAUCUGAUUAUUGCUGUUUUACCAAAUUUUAACAAUCUUGACAGGUGAGCUUCCAACAACAAUUUGCAAUGUCACUUCCCUUUCAAUUCUUGAUUUGUCAAAUAAUGAAUUAAGUGGUGAACUUCCAAACUGUUUCGGGAAUCUUGCUGAUGGAUUGCUUUACAUUAAUCUUGCUAAUAAUCAGUUUCGAGGAACAAUACCAACUACUUUCUCCAGGAGUUGUCAGCUGACAUGCAUAUCUAAACAUGGAUAAUAAUGAGUUUGAAGGAUUGAUGCCCCCAUCUUUGGCGAACUGUAAGCACUUGAAAAUUCUUGAUAUAGGCAAUAAUAAAAUAGGUGGUACAUUUCCGUCAUGGCUUUAUGCACUUGGAGAGCUAGAAGUUCUUGUCUUGCGAUCAAAUAAACUCUAUGGUACAAUAAGUGGAAGGAGCACAGAAGAUCCCUUCCCCAAGUUGCGGAUUAUGGAUUUGUCCAACAAUCAAUUCACAGGCCAUUUGCCAAUUCAAUACUUUAAGAAUAUGAAAUCAACUGAUAAUUUGUAUCGUUUUCAGAAUGUGACAGCAGUUUUUACUAUCCAUUAUGAAGCAGCAGUCUCAUUAACUGUGAAGGGAACAGAGUAUGAAGUGACAAAUAACCUUCAUAUUUACACAGCUAUUGAUCUGUCGUGCAACAAAUUUCAGGGUGAAAUUCCAAAAGUUAUUGGAGAGCUUAGAUGGCUUGCAUUGCUCAACUUAUCGCAUAAUAGUCUGACAGGACAUAUCCCGUCAUUGCUGAGAAAUAUGAAAGAACUCCAAUCUUUAGAUUUGUCCUCAAAUCAACUGACAGGGGCUAUUCCACCUCAGUUAACUGCACUGACAUUUCUAGAAGUCUUAAACCUCUCGGGAAACCAUCUUAGUGGAGAGAUUCCUCAGAAAGGACAAUUCAGCACAUUCAACAAUGAUUCUUAUCUAGGAAACUCCGCAUUAUGUGGAUCACCAUUGAUGAAGAAAUGUGCAAACACAGCAUCACCUCCACAAGAAGUCGGAAAUGGUGAUGAAGAUGAUGCUGGAGAUGAAUUGACAUGGGAAGCAAUCGUGAUGGGAUAUGGAUGUGGACUGAUAUGUGGAUUGUCAUCUGCAUACAUUGUUCUCAAACUAGGAAAGCCUUGGUGGUUUGUGAGAUAUAUCGAAGUGCUGCAACUGAAGUUGAUGAAAAGAUAUGCAUGAAGAAUGGUACUGGCCAAUCAAGACCAACUUGAAAGUUGUUGGACAUUUCUGAACCAGUAGUGUACUAUUCUCUUUGUGGCUGCAUAAGUUUUUGGUAUUGGUGUAAUAUUUUGUUUGGUCUUGAAUCAUAAUGAUUUUUCUUUUUUCAGGGGUAUUAAUAUAAACCUUGGUAUUGUGUAAUAUUCUGUUUGAUCAAUGUUUAUAUCAGUAAUUAUAUGCUCCUCACUGCAUCAUGCAGCUCUCAUAAUAUUAUUAUUAUUAUUAUUAUUAUUAUUAUUAUUAUUAUUAUUAUUAUUAUUAUUAUUAUUAUUAUUAUUAUUAUUAUUAAUUGAUUACACACUCACACGUGGGGAGUCGACCUCCCGACCUCCAGCAAAGGGGUAAAAGAGCUCUCAUAUUAUCUUCAUAUGUGUAUUAUUUGGAUAUCAAAGUUGCAGGGACAUAUGGAUAUGUGUUAACAGGGACUGCUCGGUCUUGGACGGACUCUUUCCAAGUCCUCUGGGGUCCUAUCGAUUCAAAUUAGUCUAUUAUCUGCAUACUAGCUAAUUUGUCCAACUCGGGCUUCAAUAGUAAAGAUAAUAGGUGCGAGUUGAGUUUCUCAAAGUAUGAGUACAAUAUCGUUUUUUAAUGAUAGUUAGGGGGUGUGAUAUGCAAUUACCUCAAAAAUAUAUGAUCAUUAGUAUAUUAUAUUAGUAUCCACACACUUAUAUCUCAAAAUCUAUCCUCCAAAAUUAUCAUCUCUAUAGGCUAGCCACAUAAAAUAAAAAUUUAAAGAUAUUAGAUAUUUAGUUAUUUUCAUCAUAUAAUUUUUCCAUGCAAAAUAACAAAAUAUCUUUAUCAACUUAUUAUUUAUGAGUUAAAUAUUCAAGUUAUAUAAUUCGGGCAUGCUGGGUAUAAAUAGAAGUGUAACGCCUAAUUUCCGGGGUCUGGGAGUAGUUGGCGGGGUAUGAGAGAGCAGGCUAUUCAGAAGUCUUGGUCAUGAAAACUUCCAAGCUAACUUCGACAACGGAAUCUUCUGAGGCUACUAUUCUAAAGCACGCAUAAUCAUUGUAUUCAUAUUCCUCUCACACUGACAAAAAGUCUAUUUAAGCAAAUGAAAUACAAACAACUGAGUGGAAUGCUGACCGAAAAUCUUUUUGGCUGAGCUUAUGAGUUAUUAGUACAUGAUUAAUAUGAUAAGCUAAGCUGAGAGCAUAAGAUAUCGUUUGUAUAAUUUUGUGUUUAUUAAUGACUUAUAAAUUAUUAAAAAUAUAAUAAGAAAAAUAAAAAUGUUUUAUAACUAAUUUAUGUUUCAUGAGUAAUUUUUAUUAGAAAAAAGUUUUAAAAAAUUAUUUCACUGGAAAAAAACCUCCAACUAACUUUUGGCUCUAAAGUCAGUUUGUGACUUAUUUCUGACUUUAAAUCGGCUUCUCACUUUUACACAAACAAAAAUUUUUCAGCUUAAAGUUAAAAACAACUUUAAGCUCCGGUUUUAAACCUCGACAAACAUGCUCUGAGUUUGGUUUCACUUCAUUUACAAACCUCAACAAUUUCACCAUCAAACACAAUGACUUCUCCAAUCUCCGGUCAAGUACCACCAGCCAUUGAGAAUUUGGCACAACUUCAAUUCCAUACCAGGUUAGUCAUCUUCGGAGAUUACACGUCUUAGACCUGUCAAAUACAAAUUUCAAUCUCCAAACUGGUCCGACUUAUCUUCUAUGCUUUUUGUUGAGUCCGGCUCAUCUAAAGCCUUAAGAUGUUAGAAGAAGCCCCCAAUGAAUCUUAUAUAUGCUAUAUUUUAACAAUUCUGAGCACACUCAACCUUGGUAUUAAUAAUAUUGUGUCGAAAAUUCCAGAAUUUAUAUCUAAUUCUCAUAGCCUAACUUUCCUUGACCUUUCCAUAUAACAAAUUUACAGUUAAUCCUGUGCUUGAAUCAGUAUUUGCAACCAAAAUUAUGCAAUUAUAGUGCAGGUAGUCUUCCAGUUCUUCCUACUCUAUGCUAUAAUUUCAUUUGAUACCAAUAAUUUUACGCUCUACACUCCAGGAUGAGCUCGCAUAUUAUUGACAGCUAUAAUCCUUCCAACAAUUUGCGAUGCAAAGCAGGGGGGCGCCUGUAUUUUCAUAUGUCUAUAUUAUUGGAGAUUAAAGUUGUAUGGACAAUUGUGUUGAUAAUUUGCCCAAUGUUAACAGGGAUAGGUUGGCUUAAUUUGCCCAAUGUUAACAGGGAUAGGUUGGCUUAAUUUGCCCAAUGUUAACAGGGAGAUUAAAUGGCUUGCAUUGCUCAACGUAUAUCUCAUAAUAGUCUUACCGGACAUAUGUUAUGCAUUAUUAUUAUGCUUUCAUCACUAUUUUCAAACAUUUCUCAAUAUAUAUUUUCAAAGAAUUCUCAAGCACUUGAACAUUUGGACCGGUUCUUUCGAAGCCAAGAUGCCCAGGGUAUCAUGGCCAUGCACAAAAAUGAAUAAAUUAAGAGAGAUUGCUCAGGGUCUCCCCAAGCCUUUCAGGACUCAUUCCAAGUCUUCGAGGACCACUGCCUCACUCUUUCAAAGAUGUGAUAGUAGCUCGAGAGCGAUAUAAAUGAUUUUCCUGACACUAAAAAUAAAAAAAUCAGAUCAAAUUAAUCAAUAAUAAAUUAAAGAUGCAAUCCAAAUUAAUCCUAAAUUUUGAUGAUAUAUAAAAAUUAUAAUUAUAAAUUAUAUAACCAAAUCAGAAUUGAAUUAACUUACUUGGUACUAAAAUUGAUAAAAACAGUAUAAUAAUUUAAUUGAUGAAAAUUCAAAGUCUUCUAAUAAAUCCAUAAAAAAUUUGAUAAUCAAAAUAACGAAAAUUAUAAUUGAAAAAUCAAAAUCAAUAGUGUAUUGGAAUAUUGUUCACACACUUAUAUAUCAAAAUUUGUGGUCCAAAAACUAUAGCACAAUAUCCUAAAUACACCACAUUAAAUAAUAGUUCAAAAAUAUUCAAUAGAUAAUUGAUUUCAUUCAUAAUUUUGUUAUUUUAAAAACUAAUAAUUUGGUUGAUGUUAACCUAUAUUUUAAUAUAUAAUUAUAUUAUUUUCAUCUUAUUUUAUUUAACCAGAAACAAUAUUUUUAUAAUAUUUAUUACAUUAUUUAUAUUAAAAAAUAUAAUUUCAUUAAAAAAAUUGAAUAAAAUUAAGAGGAUAACUCUAUGCCUCUCCAAGUCUACAAGACUCAUUUCAAGUCUACCUCGGACCACUACCUCAACCAUUCAGAGAUGUGAAAGUAGUUUGAGAGUGACAUAAAUUAUUUUCGUGACAAUAAAAUUUAAUAUCUAAUAUAAAUUAAUUAAAUUAGAUAAUAAUAAAUCAAAACUAAUUAUGAAUUAUGAUAAUAAUUAAAUAAAUUAUAAUUAAAUUAUAUAAAUCAACUCCAAAUGAUACAAAUAACACUAAACCUUGGUUACUUUGUUGGUAAAUAAAUAUAAUAUAAUAAUCAAAUUGAUGAGAAAUGAAAAUCAUCUAAUAAAUUCACAAAAAAUAUAUGAUCAUUAGUAUAUUAUAUUAGUAUCCACACACUUAUAUUUCAAAAUCUAUCCUCCAAACUUAUCAUCUCCGUAAACUAGCCACAUAAAAUAUAAAUUUAAAGAUAUUAGAUAUUUAGUUAUUUUCAUUAUAUAAUUUUUCCACACUAAACAACAAAAUAUUUUUAUCAAAAUUAUUAUUUAUGAGUUAAAUAUUCAAGUUAUAAUUCCAGCAUGCAGCGUAUAAAUAGAAGUGUGCAGUAUGAUAUCAGAUUCAUAACCCAGUUGAUCAGAAGAAACAUGGCCUACUCUGCAAAGCCUUCUCACCUUCUUCUCUUUGUUUUCUUUCUCUCAUCACUUGAAUCCAUUCUUGCAACAACACGAGAGGGAGAAGCUCUUGUGAAGUGGAAGAAUAGCCUAGCCCCUUCUUCUUUUCUCGACUCUUGGUCACUCACCAAUCUCGAAAAUCUUUGUAACUGGACUGGCAUUACUUGUAACUCUGCAGGUUCAGUCUCUGAGAUUAACCUUUUUGAGAAACAACUUAAUGGAAUGCUGUCCGAGUUCGGUUUCACUUCAUUUCCAAAUCUCAACAAUCUCACCCUCGCAUACAACUUCUUCUCGGGUCCAAUACCACCAGCCAUUGAGAAUUUAACACAGCUUCAAUAUCUUGAUUUAAGCAUGAAUAGUCUUAAUGGUCCCAUUCCGUUCCAGGUUAGCCAUCUUCAGAGUUUGCUCAUAUUAAACCUGUCACAGAAUGCAUUGCAAGCUCCAAAUUGGUCCCAUUUCUCUCCCAUGCCUGUUUUGCGCUUCCUCAAGCUCAGUAGAAAUCCUCUUGUGUCGAAAUUCCCAAAUUUUAUAUCCAAUUCUCAUAGCCUGACUUAUCUCAACCUUUCACAUAACAAGUUUAGUGGUGAUCUUGUACGUGAAUCAGUAUUUACCAAUCUGCAUCAUCUUGAAGUCCUCAGUCUUGUUGGCAACUCUUUUGAGGGGUCAUUUCCGCCAGAUAUAUUCAAGCUUUCCAAAUUAACACGUCUUGCCCUGUCAAGUAACAAAUUUUCAGGUUCAGUUCCCAACGACAUAAGGUUGCUUUGUGGUCUUGAAUACCUAUAUUUAGCUGACAAUUCCUUUGAAGGACCGCUUCCACCAGAUAUAUUCAAGCUUUCAAGAUUAAAACAUCUUGUUCUUUGGAGUAAUAAGUUUUCAGGUUCUGUUUCCAAUGAUAUAGGUUUGCUUUCUGAGCUUGAAGCCCUCAAUCUUGACUCUAAUUUUUUUGAGGGGCCGCUUCCCCUAAAUUUAUUCAAGCUCUCCAAACUAAAAUUUCUCACCCUGACAAGUAACAAAUUUUUAGGUUCAAUUCCCAAUGACAUAAGGUUACUUUGUGAUCUUGAAUACCUAUAUUUAGGCAACAAUUCCUUUGAAGGACCGCUUCCACCAAAUAUAUUCAAACUUUCAAAAUUAAAAGAUCUUGUUCUUUGGGGUAAUAAGUUUUCGGGUUCUGUUUCCAAUGAUAUAGGUUUGCUUUAUGAGCUUGAAACCCUCGAUCUUAACUCUAAUUUUUUUGAGGGGCCGCUUCCGCCAAAUUUAUUCAAGCUCUCCAAACUAAAGAUUCUUUCCCUUUAUAAGAAUAACUUUUCAGGUUUUAUUUCUAAGGAUAUAGGUUUGCUUUUCGAACUUGAAAGCCUCUAUCUUGGCUCUAAUUUUUUUGAGGGGCUGCUUCCCCCACAUGUAUUUAGGCUCUCCAAAUUAAGAGAUCUGGGUCUCUCAGACAAUAGAAAUUUAUUUGAAGGAAGUAUUCCUAUUGGACUGGGACUCUUGACUAACCUCAGGUACUUAGAUCUACAUUCCAAUAAUCUCGGUGGCUAUAUUCCAUCUGACAUUGGAAACCUGAAGCUACUAGUACUUCUUGAUCUCAAUUCUAACCAAUUGACUGGACCGCUUUUAAAGAUCGUUUCUAAUCUCACAAAUCUUAUGUUUCUUGAUGUAAGUGAUAAUAGUCUUAGUGGAAAUAUUCAGAGAGACUUGUGGAACUAUAACGAUCAUCCAACUUUGGAAUUCAUCAAUUUAAGUGGGAACCAUUUUACGGGUAUAGUUUUUCUCUAUAGAUCUUUCCUUUUGUCAUAUGUAACUAAGCUAGUAAUCUGAUUAAUUGCAGUUUUACCAAAGUUUCAACAAUCUUGACAGGUGAGCUUCCAACAACAAUUUGCAAUGUCACUUCCCUUUCGGUUCUUGAUUUGUCAAAUAAUGCAUUAAGUGGUGCACUUCCAAACUGUUUCGGGAAUCUUGCUGAUGGAUUGCUUUACAUUAAUCUUGCUAAUAAUCAGUUUCGAGGAACAAUACCAACUACUUUCUCCAGGAGUUGUCAGCUGACAUAUCUGAACAUGGAUGAUAAUCAGUUUGAAGGAUUGUUACCCCCAUCUUUAGCGAACUGUAAGCACUUGAGAAUCCUUGAUAUGGGCAACAAUAAAAUAGGUGAUACAUUUCCGUCAUGGCUUUAUGUACUUGGAGCGCUAGAAGUCCUUGUCUUGCGAUCAAAUAAACUCUAUGGUACAAUAAGGGCAAGGAGCAUAGAAGAUCCCUUCCCCAAGUUGCGGAUUGUGGAUCUGUCCAACAAUCAAUUCAUGGGCCAUUUGCCAAUUCAAUACUUUAAGAAUAUGAAAUCAAAUGAUAAUUUGUAUCGUUAUCUGAAUUCCACAGGAGAAAUAGAUAUCUCUUAUGAAGCAGCAGUCUCAUUAACUGUGAAGGGAACAGAGUAUGAAGUAGCAAAUAACCUUCAUAUUUACACAGCCAUUGAUCUGUCGUGCAACAAAUUUCAGGGAGAAAUUCCAAAGGUUGCCGGAGAGCUUAGAUGGCUUGCAUUGCUCAAUUUAUCUCAUAAUAGUCUAACAGGACCUAUCCCAUCAUUGCUGAGAAAUAUGAAAGAACUCCAAUCUUUAGAUUUGUCCUCAAAUCAACUGACAGGGGCUAUUCCACCUCAGUUAACUGCAUUGACAUUUCUAGAGGUCUUAAAUCUCUCGAACAACGAUCUCAGUGGAGAGAUUCCUCAGAAAGGACAGUUCAGCACAUUCAACAAUGAUUCUUAUCUAGGAAACUCCGCGUUAUGUGGAUCACCAUUGACGAAGAAAUGCGCAAACACAGCAUCACCUCCACAAGAAGUCAGAAAUGGUGAUGAAGAUGAUGCUGGUGAUGAAUGGACAUGGGAAGCAAUCGUGAUGGGAUAUGGAUGUGGACUGAUAUGUGGAUUGUCAUCUGCGUACAUUGUUCUCAAACUAGGAAGGCCUUGGUGGUUUGUGAGAUAUGUCGAAGUAUUGCAACUGAAGUUGAUGAAAAGAUAUGCUUGAAGAAUGGUAUUUGGUCUUGUACUAGCUGCAUAAGUAUUUGGCAUUGUGUAGUAUUCUGUUUGGUCUUGAAUUAUAAUGAUUUUUCUUGCUUCAGGGGUAUUAAUAUAAACCUUGCUAUCUUGCUCAGUGUUAAUGCAAAUUAAGAUGAAUGAAUAAACAAAAAAUAUGCAUCAAAUUAAGAAUUCAGAAAUGGUGAUACUCAUGCAGUGUCACCAACUCAAGAAUUCAGAAAUGGUGAUACUCAUGAAGAUGACGAUGCUGAUGAUGAACUUUGAUGUGGGACUUGGGUUGACCACUUGUUGGGCCGCACAACACCUGUUAAGCAUUAGUAUGACGUUGUCCGCUCUGGAUCGUGACCAAGCCCGCACGGAUUUGUUUUCGAGCUCCUCUCAAAAGGUCUAAAACUAAUGGAGUUGUUUGGCUGCUUAUAUUCAAGAUAAAUCUUUUUGAUGUGGGAUUUGGGUUGACACCCACACAACAAGACGUGAGGAAAUAUUGUUGUCUUGAGAUGACAUAUGUUCUGAAUUAUUAUUAUGCUUUCAACAAUAUUUUCAAACAUUUUUCAAUAUGUAUUUUUAAAGAAUUCUCAAGCACUCGUGACCCCUAUAAUUUUUUCUCAGGCAACGCCUAUAGUUUCAAAGAAUUCCCAGGCACUUAAACAUUUGGACCGGUUCUUUGGAAGCCAAGAUGCCCAGGUUAUCAUGGCCAUGCACAAAAUGCAGUACCAAAGAAAAAAAAUAAUAAAUUAAGAGAGAUUGCUCUGGGUCACCCCAAGCCUUCGAGGACUCAUUCCAAGCCUCGCCCUUUCAAAGAAGUGAUAGUAGCCGGAAAGUGAUAUAAAUUAUUCUCCGGACACUAAAACUAAAUAAUCAGAUCAAAUUAAUCAAUAAUAAAUUAAAGAUAUGAAAUCAAAAUUAAUCCUAAAUUUUGAUAAUAUACAAAAAUUAUAAUUAUAAAUUUUAUUAUCAAAUCAAGAUUAAAUUAACUUACAUGGCCGUUAAAAUUGAUAAACGCAAUAUAAUAGGGUUAAAAAUGGGGCGGGUUCGGGACGGGUACUUCAUUUCCCAGCCUCGUCCCAUAUAUAUUUUUCCUGCCCCGUCUCCGCCCCAUUCUCCACGAAGAUUUAUUUUUAAUCCCCAUUGCCGCCCGCCCCACCGGGGAUUGAAUAUAAUUUCGCCCCGCCCCGCUGCUAUAAUAUUACACUUUAAUUAAUUACCUUAAAAUUUAAUAAUCAGAAUUUAAUAAAAAUAUACGAGACAUGUAUAUUAAAAGCAAAAAACUAAAUAUAAUAGAAAUCAAAGAGACAUGUUAUACAUUGUAAAAUUAUAGUUUUAUGUAUUAUAUAAUAGAUAAUAUUAAAUAUAUUAUAUUAAAUAUAAUUAUUUAUUUUUAUUAAAUAUAUGCGGGGCGGGGUGGGGAAUCCCCGCGGGAAUUCAACAAAUACCAUGCUUGCCCCAUAUUUUAGCGGGGCAGAUAAUCAUUCUCCGUCACUACCCCAUUCCCCAUAGAGUAGUGCUAGAUGCACAAAAUUGGAUACAUAAUUUUACACAAAAUGACAUGGCAAUCUAGGUGGAGAGCUUUAAUUGGUAUUAUUAAUGCAUGUGCAGGGGCUCAUUCCAAUCACAAAUUGACACAUACUCAUUCUGUGAAUAUUUCUGUACUCAAUUCUGUGCAGGUAGCAUUUUUCUUCCCCAUAUUAGCGGGGCGCAUCGGCUCCAUUCGGGGCGGGUUCCCCAUUUUCCCCACCCAAUUUUUAACCCUACAAUAGUAAUCAAAUUGAUGAAAAGUCAAAGUCCUCUAAUAAAUCCAUAAAGAAUAUGAUAAUCAAAACUACAAAAAUUAUAAUUGAAAAAUCAAAAUCAUCCUAAUAAGUUCAUAGAAUAUAUAUGAUCAGUAGAGCAUUAGAAUAGUGUUCACACACUUAUAUGUCAAAAUUUGUGGUCCAAAGACUAUGACACAAUAUCCUAAAUACACCCCCAUUGAAUAGUAGUUCAAAAUAUUUAAUAUAUAAUUGUUUUCAUUCAUAAUUUUGUUAUUAUUUAAAAAAUAAUAAUUUAAUUGCUGUUAACCUUUAUUUUAAUAUAUAAUCAUAUCGUUUCCUUACAAUUUAAUUAUCUAGAAACAAUAUUUUUGUUAUAAUCAUUACAUUAAUUAUAUUAAAAAAUAUAAUUUUGUUAAAACAUUGAAUGAAAUUAAGAGUAUUAAUCUACGUCUCUCCAAGUCUACAGGACUCAUUCCAAGUCUGCGUGAGACCACUGCCACCACCUUUGAGAGAUGUGGAAGUGGAAGUAGCUUCAGAUUGACCUAAAUUAUUUCCUGACAAUAAAUUUAAUAUCCGAAAUAAAUUAAAUUAAACUAGUUUUUUGAAACAAUUAAAUUAAACUAGUUAAUAAUAAAUUAAGAAUAUAUAAAAUCAAAACUAAUCAUGAAUUAUGAUAAUAAUUAAAUAAAUUAUAAUUAAGCUAUAUAAAUCAACUCCAAAUGACACCAACAGCACCAAACCUUAGUUACUUUAAUAUUGGUAAAUAAAUAUAAUAUAAUAAUCAAUUGAUGAAAAAUCAAAUCAUCUAAUAAAUUCACAAAAAAUAUAUGAUCAUUAGUAUAUUAUAUUAGUAUCCACACACUUAUAUUUCAAAAUCUAUCCUCCAAAAUUAUCAUCUCGAUAAACUAGCCACAUAAAAUAAAAAUUUAAAGAUAUUAGAUAUUUAGUUAUUUUCAUUAUAUAAUUUUUCCACACUAAAUAACAAAAUAUUUUUAUCAAAUUAUUAUUUAUGAGUUAAAUAUUCAAGUUAUAAAUCCAGCAUGCAGCGUAUAAAUAGAAGUGUGCAGUAUGAUAUCAGAAUCAUAACCCAGUUGAUCAGGAGAAACAUGGCAUACUCUGCAAAGCCUUCUCACCUUCUUCUCUUUGUUUUCUUUCUCUCAUCACUUGAAUCCAUUCUAACAACACGAGAGGGAGAAGCUCUUGUGAAGUGGAAGAAUAGCCUAGCCCCGUCUUCUUUUCUCGACUCUUGGUCACUCACCAAUCUCGAUAAUCUUUGUAACUGGACUGGCAUUACUUGUAACUCUGCAGGUUCAGUUUCUGAGAUUAACCUCUGUGAGAAACAACUUGAUGGAAUGCUGUCCGAGUUCGGUUUCACUUCAUUUCCAAAUCUCAAGAAUCUCACCCUGGCAGACAACUUCUUCUCGGGUCCAAUACCACCAGCCAUUGAGAAUUUAACACAGCUUCAAUAUCUUGAUUUAAGCAUGAAUAGUCUUAAUGGUCCCAUUCCGUUCCAGGUUAGCCAUCUUCAGAGUUUGCUCAUAUUAAACCUGUCACAGAAUGCAUUGCAAGCUCCAAAUUGGUCCCAUUUCUCUCCCAUGCCUGUUUUGCGCUUCCUCAAGCUCAGUAGAAAUCCUCUUGUGUCGAAAUUCCCAAAUUUUAUAUCCAAUUCUCAUAGCCUGACUUAUCUCAACCUUUCACAUAACAAGUUUAGUGGUGAUCUUGUACGUGAAUCAGUAUUUAUACCAAUCUGCAUCAUCUUGAAGUCCUCAGUUUUUCACCGAAGAGUUGUGUGAGCCUAUUUUAGACAAUGGAUUCUCUUACAAUGGUAUAACCUCUGUAACAGUUGUGUCAUUUUUAAUGACACAACAUAUGUGCGUAUAAAAACCGUUGUCUAUUAGACACUACAGGACAAAAUUUACCUUUUUACAAUAAGACAAAAUUUACCUUUGACUGUUAUUGUUAAAAAAACAUACAUAAUAAACGUAAAAAAUUUUGAAUUUUUUUAUGUAUGAUUAAUAUUGUUAAUUCUCGAGAUCCGUACGGUCAGAUCAUCGAAAAAAAUAUUUAUAAAUUAAUACAGAGUUAAUCGUAUACAUAACAAAGAUUCUAUUGAGUACUUUCUAAAUUGUAACCAUAAAACAAAUACUAAUAUCCACAUCCGAACUACAAAAUUAUCUUCAUUGUACAAAUGAACAAUAUAUAUUUGCAUAUAUGCAUAAUAUAAAUAUAUGUUUUAAGAUAAACUGUGCAAAAAUUAGAAUUUAUCAAGGAAUAGAGAAUUUUUAACUUUUAAAAAGAAAAAUUAAUCAUAAAACAGUUUCAUUGCCAUAAAUAAUUAAUAAUUAAUUCAAUUGUAACCCCUAAAAUAAUUACUAAUUAAUAAUUAAUACAGUGCUAAUCGUAUAUAUAACAAAAAUUCUAUUAUGUACUUCCUAAAUUAUAACUUUAAACACAUACUAAUACUAUUAUAUAAUAUUUUUCAAUUAUUAAUAUUAUAAUAUAUAUUAUAAUACAACUAAUUCUUUUAAAUUUUCAAUUAAAUUUUAAUAUUCUAUAAUAUAUAGAUAUAUGAAUUUAAGUAAUAUAACUUUUAAUUAUAUUACACAUAUUUCUUCUUGUUUUUAAUAAAUUAUUUAAAUUAAGAUAAUAUUAAUUAUUUUCUUGACGCAAAAACAAUUUUAAUUAUUAAUUAAAGAAUUAAAAGGAAAAAAAAGUAGAUCUGCCCAAUGUACAGGUGAAAGUGAGAAGCGGCAAAGUUCCCCCCAAAACUAAAAACCACUGCCGAGUAAAAACCCCUAACCUGUACUCUCAAAAAACUUCUCACUCACAAACACUCUCCCUGGAUCUAUGUAUCUAUCAACACUCGGGGGGUUUGUUAUGUUUAAAUGGAAGCAAAACAAUGCUAUAGUCAUUUUCAGUAUCCAUGUGGUCCUCUUGCAUCUCGGUUUGCUCUGCUUUUCACAUGUUUGUGGCCAACAUGAAUCUUAUAUCUUGUUUAUGAGUUUAAUUUUGUUUAUUUGUAUUUGAGUGGCUUGAUUUUGUAUUUCUUCACUACUAAUUGUUAUUUUCUAAAUUAUCCAUGUGAUUAGGGCUCAUUUUUAGGGGAACUUUGAAUUAGGUCAUUAAAUUACAGUUUUGGUGAAUUGGGGCUUUCAUUGUAUAUAUUUGAUUACAUACAACUGUUAAUAUUUGAGCAGCCAAGGCUCAAGAGCUCAAAAGAUGACAUAUCGAUGGGGUGACAUGUAUGGCUAACAAUCGGAGUAAUUUGAAAGGAUUAUUUUUUCGUUGGGCUGACAGAGGUAUAUUGUUCUUGACACUGGUUUUUAACUUGCUGUCUUUAGUUUAGUUGUGAAUAAUGAGAUGGUUGGAUAUUCUAUUUCGUAUUGUUGUAUGUGGUCGUUAGCAGAAGCUCAUUAAGUCUGCUAUGGUUUAUAGAUUUUAUAACAUUGAUAAGUAUGGUUUGGGUGUCUAGGCUAGUUUUGUUUGUGUGUGUAAUGGAUGUGUUUUGAUUUUUCUGAUUUUUCUGAUUUUUCGAUCAUCUACUUCUUUUUUGUUGCGGGGUUGUUAUUUGUUUACUCUUGUUCCCUGCAAAGAAAUAAGUGUGGAUAGUUAUGCAUUGGAAUCAUAAGUAGCAAUUAAGUGUUAAUUUCCAAUUCAACGAGUUCAAUGCACGCCUGUCUUCAACUAGAUCCGUUUCUUAAUGAAUUUACAAGCAUGUUUGAGCACAAUACUGAGCAGGGUUGUGUGUAGGUCACUUUAUAUAUUUUAGUAUCAAGAGACGUAUUAUGUUGAUAUGUGCUGUAUAAAAUAUUUAAUUGAAGCUAGGUUUAUGUGUAACUGUUACUCAUCUGGCUAUGGAAUACAUUCCCAGAUUAAAAAAUUUGAUAAUGAUUGAUACUGUCUUGUCACUCCAUUAAACAUGACGUAACAUCUGUAUUCAACUUUGGACUUCAUUAAUUGGUGUUAGUCGUGCAAUAUGUUUAAAUUAAAAAAGUUAUGUUUCUUUUAUAUGUUCGAAUUUACUCCAAAUUGCAUGUGGGCGUUUCACUUCUUAUGAGCAGGCUGUGCUUUGGGAAGUUUAGGCAUGCUUUGAGAAUAGAUAUUUUAAUCAAACUGUGCACUUUAGAUAUAAAAAAUCUUGCUGUUCUGAUGGAUUGUAUGGUGUGGAACAAGAGCUGUGUUCCAAGUUAUGCUCAAGACUGUGGGUUUUUUUUGUUUUUAACACCCUUCCAUAACUUCUCCAUCUUAGUUAUUAAACUCUUUCAUUCUGUAUUCCUAACUAUACCAUUCUUUUUUCCACAUAAACCAAGCCAUAAUAAGAAACUGACUUUCUCAAGGAACAAAGGACUAUCACCACAUGGCAGGAUUGUGCAUAGGCGUGCAUAUGCUUGAGUAAGUACACUUUUGGACUUAUGUUGUGAAGUAUUAUUUUUACAAAUGUCAUCCUUCUGGUCAUAUGACAAAUCUUUUCCCUAUCAUUUCUGUAAUUUGUUUUAAAGGUUAGAGCAAGAGUGGAGAUGUCCCAAAUUGAUGCAGUUGCUUACAACAUUGGCAUGGCUUUGUGGAAAGUUUUUGGUGGAGCUUCUAGCACAAUAAAACAGAUAUAAUAGUUUAGUUUCCGAGCUACACCAUUUCCCGGCUCAUUUUGUCGGCUUCUAUCGACUCUAUACAGGCUCUUGCCAGUUGUGUGAAACAUUACAAGAUUUUACAUUUUUAUAUGUGGUUGUACGUUGAUACUAUAGUUGGUAAUGAAAAUUUUUGUUACUAAUUUAUGGCUUGUUAAUUAUAUUCUCCAGCAUAGUUUAAUUAGAUUAUGUAAAACCAUUGUCUGACAUAACUAAACACAAAAGGAAAAGAAAAAGAAAACAGUUGUCCCAAGACUUACAAACAACACAAUUUUAAAAAUAAAAUCGUUGUCUAAGACAUAUACAAAUAAGUAAAUAGUAGUAACAAACCAUUGUCUAAAUCAGUAUUAUUCAAGCAUUUUGAACAAAAACUGUUGUAGAAGAGCUUUCACACAAUUGUUUCAUUAUAUAAACUAUUGUUAUACGGAGCUUCACAGAAGUGACCACUGCUCUAAGCCCGUUGUACAAGGUAGUAAAACACGAGCCUCUAAAACGCAAACAAUCUUGUCUGAUACUCUUAUUAACAAGUAAAUAUAUCCACAAACUGUUGUGGAUAGUCCUAAUAACAACACAAAUUCCAAAUAUGACUGUUGUUAUAAAAUGUUUAUAACAACACUUUGUUAAACUAAUCUGUUGUUGUUUGUGGGUGUAACACAACACGCUGUUAAAUAUAAACCGUUGUGUUUCUUGAUCUCACACAACGGUACGUACCGUUGUCUGAGGCGCGUAUCAGACGGCAUCGCAAUAGACCACGGUUUUCUUGGGUAUCAGACAACGGGCAAAAACCGUUGUCUGAUGCUGUUUUUGUUGUAGUGACAAUUCCUUUGAAGGACCGCUUCCACCAGGUAUAUUCAAGCUUUCAAAAUUAAAACAUCUUUUUCUUUGGGGUAAUAAGUUUUCAGGUUCUGUUUCCAAUGAUAUAUGUUUGCUUUCUGAGCUUGAAAGCCUCGAUCUUAACUCUAAUUUUUUUGAGGGGCCGCUUCCGCCAAAUGUAUUCAAGCUCUCCAAAUUAAAGUUACUUUCCCUUCAGAAGAAUAACUUUUCAGGUUUUGUUUCCAAUGAUAUAGGUUUGCUUUCUGAGGUUGAAACUCUCGAUCUUCACUCUAAUUUUUUUGAGGGGCAGCUUCCGCCAAAUAUAUUCAAGCUCUCGAAACUAAGAUUUCUUGCCCUUUGGCAGAAUAACUUUUCAGGUUCUGUUUCCAAUGAUAUAGGUUUGCUUUCUAAGCUUGAAACCCUCGAACUUGACUCCAAUUUUUUUGAGGGGCCGCUUCCGCCAAAUAUAUUCAAGCUUUCCAAAUUAAGAGUUCUUUCCCUUGACAAUAAUAACUUUUCAGGUUGUGUUUCCAAUGAUAUAGGUUUGCUUUCUGAGCUUGAAACCCUCCGUCUUGGCUUCAAUUCUUUUGAAGGACCGGUUCCACCAAAUAUAUUCAAGUUUUCCAAAUUAACAGGUCUUGACCUCUCAGGCUAUAGAAAUUUAUUUGAAGGUAGUAUCCCUAUUGGACUGGGACUCUUGACUAACCUCAGCUACUUAGAUCUAAGUUCCAAUAAUCUCAGUGGCUAUAUUCCAUCUGAACUUGGAAACCUUAAGCUACUAGUAUUUCUUGAUCUCAGUUCUAACCAAUUGACUGGACCGCUUUUAAAGAUCGUUUCUAAUCUCACAAAUCUUAUAUAUCUCCAUGUACAAGAUAAUAGUCUUAGUGGGAAUAUUCGCAGUGACUUGUGGAAAAACUCUUUAUCCUUACGUUACAUUGAUCUUGAAAAUAAUUAUUUGUCUGGGAACAUUCCUAAGGAAUAUAACGAUCAUCCAACUUUGGAAUACAUCAAUUUAGGUGGGAACCAUUUUACAGGUAUAUUUUUCUCUAUAUAUCUUUUCCUUUUGUCAUAUGUAACUAAGCUAGUAAUCUGAUUGAUGCAGUUUUACCAAAGUUUCAACAAUCUUGACAGGUGAGCUUCCANNNNNNNNNNNNNNNNNNNNNNNNNNNNNNNNNNNNNNNNNNNNNNNNNNNNNNNNNNNNNNNNNNNNNNNNNNNNNNNNNNNNNNNNNNNNNNNNNNNNNNNNNNNNNNNNNNNNNNNNNNNNNNNNNNNNNNNNNNNNNNNNNNNNNNNNNNNNNNNNNNNNNNNNNNNNNNNNNNNNNNNNNNNNNNNNNNNNNNNNNNNNNNNNNNNNNNNNNNNNNNNNNNNNNNNNNNNNNNNNNNNNNNNNNNNNNNNNNNNNNNNNNNNNNNNNNNNNNNNNNNNNNNNNNNNNNNNNNNNNNNNNNNNNNNNNNNNNNNNNNNNNNNNNNNNNNNNNNNNNNNNNNNNNNNNNNNNNNNNNNNNNNNNNNNNNNNNNNNNNNNNNNNNNNNNNNNNNNNNNNNNNNNNNNNNNNNNNNNNNNNNNNNNNNNNNNNNNNNNNNNNNNNNNNNNNNNNNNNNNNNNNNNNNNNNNNNNNNNNNNNNNNNNNNNNNNNNNNNNNNNNNNNNNNNNNNNNNNNNNNNNNNNNNNNNNNNNNNNNNNNNNNNNNNNNNNNNNNNNNNNNNNNNNNNNNNNNNNNNNNNNNNNNNNNNNNNNNNNNNNNNNNNNNNNNNNNNNNNNNNNNNNNNNNNNNNNNNNNNNNNNNNNNNNNNNNNNNNNNNNNNNNNNNNNNNNNNNNNNNNNNNNNNNNNNNNNNNNNNNNNNNNNNNNNNNNNNNNNNNNNNNNNNNNNNNNNNNNNNNNNNNNNNNNNNNNNNNNNNNNNNNNNNNNNNNNNNNNNNNNNNNNNNNNNNNNNNNNNNNNNNNNNNNNNNNNNNNNNNNNNNNNNNNNNNNNNNNNNNNNNNNNNNNNNNNNNNNNNNNNNNNNNNNNNNNNNNNNNNNNNNNNNNNNNNNNNNNNNNNNNNNNNNNNNNNNNNNNNNNNNNNNNNNNNNNNNNNNNNNNNNNNNNNNNNNNNNNNNNNNNNNNNNNNNNNNNNNNNNNNNNNNNNNNNNNNNNNNNNNAAACCUGUCAGAGAAUGAACUGCAAGCUCCAAAUUGGUCCAAUUUUUCCCCCAUGCCUUUUUUGACCAUCCUCGACCUUUAUAAAAAUAAUCUUUUGUCAGAAUUUCCCGAAUUUAUAUCUAACUCGUGUAACCUUACGUACCUUGACCUCUCAUCCAACAAGUUUAGAGGGGAUCUUGCGCGAGAAUCAGUAUUAACCAAUCUAGGUGAUCUUGAAACCCUCUAUCUUAUUAGAAAUUCUUUCAAGGGGUCAUUUCCGUCAGAUUUAUUCAAGCUUUCUAAAUUAAAACGUCUUCACCUGUCGAGCAACAAAUUUUCAGGUUCAAUUCCUAAUGCCAUAAGGUUGCUUUGUGAUCUUGAAUUCCUAUAUUUAGGCAACAANNNNNNNNNNNNNNNNNNNNNNNNNNNNNNNNNNNNNNNNNNNNNNNNNNNNNNNNNNNNNNNNNNNNNNNNNNNNNNNNNNNNNNNNNNNNNNNNNNNNNNNNNNNNNNNNNNNNNNNNNNNNNNNNNNNNNNNNNNNNNNNNNNNNNNNNNNNNNNNNNNNNNNNNNNNNNNNNNNNNNNNNNNNNNNNNNNNNNNNNNNNNNNNNNNNNNNNNNNNNNNNNNNNNNNNNNNNNNNNNNNNNNNNNNNNNNNNNNNNNNNNNNNNNNNNNNNNNNNNNNNNNNNNNNNNNNNNNNNNNNNNNNNNNNNNNNNNNNNNNNNNNNNNNNNNNNNNNNNNNNNNNNNNNNNNNNNNNNNNNNNNNNNNNNNNNNNNNNNNNNNNNNNNNNNNNNNNNNNNNNNNNNNNNNNNNNNNNNNNNNNNNNNNNNNNNNNNNNNNNNNNNNNNNNNNNNNNNNNNNNNNNNNNNNNNNNNNNNNNNNNNNNNNNNNNNNNNNNNNNNNNNNNNNNNNNNNNNNNNNNNNNNNNNNNNNNNNNNNNNNNNNNNNNNNNNNNNNNNNNNNNNNNNNNNNNNNNNNNNNNNNNNNNNNNNNNNNNNNNNNNNNNNNNNNNNNNNNNNNNNNNNNNNNNNNNNNNNNNNNNNNNNNNNNNNNNNNNNNNNNNNNNNNNNNNNNNNNNNNNNNNNNNNNNNNNNNNNNNNNNNNNNNNNNNNNNNNNNNNNNNNNNNNNNNNNNNNNNNNNNNNNNNNNNNNNNNNNNNNNNNNNNNNNNNNNNNNNNNNNNNNNNNNNNNNNNNNNNNNNNNNNNNNNNNNNNNNNNNNNNNNNNNNNNNNNNNNNNNNNNNNNNNNNNNNNNNNNNNNNNNNNNNNNNNNNNNNNNNNNNNNNNNNNNNNNNNNNNNNNNNNNNNNNNNNNNNNNNNNNNNNNNNNNNNNNNNNNNNNNNNNNNNNNNNNNNNNNNNNNNNNNNNNNNNNNNNNNNNNNNNNNNNNNNNNNNNNNNNNNAAAACCAUUGAUAAGGAUGGUAAAUUCGACUCUAAAUCUUAUGAAGCUAUAUUCUUGGGUUAUUCUUUAACAAGUCGUGCUUAUAGAGUGUAUAAUCUUGCUAAACAUACUGUUGAAGAGUCUAUUGAUGUUUCAUUUCAAGAGUCUACUGAUGAUCUUGCAAGGGAUGAGGAAGAAUGUGCAGGUACAGGUACUAGCAGCAAGCUGACAGUGAAGGAAACUGGAAAUCAGCAAGCUGACAAGUCAACUGCCACAACUUCAGAAGGCAAUAAAGCUACUGAAUCCACUCCAUCUCUUGAAGAAACUUUGGAUAAGAUGUCUAAGCUCACAUUGGAUGAAUCCAGAGGUCAAACUUCAUCAGCAAGCCAAAAUGUUGUUGAUCAGACUCCUCCUAGGCAGACUACAAGGAAUGAAGAGGUCAUAGCUCAACAUAAUCUACCAAAAUCAACUAGAACAGUGAAGAAUCAUCCUCCUCAGUUGAUCAUUGGAGAUAAAUCAGCUGGAAUCAAGACAAGGAAAGCUCAAGCCAACAUUUGUGCUUAUGCUGCCUUCAUAGCUCAAGAGGAACCAAAGAAUGUUCAAGAAGCUUUACAAGAUGAAAAUUGGAUCAUGGCAAUGCAAGAAGAACUCAACCAAUUCGAAAGAUGUGAUGUUUGGGAACUUGUAGAUCCACCAGAGGAUGCUUCAAUUGUUGGAACCAAAUGGGUGUUCAAGAAUAAAGUUGAUGAAUUUGGUACUAUCACUCGGAACAAAGCUAGACUUGUUGCACAAGGAUACAAUCAGCAAGAAGGAAUUGAUUUUGAUCAAACAUAUGCUCCGGUUGCAAGAUUGGAAUCUAUUAGGAUGCUAUUAUCAUUUGCAUGCUACAAGAAGUUCAAGCUACAUCAAAUGGACGUCAAAAGUGCAUUCUUAAAUGGAUAUCUAAAGGAAGAAGUCUAUGUCAAGCAACCACCAGGAUUCGAGGAUGAAAAAUAUCCCAACCGUGUCUACAAGCUCAAGAAGGCACUAUAUGGAUUAAGGCAAGCACCUCGAUCAUGGUAUGAAAGGUUAAGUGAAUUUUUGAUCAAAAAUGGUUUCAUUAGAGGUAAAAUUGAUCCUACUUUGUUUACUAUCUUUAAAGGUCAAGAUAUAUUAGUUGUUCAAAUAUAUGUAGAUGAUAUUAUAUUUGGAUCUACUAAUGAUUCUUUGUGUAAGUGGUUUUCAAAGUGCAUGCAUAGUGAGUUUGACAUGAGCAUGAUGGGAGAGCUCAAUUAUUUCUUGGGGCUCCAAAUUAAGCAAACUCCAGAAGGAAUUUAUGUGCAUCAAUCCAAGUAUAUCAAGAAUCUACUCAAAAGAUUUGGAUAUGAGAAUAUCAAGGCGAAAUCAACACCAAUGAGCGUUGUCAGCAAGCUGACAGCAGAUGAAAAUGGUAAAGAUGUUGAUAUUCGAAUGUAUAGAGGUAUGAUUGGUAGUUUACUUUAUCUUACAGCCUCUAGACCUGAUAUUAUGUAUAGUGUUUGUGUUUGUGCUAGAUUUCAAGCAAAACCAAAGGAUUCUCACUUACAAGCUGUUAAAAGAAUAUUUAAAUAUUUAAGUGGAACCAUUACUUUGGGCUUAUUCUAUCCUAUCACAAAUGCUUUUGAUCUUGUUGGGUAUAGUGAUGCAGAUUAUGCAGGUAGUCAAACUGAUAGAAAAAGUACAAGUGGUGUUUGUGCAUUUUUGGGUCAAAGCUUAGUUUCUUGGUUAAGCAAGAAGCAAACUUCAGUUGCUCUAUCUACGGCUGAGGGGGAGUAUUUAGCAGCUGGUAGCUGUUGCUCUCAAAUGCUAUGGAUGAGACAACAAUUGAAGGACUUUGGAAUCAAAUGCAAGCAAACUCCUAUCUUUUGUGACAACACAAGUACAAUCAACAUUUCAGAAAAUCCAGUCAAUCAUUCAAGGACAAAGCAUAUUGAUGUUCGACAUCAUUUUCUGAGAGACAAUGUUGCAAAGGGUGCUGUCAAGCUGAUUUUUGUGGCUACAGCAGAUCAGCUAGCUGACAUCUUCACAAAACCUCUUCCUGAAGAACGAUAUGUCAUGCUGAGAAGGGAAUUGGGCAUGUGUGAUGUGCAGUCAGCAAGCUAAUAAGCUUGGUCCGGGUACUAUCAGCUUACUCUCAGUUAUUAUGACCAUUAUGUGCUGAUUUGGAUAAUUGUUGUGAUCUCGAUGACGAUGCUUGAUUUUCUACCCUUUUGAUGAUUAAGGGGGAGAAAAUUUAGGAACUUGGUUUGUGUUGUGAAUGUUGUGUUGUGAAUGUUAUAUUUGUUGUAUAGUUUAAUGUUAUAAGAUUGCUAUAUUCAGGGGGAGUAUUAUUACUUUUCCUAAAUAUAGUGUAAUCAUCAAAAAGGGGGAGAUUGAUACUCUCGAGAUUUUGAUGAUCACACUAACAGCAACUUGAUAACAUAAAACUGUACUCUGGUAGCUAGCUGAGAACGAGAUUAUAACUGUGCUAACAGCUAAUGUCUUUUGAAGUUAUCAUUGUUCUGUCAGCAAGCUUACAGGAAUAUUGACAGACUAUCAGCAAGCUCACAGCGUACUGACAGGAUGCUUAUCGGAUAAAGAUCAAGUCCUAUUUUCAAGGAGAUUUGUUAGGGAACGUUUUGUGAGGACUCUAAUACAUAUAUAUACAGUAUAUAAAUAUUAGAGCUCAUCUUUUAUCAAAGAGUUUUAUUCAAAAUCGUUUUCCUAAAAUAUAGGAGUUGAUUUCAAACCUUGUUUAUCCUUUUAGACUCCUACUUCUAUUCAAACUGUUUUGUUUUAUAAACAAACGUUUACUGAGUUGUUUCAAACGUCUUUAUGCUUUUACUCAGUAAAAAUACAUUGUUCAAACGUUCAUUAUUCAAGCAAAUUAAACGUGAGGUUGUUGGGCCAAGAACGUUGGAUAGUUUGUUGAGUUAUGACCGUUUGGAAUGAUGGUAUAUAAACUUGAGUGUGGUUUCCGUUUUGGUAGAGAACAAGAACACACUUCAAGCUUCUGAAAUACAACACACUUACAUUGCAAAAUCUUUACUUGAGCUCUAGUACUUAUAUUUGAUUAUAUAUCUAUAUUGAGUUCAUAGUUUCGGUUGUAUUACACUCAUACAUUGUAUUGUUCAAAGUGUAAAGGUUUGUUGCUGUGUAUCGAGCUUGUGAAACAAGGGAACAAGGGGACUAGUUAGCUAGAAGAGUAUACUUGGGAAGUAUAGGUCUUGGAGAGCUUUUGGUUCGUGGUUCAGGGGUUUCAGCAAGCUGAUAACAGGAACAAGGGAUAAAGGGAGUUAUAUUAUUGAAUCAUUGUAAUCGUUAACAUUAUUGAUUAAUAAUAUAAUCUCUUACCAGUUGGUAGGGGACCAGGACGUAGACCAUUAGGGUUAGGGGUCGAACCUGGCUAAAAUUCUCUGUGUUGCUAGCUUACUGAUUAUAUCUGUUUUGCAUUGCAUCUGCAUUGUUAGCUAGCUGACUGUUUACUCUGAAAUUAACAGCAAGCUGUCUGUGACAGUUUAACUAUUCGGUAACAAUUAAAAAUCGGUCAUAUUAGCCAUAACACCUAUUCACCCCCCUCUAGGUGUGUAAUUUCAGUUUCUUUUCGUUUUCAAAUCUCACCAAUCUCAUCAUUACACAUAACAACUUCACUGGUCCAAUACCACCCGAAAUUGGAAAUUUAACAGAUGUUCAGUACCUCGACUUUAGCUAUAGUAAUCUCAAUGGUACCAUUCCAUACCAGGUUAGCCAUCUUCAGAGGUCGGUCGUCUUAGGCCUCUCAUUUAAUCACUUGAAAGCUCCGAGCUUGUCCAAUUUUUCCCCCAUGCCUAUACUGGUUGGUCGCGGUCUUAGUGGUAAUAAGCUGGCAUCAAAAUUUCCAGAAUUGAUAUCUAAUUGCUAUAACAUGAUUAACCUUGAUCUUUCAUUUAACAUGUUAACUGGUAAACCUCUGUUCUAAAAGUCGGUGAUUAAUCACCGAUUAAUCCAUGUUUCCUAGCUCGCCAAACUGAUUAAAUAUCCGAUUAUUUUAAUUAAUGUCCGAUUAAUCACCGAUCAAUGCAAUUAAUCUACAAUUAAUCCUUAUUCUGGGACUUCACCGAUUAAGCUCGAUUCCCAUUUUUUACAACGACAUAACAGUGAAUCAUGAUUAUCAAGCAUCUGUCUUGUUAACAUUGAAACGAAGAGAGCAUGAAGUGAAAGGAAUCCUUUAUAUUUACGAUGUCAACAGCCCUACUGUCAAAAUUCCUUUCAAGUCGGGGCUUUUUACGAAUAAUUGGUAAUUCAGUGUUGAACUCCGCUCAACUUAUAAUUAGAUAAUCGAAAUCAAAAAUCUUGCAAUCAACAAAUAAAUUAUUAAGAACUUGCAAUUGAGUAAUGGCCGUCAAGUCACUUAACAAUACUAACCGGAAACUAACGUGACGGGCUGAUAUGUUUAAAAAAAUGCAUGAUGACUAUAUACUUGAUGUUUACGACCCUAACUAAAAUAUCCAACAAAUAAUACAUACAACCUGAUCUAAUAAUGUAAUACCUCUACUUAAGUAUAUUUUUAUGCCAAAUAUUUAUAGAUUUGUUUUUACAAAAAUGAUUAGAGACUUUGUAUAUACAAAAAUUGAGAAUUAUUGCUUGACUAGACGAAAAUAGGUGAGUUAUGAUUAUAAUAAAUAUUUAUUUCUACGAUGUAGUUUUUAUUAGUUAUAUAUAAAAAAAAUCUUGCUAUAUUUUGAUACUAGUGCAAUGAUUACUUCAAUUUAUUUUUUAUGAGAGUUACUAAGAUAUAUGACCAACUCAUCUUGCACUCGUAUUAAUUGUCUUAUAUAAUAAUAAUAAGAAAAAUAUGAGGCGGUGCUUAGUCAGAUGAUUUUAGUUGUUAAAAUAUUUUUUUGUUAUUUAUAGAUAGUGAAACAUGUCUAAUAUUUUAUCAAUUUUGUUUCGUUUCUUGAGAUUUCCAAAUAUUUAUUAGGACAUUGUACCAUGGUGUAUUUCAAGAUAUUAUUGUUAUUUAGAUAAUUAGUCAUAUUCAAUGAAUUUUGAGGACAAAAUUUAAAUAAGAGGAGAACAAUGUCAUAUCUCACAUAUUAGCAGUUUUAAUUAUUUUAUAUUUUUAUUUUAAAGAUAAGAUAAAGUUUAUUUAUUUAUUUGUUUUUAUCUUAAAAGCGAUUUUGAGUACUUUGUUUGAGUUAGAUAUAUACUUCUACUGUGGUUCAACUAGUUUUGCCGUCAGUGAAUAAUUUCCGGUCAAUAUUUUGAAAUUUGUUGUUAUCUUCUAAUUAAGAUAAGGGGUUAAAUAGCUUUUGAAAAAUGUGAAAAAAAUCAAAAAAAUUGGGAAACCAAAAGUGGCAAGCUUUUUUUUGUUCUUUUCAAAUUUUCUAAAAUCUGGGGAAAAAAGAACUUGCCACCUAAUUUUUUCCAAAUUUUUUCAAAUUCUUUUCAGAUGUUUGAAUUUUUUCCCAAUUUUUUCCUUUUUUUUUGAAUUUAUUAAGAUUUUUUUUGUUUUUUCUGCUUAUUCUGAAUUUUUUAAGAUUUAUUCGCAUUUUUUUUCAUAUUUUUAAAAAAUAUUUUUGAAAUUUCCGUUAAGUAAUUAAUGGAACUGACAGAGAGUGAUGCUUUUGAAAGUUUUUAAUUAUUUGAUGAUGCAUCUGAAAAUUUUUCAACAACAUGAUUCAGUUGCAAAUUUCCGGCGAGGUUAGUGAUAAAUUAGCUAUUUAACUCUUAAUAAAAUCUAUCUUAACAAUAUUAUAAAUAUUAUUGUUAUGGGUUCGAUGAGUCGUGUAAAACAUGGAAGAAGUUUAGGUGGGGUAAAAAGAGCCUAGCUGGGUGAUUUCCAUUCUGUUAUACGUGAUAUACUGUAGUUGAUCAUCUCCUUUGUCCGCUUCAUCCUGUGCAACCUUAACCUUUAAGGUAAAACUUAUGAGAUUCUCUGGAGCAUCUAAGGGGCCGUUUGGACAAACUUAAAAGAAGUGACUUCUUGCUUAAACUAGAGAAGUGGAGUAGAAGUGAGAAGUAAAUUAGUUAAUAAAGUGUUUGGAAAAAAAGCAGAAGCCAGAAGCAUCUUCGGCUUCUGUCAAACAAACAGGGCCUAAAUUUUUGUGUGAAAAAUGUUAGUCUCAAAUUAUUUUUCCUAAAAUGCUUACAUGUUACAUUUUAUAUGUAUGUCCUGUCUUUAAGUAUAAUUUAGCAUUUGUAUUUAGUAUUGUGUAAAAGUAAUUCAUUUUAUUCCGUCUUAUUAAAAAUAUAAUCAUGUUAUGCUGUAAAAGUAUUUGUGAAUUUCUUUGUUGCAUAUGUGUUUAAAUUAUUUUAUUUAUAUAUGUUUUACAAUUUUUACAAAUGUAUAGGUUGAGUAUUGCAUAAGAAUAUAAUUACACUCACAACUGUUAUGCGUGCAUGUAUAUUGCCGCUAAGUUUUAAACUUCUUACGAACCGGAAUAAUUUUGACAGAUGUGUGGAACUUGAUUAAUUUAGUUGCACUACAAGAGAAAGCGUUUUUACCAAUAGAAAUUGCUAAGGGAAAUUAGUCCGUCGGUAAUUUCCAACGAAUUUGUAACAAUUUGACUGGUCAAUGUUCUGCCAAUCAAUUCGCAACGAAAUACCCACGCUUAUUUACCAACGAGAUGUUCUGUUAGGAAAUAUAGCCACAUAAUGGAAUAAUAACAACAGCCCAAAGAAUGAGCAACAGACUAGCAACGAAAGCAUCUGUUACUACGUUCGUUGAUAUUCCGUUUAUAAAUACUAACAGUUCCGUUAGUAGUUAUUAGUUUUACAUUGGCAAUUGAUAUACACCAGAUGAGCACAUACACGGAUACAAUGCCAGUCUCUUAGUUGAAAUGUGUGUAAUGCUAAAGCCCAAUGAGCUUUAGUUGAUUAAAUUGAUUUGAGUUGUAGAAAAAAGCUAAUAAUAUAAUGGAUUUUGAUAUAUGUAUUGUAAAUAUUAAGUAAUUCUCUUGAAUUUAUAUAUGUAACAUAAUUGUUAAUUGGUUCAUCCUUGACUAGAAAUUUUAUAUUACAUUCUUAACUACAAAUUUUGUAUUUAAAAUUGUUUUAAAAAAUCAACUUUUAUUUGGCAUGUGGAUUUUGUAGUCAAAUGCGGUCAAUUUACUUAGCCUUUGAUCGAAUACCAACCUGAAACAUAAAAAUAUUUUUUAAUCAUUUAUUUUCGACGAUCCAACUAUAUUCUAUAAUUGUAAUGUGAUAAUAUUGAUUACAAAAUUUAAAAAAAAAAAUUAACCUUUUAUUUGGUAUGUGCAUUUUGUAGUCAAAUGCAAUUAAAUUACUUAGUCUUUAGUGAAAUCUUUACUCGAAACAUAAAACUUUUUCUUAAAAAAAAAUUGGACGAUCCAACCGUACAAAUGUUAUUGCAACGUGUUAAUAUUGGUUAAAAUAAAUUUUAAGAAAAUAUGUCUUUUAUUUGGUGUGUGGAUUUUGCGGUCAAAUAACUUAGCCUUUAAUUGAAUACUUACCCAAAACAUGAAACUAUUUUUUUUAAAUCAUUUCGGACGAUCCAACCGUACGGGUGUUAUUCUAACAUGAUAAUAUUGAUUAUUUUUUUUAAAGAAAAAAUAUAGCCUUUUAUUUGGUGUGUGGAUUUUGUAGUCAAAUGCAGUCAAAUUACUUAACCUUUAAUGAAAUGCUUACAUUAAACAUGAAAUUAUUUUUUUUAAAAUCAUUUGGAUGAUCCAAUCGUACGGAUGUUAUUAUGACAUGUUAAUUGAUUAAAAAAAAUAUUUAAAAAAUUGCUUUUUAUUUAGUGUGUGGAUUUUGUAGUUAAAUGCUACUUGGCCUUUAAUCGAAUACUUAACCGAAACAUGAAACUAUUUUUUUAAAAACCAUUUUGGACAAUCCAACCGUACGGAUGUUAUUGUAACAUGACAAUAUUGAUUGUUUUUUUAUAUAAUAACUUUUAUUUGGUGUGUGGAUUUGUAGUCAAAUUACUUAGCCUUUAAUCGAAUACUUACCUGAAACAUGAAACUAUUUCUUAGAAAAUUAUUUUAGAUGAUUCAACCAUACAGAUGCUAUUAUAACGUGAUAAUAUUGAUUAUUUUUUUUAAAAAAAUUAGUCUUUAAUUUGGUGUAUGAAUUUUAUAGUAAAAUGAUGUCAAAUUACUUAGUCUUUAAUGGUAUAUUUAUUAGAAUUAUGAAACUAAUUUUAAAAAUUUAGUUUGGACGAUCCAAACUGUAUGAAUGUUAUUUUAACAUGUUAAUAUUGAUUAAAAUUGUUUAAAAAAAUUUAGUGUUCUUUUAUGUGUGAAUUUUUAGUCAAAUAUGAUAAAAUAUUUAUUUAGCCUUUAAUGAAAUAUUAAAAAUCCCUACUUUAAAAGAAACUUGUCUAAAACUACCUAUACGCGUUAGAGAUUCAUCGAUUUAGUUAUCAAAUUAGUUAUAAUUAGGGUUUUACUCCGCUUUUCUCUGGUAUGAUGUUGAUUUUUGGGGUUCGAUUGGUCGACUUUCAUGUUUUAUAAGUUAUGUGAGUUCGAUUUUGAUGUUUUUACAAUUAGGUUUAUGUAUGUUUUUAUACGGGUUUUCAUGUUCAUGUUUUGAUUUGUUGAUUUCCUAUUUUUCCUAUUUGUUGAUUAGUUAUUUGUGUGGGUUUUGGAUUUUGAUGUGUGUGUAUGUAAUCUCCUGUAUUUUUUUUCAUUUUUUCUGGUUCGAACUCUUCGAUUAGUAGAUGAAAAAAACUGAUGCGGCAGUAGCGGCUAGCAAGGAGAUGGAUAACAAGAAAAGGACGAUUUUGAGGUCCUCUCGUGCAAGUCUUCAGGUAUAAUUUUGUUCCUUUAUGUUUUUAAUUAACAUAAAUUUUCACAUUUGCUGAUUAUAUUAUGGGGGAUUCUGGGUAUACUUGUAUAUAAUCUAGCAAGUAAUUAUAGUUCUGAAUGGGAAGCUUAUUGUGAAAUUAAAUUGAGGAAUAAGUUGUGUUAUUGGUUCUGGUGGAUUAAAUUUAUGUUAACACUUGAUAUAUGCAUUGAUGUCGUAAAAUAAGUUGUACAUCGAACUAUUUGGCUUGUUUAAGUUGUAUGGAGUAUGGUUGCCAAGCAUUGGUUGGUUGUACACGUAUAAACAAAAUGAUAUUUUAAUAUUUGAACAAAACAAUACAGAGCCCGUUUGGCUGAACUUGUAACUCAUAAAUUAACGUGAUUUAUGAUUUAACGUGACUUAUCUAAUAAGCUGAGAGUUUUAAAAUGUCUGUUUGGAUAAUUUUGACUUAUCAACGAUUUAUGGGUCAUUAAAAAUAUAAAAAUAAAAAUUAAAGUGUUUUAUGAGUAGGUUAUGAUUUAUGGAUAAUUUUUAUAUAAAAAAAAGUUCAAAAAAAUUAAGUUACUGGAAAAAUACCUCAAACUAAUUUCAGGCUUUAAGUCAGCUUCUGAUUUAUUAGUUUUUAAGUUUAAGCCGGCUUCUGACUUAUUAAAGCCAUCAGAAUAAUUUUAAACCGCAGCUCUAAGCUACGACAAACGGGCUCACAGUCAUAAACAGAUCGUGUCGGGCUGGACUGAUUGUGAUUUUCCUUUUUGGAACUCGUACUCGGCAUGUUCCACGCGAAUGAUAUUUAGAAGUAUACUCCAUGUCAUAAUAAGAGUUCUUUAAAUUUUUUAUAUGUAAUUUGAAGUAUAAAAAAAAUAUUUUAACAUAAUAUUUUUAAUUUUUUAUACAUAAAAAUAUAACAUCUAUAUUUUUAUUUAGAAAAAAAAAUUUGAAAAAUAAUAUAUAGAUGCAUGUUUUUUUUAUACGUGAAAUUACAUGUAAAAAUCAAAAGACUUUUAUUUUGAGUAAGAGAGAAUAUGAUGUACCAUAAAGUCAUCGAUUUUUUGUUAUCAAAUGAAUGUGAUAGUUAACUAUUUAAGAGCAAGUCCAAAAGUGUUCUAGUUCAUGCUCUAAAUAUAAUAUAAAAUAUUAUGUCCUAGUGAUUUGGGACAUAUUUUACUAACUUGGACUUCAACAAUGAGUCUUAAGGCUCAUUUGUUUUGAGCUUAACAUUGCUGAACGGAUUCCAGCUUACUGAUUAAUGCGAGUUCAGAUUGUUUGGCGACCAUAUUUUAUAAGCUUACCGAUUAAUGCGAGUUUAGAUUGUUUGACGAUCAUAUUUUAUAUUCUGAAUUGUUCAUAUACAGCUGAGCGGAUCAGUCUAAAGUGGGUGAAAGAAUCAUUCAGCGCCAUCCUUAUUAGCUUAUAAUACUGUAUGUCAACUUCAAUCUUAUAAAAAUAUAUUUUAUUUGUUUACUAUAUUUUAUAUAUAUGUUGAUUUUAUCCCAAGUUUUGUUCGUAUCAACUGAAAAUAAUAACUCUUUCAAAAAAUUAAAAAUAAUAUAAUAAUAAUCGAUAUAAUUUUUAACUUUAUAAUUAUUUUGAAUAAUAAUAUGUGAAUUUUUUUUAUAUGUCUAAAUAAGUUUUCAUCUUAUUAAAAAUCAAGUGAUAUAUAUUUUAUUCAAGUGAUAUAUAUUGUUUUAGUGAUAAAAAAGUUCACUAAAACAAUUUAUCAUAUUUAUAAUAUAUUAUUCAGAUAUUUCAAAUAUUAUUCAUCAAACAAUAUUAUUCAUUCAGAAUUCAGAUGAUUCAUCCGUUAAGAUCAUUCAGGUAUAUUAAUCAUUCAAUUCAGAUUUGCCAAAUGACCCCUUAUUCUCACACGAUGUUUAAUAUUUUAUUAUUAGAGAGAGAAAAGGAGUGUUGAUAAGAAUUAAUAACAAAAUAUGGACAGGGUAAGGAAAGAUGUACCUCAAAAAUAGGACUUGAGAAGGUUGUCCCAGUGAUAUAAGGCAUCACUAGGACAUUGUUGGAUCAAUUUUUUACAUCAAAUGCCUUAAAUAACAACUUAGGACGACAUAUAUGGAAAUUGUUGGACUUGCUCUAAGUUGUUACUCCUUCCAAGUAUAAAAGAUGAGUAAAGUUAAAUGAAGACGUGGUAAAAUAAUGUGACCUAUUUAUAUUUAAUAAUACAUUUGAAAUAGUGGAGGAAAGUAACAUGUGUAAUAACGUUUAUAUUAUUAUUGCAUAUAGAUAAGAAGAAAGCAAUGGGUAUAAAAGUGUAUUAUAUUAUUAAAAUUAUUAUUUUUAAAAUGUUUAGAAAUAAUGGGGCAUCCAAAAAGAAAACUGUAUAGAAAUGAAAAAGGAAAUACAAUUCAAAAAGUCAUAUAUCUAAAUUCAAACUAGGUAAUAUAUUUAUGAAUUAUAUUAAAAAAAAUAUUUGACAUUCAAAUAUAAAAAUUUAUUUUAUCAUCUCAACAAUGAAUAUUCGAUUAUUAACUUUCGUAAAUAACAUUAAUUUUUCAUUAUAAUAUACUCUAAACUUUUAUUUUAUGUGCCUGUUUGUUUACGAGAAGCUGGAAUUUACUUCUCUUGACUCGUUUGUGUAAAAAAGUAAAAGGUGCUUUUAAAAAGUACUGAGAACGAAAUGGAAGUAGAAAAUGCUAGCUUUUCUUUAUAAUAUCUAUUUCUUUUCCAGACAUUUUAAUAAUUUAUAAUUAUUAAUUUAUUUGUCAUUUCUACUUAUUUUUUUUAGAGAACUUUUUUUAAACUAACCGGCUCCUAUAACUAGUAAUUACUUCUAAAUCACAAAUUACUGAUAAAUCAUCACUUUUAUUAUUAUUAUUAUUAUUAUAUUUUUAAUAACUCAUAAAUUAUUAAUAAGUCAAAAUUAGUCAAACAGAUAUUUUUAAGUUGAGCUUAUGAGAUAACUAACGUUAAGUCUUCUGAGCCCCCAUUGGCUCACAAUUGGCCCAAAAAAUAUUUGGUUAUGCAUUGCUAUUCACACACUUAGACAUCAAAAUUUAUCAUCCGACAGCUAACUGCACACUAUUUUUCCCACAAGCUCAAAAAUCAACGAUCAAUUAAUUUUUUCUUAUCAAUUACUAAUAAAGUUAUGAUUUCACGUACACGGCAGGCAAAAUGCUAAUAAAUAGACGAGUGCAGUAUAGUAUGGGUUCAUGAUCCCCUUGAGAUUUAAUUGAAAAAUAUUAUGGUGAUAUAGAUUAAAUUAAAUUAUAAUAUUUUGAAAAGUUAUAAAUAAUUUUAAUUACUAAUAAUAUUUAUUUGUACAUUUAAAUAUUUUUAUAAAAACACAAUAAUAGCAUUAUACUCAUUUAAGUUUCUCGUAUCCGCCUCCUCUUCUUGGAGAUUGUGGAUUUGCGAUAUUUGUAUUGAUUAUUAUAGGAAAAUGUUAUUUUCAGAGCAAACAUUUUUAUUUCUGGAGCAAAUUCAAUUCCCACUUCCUUGUCCUUGUAGCUACAUAAAUCAUACAACUUCAAUACAAACUUUUCCAAAUUGUUCUGGAAAUUAAAAAAUUGAUAUGGAUAUAACAAUUCCCUUAUUAUAUCCUAUGUAUAUUACAUUAAUGCAAUUAACAUGGUUGGUUGUUUUAGUAUAUAAUUAUAUUAGUGUGGCCUUUUAGUAUAUAAUUAUAUUAUUUUUGUUAUAUUUUAUGCAUCUAGAAACAAUUUUUUUAUGAUAUUUAUUAUAUUAAUUAUAGUAAAAGAUAUAAUUUUGUUUAAAAAAUUGAAUAAAACUAAGAGGGAUAGCCUACGUCUCUCCGAGUCUUCGAGGACUCAUUCCAAGUCCGCAGAGGACCACCGCCUCAACCUUUAAGAGAUGUGAAAGUAGCUUGAGAGAGACAUAAAUUAAUGUUUGAUAAUAAAAUUUAAUAAUCAAAUAAAUUAAAUUAAAUUAAACUAGUUUAUAGUAAUCGAUUAAAAAUAUAUAAAUCAAAAUUAUUCCUGAAUUAUGAUAACAAUUAAAAUCAUAUUAAAAGUUGCAAAAAUCAAACCCAAAUCGAACAAAUUCCCCUAACACUAAAAUGUAGUUGCUUUAUUGUAGAUAAAAACAGUAUAAUAAUCGUAUUGAUGAAAAAUCAAAUUCAUCAAAUAAGUUUAUAAAAAAUACAUGAUUUUAGUGUGUUGUAUUAGUAGUGUGUCCACGCAUUUAUAUAUUAAAAUCUAUCCUCUAAAAACUAUCGAUCUAUUUACACAACUAUUGAUCUGUCGUGCAACAAAUUCCACGGAGAAGUUCCAAAGAGAGCUUAAAUGGCUUGCAUUGCUCAAUCUAUCUCAUAAUAGUCUUAACGACAUAUGUUCUGAAUUAUUAUUAUGCUUUCAACAAUAUUUUCAAACAUUUCUUAAUAUGUAUUUUCAAAGAAUUAAGAGAAUGCACAAAAAUUAAGAGAGAUUGCUCUGGGUCUCCCCAAGCCUUUCAGGACUCAUUCCAAGUCUUCCUAGGACCACUGCCUCACCCUUUCAAAGAUGUGAUAAUAGCUCGAGAGUAAUAUAAAUUAAUUUACGGACACUAAAAAUAAAAAAUCAGAUCAAAUUAAUCAAUAAUAAAUUAAGGAUGAAAUCCAAAUUAAUCCUAAAUUUUGAUAAUAUAUAAAUAUUAUAAUUAUAAAUUAUAUAACCAAAUCAGAAUUGAAUUAACUUACUUGGCACUAAAAUUGAUAAAGACAGAAUAAUAAUUUAAUCGAUGAAAAGUCAAAGUCUUCUAAUAAAUCCAUAAAAGAUAUGAUAAUCCAAAUAACACACUUAUAUAUCAAAAUUUAUGGUCCAAAAACUAUAGCAAAAUAUCCUAAAUACACCACAUUAAAUAAUAGUUCAAAAAUAUUCAAUAAACAAUUGUUUUCAUUCAUAAUUUUGUUAUUUUAAAAACUAAUAAUUUGGUUGAUGUUAACCUAUAUUUUAAUAUAUAAUUAUAUUAUUUUCAUCUUAUUUUAUUUAACCAGAAACAAUAUUUUUAUAAUAUUUAUUACUUUAUUUAUAUUAAAAUAUAUAAUUUCAUUAAAAAAAUUGAAUAAAAUUAAGAGAAUAACUCUAUGCCUCUCUAAGUCUACAAGACUCAUUUCAAGUCUACCGAGGACUACUACCUCAACCAUCGAGAGAUGUGAAAGUAUAGUUUGAGAGUGACAUAAAUUAUUUUCCUGACAAUAAAAUUUAAUAUCUAAUAUAAAUUAAUUAAAUUAGAUAAUAAUAAAUCAAAACUAAUUAUGAAUUAUGAUAAUAAUUAAAUAAAUUAUAAUUAAAUUAUAUAAAUCAACUCCAAAUGUACAAAUAACACUAAACCUUGGUUACUUUGUUGGUAAAUAAAUAUAAUAUAAUAAUCAAAUUGAUGAGAAAUCAAAAUCAUCUAAUAAAUUCACAAAAAAUAUAUAAUCAGUAUAUUAUAUUAGUAUCCACACACUUAUAUUUCAAAAUCUAUCCUCCGAACUUAUCAUCUCUGUAAACUACCCACAUAAAAUAAAAAUUUAAAGAUAUUAGAUAUUUAGUUAUUUUCAUUAUAUAUAAUUUUUCCACACUAAAUAACAAAAUAUCUUUAUCAAAUUAUUAUUUAUAAGUUUUUUGAAUAUCAGAUUCAUAACCCAGUUGAUCAGGAGAAACAUGGCCUACUCUGCAAAGCCUUCUCACCUUCUUCUCUUUGUUUUCUUUCUCUCAUCACUUGAAUCCAUUCUUGCAACAACACAAGAGGGAGAAGCUCUUGUGAAGUGGAAGAAUAGCCUAGCCCCUUCUUCUUUUCUCGACUCUUGGUCACUCACCAAUCUCGAAAAUCUUUGUAACUGGACUGGCAUUACUUGUAACUCUGCAGGUUCAGUCUCGGAGAUUAACCUUUGUGAGAAACAACUUGAUGGAAUGCUGUCCGAGUUUGGUUUCACUUCAUUUCCAAAUCUCAACAAUCUCAUCCUCGCAGAUAACUUCUUCUCGGGUCCCAUACCACCGGCCAUUGAGAAUUUAACACAGCUUCGAUUUCUUGAUUUAAGCUUUAAUUCUCUCCAUGGUCCCAUUCCGUUCCAGGUUAGCCAUCUUCAGAGCUUGCUCAUCUUAAACCUGUCACAGAAUGCAUUGCAAGCUCCAAAUUGGUCCCAUUUCUCUCCCAUGCCUUUCUUGCGCAUCCUCAACCUCAGUUACAAUCCUCUUGCGUCGAAAUUCCCAUAUUUUAUAUCCAAUUCUCAUAGCCUGACUCACCUUAGCCUUAAUUAUAACGAGUUUACUGGUGAUUUAGUACGUGAAUCAGUAUUUGCCAAUCUGCAUAAUCUUGAAGUGCUCAGUCUUGUUGGCAAUUCUUUUGAGGGGCCAUUUCCGCCGGAUGUAGUCCAGCUUUCCAAAUUAAAACGUCUCUUCCUGUCAGGUAACAAAUUUUCAGGUUCAAUUCCCAAUGACAUAAGGUUGCUUUGUGAUCUUGAAUACCUAUAUUUAGGCAACAAUUCCUUUGAAGGACCGCUUCCACCAAAUAUAUUCAAGCUUUCAAAAUUAAAAAAUCUUGUUAUUUGGAGUAAUAAGUUUUCAGGUUCUAUUUCCAAUGAUAUAGGUUUGCUUUCUGAGCUUGACACCCUCAAUCUUCGCUCUAAUUUUUUUAAGGGUCCGCUUCCGUCAAAUAUAUUCAAGCUUUCCAAAUUAACAAGUCUUGACCUCGCAGACAAUAGAAAUUUAUUUGAAGGAAGUAUUCCUAUUGGACUGGGACUCUUGACUAACCUCAGGUUCUUAGAUCUACAUUCCAGUAAUCUCAGUGGCUAUAUUCCAUCUGACAUUGGAAACCUGAAGCUACUAGUACUUCUUAAUCUCGGUUCUAAUAAAUUGACUGGACCGCUUUUAAAGAUCGUUUCUAAUCUCACAAAUCUUAUAUAUUUUGAUGUAAGUGAUAAUAGUCUUCGUGGAAAUAUUCAGAGUGACUUGUGGAUAUAUAACGAUCAUCCAACUUUGGAAUACAUCAAUUUAAGUGGGAACCAUUUUACGGGUAUAGUUUUUCUCUAUAGAUCUUUUCCUUUUGUCAUAUGUAACUAAGCUAGUAAUCUGGUUAUUGCAGUUUUACCAAAGUUUCAACAAUCUUGACAGGUGAGCUUCCAACAACAAUUUGCAAUGUCACUUCCCUUUCAAUUCUUGAUUUGUCAAAUAAUGAAUUAAGUGGUGCACUUCCAAACUGUUUCGGGAAUCUUGCUGAUGGAUUGCUUUACAUUAAUCUUGCUAAUAAUCAGUUUCGAGGAACAAUACCAACUACUUUCUCCAGGAGUUGUCAGCUGACAUAUCUAAACAUGGAUGAUAAUGAGUUUGAAGGAUUGUUGCCCCCAUCUUUGGCGAACUGUAAGCACUUGAAAAUUUUUGAUAUUGGCAAUAAUAAAAUAGGUGGUACAUUUCCGUCAUGGCUUUAUGCACUUGGAGAGCUAGAAGUCCUUGUCUUGCGAUCAAAUAAACUCUGUGGUACAAUAAGUGGAAGGAGCAUAGAAGAUCCCUUCCCCAAGUUGCGGAUUGUGGAUCUGUCCAACAACCACUUCACAGGCCAUUUGCCAAUUCAAUACUUUAAGAAUAUGAAAUCAACUGAUAAUUUGUAUAGUUAUCAGCUUUUCACAGCAGUUUUUUCUUUCCAUUAUGAAGCAGCAGUCUCAUUAAUUGUGAAGGGAACAGAGUAUGAAGUGGCAAAUAACCUUCAUAUUUACACAGCCAUUGAUCUGUCGUGCAACAAAUUUCAGGGAGAAAUUCCAAAGGUUACUGGAGAGCUUAGAUGGCUUGCAUUGCUCAACUUAUCUCAUAAUAGUCUAACAGGACCUAUCCCAUCAUUGCUGGGAAAUAUGAAAGAACUCCAAUCUUUAGAUUUGUCUUCAAAUCAACUGACAGGGGCCAUUCCACCUCAGCUAACUGCAUUGACAUUUCUAGAGGUCUUAAACCUCUCGGGAAACCAUCUUAGUGGAGAGAUUCCUCAGAAAGGACAGUUCAGCACAUUUAACAAUGAUUCUUAUCUAGGAAACUCCGCGUUAUGUGGAUCACCUUUGACGAAGAAAUGUGCAAACACAGCAUCACCUCCACAAGAAGUCGGAAAUGGUGAUGAAGANGAUUUGUCUUCAAAUCAACUGACAGGGGCCAUUCCACCUCAGCUAACUGCAUUGACAUUUCUAGAGGUCUUAAACCUCUCGGGAAACCAUCUUAGUGGAGAGAUUCCUCAGAAAGGACAGUUCAGCACAUUUAACAAUGAUUCUUAUCUAGGAAACUCCGCGUUAUGUGGAUCACCUUUGACGAAGAAAUGUGCAAACACAGCAUCACCUCCACAAGAAGUCGGAAAUGGUGAUGAAGAAGAUGGUGGUGAUGAAUUGACAUGGGAAGCAAUCGUGAUGGGAUAUGGAUGUGGACUGAUAUGUGGAUUGUCAUCGGCAUACAUUGUUCUCAAACUAGGAAAGCCUUGGUGGUUUGUGAGAUAUAUCGAAGUACUGCAACAGAAGUUGAUGAAAAGAUGCUUGAAGAAAGGUACUGGUCGAUCAAGACGAACUUGAAAGUUGUUGUCCAUGUGGACAUUUCUGAACCAGUAGUGUACUAGCUGCAUAAGUAUUUGGUAUUAUGUAAUAUUCUGUUUGGUGGGGAAUCAUAAUAAUUUUUCUUCCUGUAGGGGUAUUAAUAUUAACCUUGUUAUCUUGAUCAAUGUUAAUGCAAAUUAAAAUGAAUGAAAAAACAAAAAAUAUGCAUCAAAUCCACUCCUGCUGUACCAAGAUCCAUUAAUUUGCUUUGGUCUUUUACAUAACAAUUUAACAGCGCACUUCCCCACUGUUUGAAAGAAUUUAAUAAUAAACUCGAGUUUUCCAGGACUGCACCAAGUUCACAUAUUCAAUAUCACACAUUCCAGUCUCAGCUUCAGCUCCCAGGGUAGAAGAGAAGUUUUAUGUACAAUAACAGUUAAUUACCAUAGCUACUUUAGUCUUGGUUCAGUUUUUGCAGAGAUAAUUACCAGAUUUUGAAAUCCUUCAUGUGAGGAAACAAAUAUCGAGAGACAUUUCUGUUUACAAAUAUAGGUUUUCUAGACAUAAUUACAGGAACUUUUACCAUUAUACACUUUUAUAGUACUGGUUAAGAGUUUGUUGUUCAGCCUAGUGAAAGAAAUAAUUCCUCUGCUAUUUCAUUAACAUUGCUGGUAUAUAUACAAUGUACAACACACCCUUCAAGGCUAUAAUCAGGGAACCUAAAAUAUAUCCAAAACUAAUCAUAGAAACAGACUAACUAAUUACAAUAAAUCAUAUCCAGAAAUAUCUCCACAGAUGUCGCAUAGAUAUCUUUAACACACCCCCUCAGUCGAAGCGGGAGGUAAACGAACACUGAGACUGUCUCUGAAGUCUUCAAAAAGAACACGCGGAAGACCUUUUGUAAAAAUAUCUGCUACUUGAUAUCUGGAUGGCACAUGAAGAACCCGUACUUCACCUCGUGCAACUUUUUCCCGAACAAAGUGAAUAUCCAUCUCAAUGUGUUUAGUACGUUGGUGUUGUACUGGAUUACCCGAUAAAUAAAUAGCACUGACAUUGUCGCAAUACACCACAGUUGCCUUUGUAACUGGACAAUGCAAUUCCAACAACAGAUUUCGGAGCCAACAUGAUUCAGAGACCACAUUAGCUACACCCCUAUACUCGGCCUCUGCACUGGAUUUGGAAAGAGUCGGUUGUCGCUUAGAAGACCAGGAAAUCAAGUUGUCACCCAAAAACACACAAUACCCAGAUGUAGACCGCCUCGUGUCGGGGCACCCACCCCAGUCAGCGUCAGUAUAUGAAACAAGAGAGGACUGUGAAGAGGAAUAGAGAUGUAAACCAUAGUCCUGUGUUCCUUGAAUGUACCUAAUGAUUCUUUUAAGAGCUUGCAUAUGAGUAACCCGUGGAUCAUGCAUGUGCAGACAUACUUGUUGAACCGCAUAAGAAAUAUAUGGACGUGUGAAAGUCAGAUAUUAAAGUGCCCCAGCAAGACUCCGAUACAAUGAAGGAUUCUCAAACACAGAACCAACAGACGCACUAACCUUGGCCUUCGUAUCAACUGGUGUAGGUGAUGAUUUACAAGAGGACAUGCCAGCCCUCUCAAUUAUCUGUUGUGCAUAAUUCUUCUGUGACAGAAACAUGCCAGCCUUAUGACGAGUGACUGAUAUACCAAGAAAAGAACUCAAGGGGCCAAGAUCCUUCAUAGCAAAUUCUGAACUAAGAAGCUUUAUAAUCGAGACACGGAGAUCAUCAGACGACGCAGUGAGAAUUAUGUCAUCGACGUAAACCAGAAUAUAGGCCAUGUGAGAACCGUUGCGAUAAACGAAUAAUGAGGUGUCACAUUUGCUUCUAAUGAAACCAAUAGACAGAACAAAAUCAGCAAACUUCUCAGACCAAGUCCGGGGGGACUGCCUCAGGCCAUAAAUUGAUUUACGUAACAAACACACAUAAUCCGGAUGAGCACGAUCACGAUACCCCAAAGGUUGAUGCAUAUAUAUUGUUUCCUUUAAGUCACCAUGAAGGAAGGCAUUCUUUACAUCUAGCUGAUGAAUUGACCAGCCAUUCGAAAGAGAGAGAGAAAGCACUGUGCGGAUUGUAGCUGGUUUCACUACCGAGCUAAAAGUUUCGCCACAAUCAAUACCCACCAGCUGAGUUUUUCCAUUUCCGACAAGGCGAGCUUUAUGCCUCUGAAACACACCAUCCGAAUUUUCUUUAUGAGCAAAAACCCACAUAGACCGAAUAACAUUAACAUCAGGUGGACGGGGCACCAAAUCCCAUGUCUUAUUUUGAAUAAGUGCAUUAUACUCCUCAUCCAUGGCUAUUUUCCAAUUCGGGUCCCGAAGAGCAUCAACAGGGCUAUGUGGUAAAGGUGACCGAGGAGCUGUUGUGUUAUAUGCAUGAUCAGAAUAUCGCAUAUUUGGUUUAAAAAUACCUCGUUGGCUCCUGGUAACCAUUGGGUGCUGGUUUAUAGGAGUAGGGGAAGAUGUUGAUGUUUGUGGACUCGAGGAGGAAGAUGAACUCAAUGAGGAGGGAGAUGGCGACGUUGAUGAAAGUAAGGGAGAGGAGGAUUGGUUUGAGAGUACUGGACUCGGUGAAAGAGAAUGAGGAGAACUCCCAGGGGAAGGUGAGAAACUACCAUGUCGUGUCUCAUGUGUGUGAGUACUGUCUGGGUGAGCAGACACAGACACAGAAGGACUUUGAUUUUGCAGAUGAUACACUGAAUAAGGUGAUAAGCCAUCUGCUAAAAAAUCAUAGGUAGAAGUGGAUGAAUCAUGUAACUUAGCAAACGGAAACACAUGCUCGUCAAAUAACACAUGGCGACAAAUUAUAAUCUGUGCUGUGAUGAUAAAUCAUAACAUUUGUAACCACGGUGAUUAGCCGGAAACCCCAAGAAAACACAAGGUGUUGAACGAGAUUGCAAUUUAUUAAUUGUGGUAGAGGGAAUGAGAGGAUAGCACAAGCAACCAAAGACCCGAAUGUGAGAAAAUGAGGGAACCCGUUGAUAUAGGAUUUCAAGAGGUGAUAAAUUGCCUAAGACCUUGUUCGGAAGAACAUUUAGAAGAUAGGUGGCCAUUUGUAAUGCAUGAUUCCAAAAAGAUGAAGGAAGAGAUGCAUGAGCUAAGAGUGUUCGAGUGACAUUAUUAAUAGUUCGAAUUUUUCUUUCUGCUUUCCCAUUUUGAGAAGAAGUAUGAGGACAAGACAACCGAAAAGUCAUGCCAUUGUUCUUAAAAAAAUCCCAGAAAUGAUGAUUAGUAAAUUCCCUCCCAUUAUCGCAUUGCACAUUUUUAAUGGUACACUCGAAUUGGGUGAGAAUAUGAUUGUGAAACGCCACAAAUUUAUCAAAGACAUCAGAUUUCUUAGCAAUUGGAAAAGUCCAAAGAAAAUUGGAGAAAUCAUCUAAUAACACAAGAUAGUACUUAUGACCCAUAGUACUCAAAACCGGAGAUGUCCAAAGAUCACAAUGAAUUAUAUCAAAUGGCUUUAAAGUACUUGAACUAGACGAAACAAAUGGCAUCUUGAUAUGUUUUCCAAACACACAAGAUCGACAAAUGCUAGAAUGUGAAAGCUUAGAACAAUGAAUGCUUUUAUUGAGUCGAAGAGCAUCCAAAACUUGUGCACCGGGAUGGCCUAAACGAUCAUGCCAAAGAGAGGAAUUGAUGGCUGCAAAAGUAGAAUGAAGAGCUCGAUUGUUGAUAGAUUGUGUAAGAGGAUAAAGAUCGCCUUGGCUCUCACAUCUCAUUAUUAGCACUCACGUCUGUAAAUCCUUCACAGAAAACCCAAAAGGAUCAAAUUCCACCGUAACAGAAUUAUCAGUGGUAAAUUUGCGAACAGAAAUAAGGUUUUUAACAAUUUUGGGAGCGUGGAGGACAUUUUUAAGGGACAAAGGAAGGCCAGGAGAUGGUAAUGCAGUAUGACCAUAUCCUUGAAUUGAAAUAAUAUUGCCAUCACCCACAACAAUGCCAUUAUGAUGAGAAUUAUGUUGAUUGCUCAAAUUAACAUAGGACGAGAAAUUACCAUUUGAGGAUGUCAUAUGAGAUGUAGCACCAGUAUCCAUGUACCACGACGGAUCAGGUUGAUUGAGAGUCAUGGUAUGCAUUGCAGAUUCAAUAUCCGUUGGAACAAAAGAAGCUGACUGCCCAACCGUUGUUCCUGUGAAAGCCUGCUGUGGUCGAGGACCAAGAACUCCAGGCUGUGGUUGUUGAACUCCCGUGGAACGGGGCUGAGUCCAGCCCUGAGUUGGGAAUGGACAAGGGGGAGCGGACCAUCCCUGCAUCCAAGGUGGAGCAGCCAAGAUUGGAAAUAACCCGGUGCCCACUGUUGUGAACCCCAUUGCAUCCUAUUCUGUUGUUGUCCACCACCACGGCCUUGACCCAUACGACCCCCACCAGAACCACGACCUCCACCUGAACCAGAUCGUUUAUUAUUUUUCCUGUGGUUAUUAUGCUUAUUGCCACGGGGAGGUGCGGAUCCCUGAUUCGAGCCUGUGUCGUCAAAAUCCGUCUGUGAGGCAACCAACAUUGCAGAGUCAGACCCUGUGGCAGCUUCUUUUGCUAAAGCAGCCUCCUCUAAUGUUAACAUAGACCGGGCUUGAUAGAAUUGUGGGAGAGGGUCACUCUGUCGAAUUAAGGUCCCAACACCACGGUAUGCCCUUGGAAGGCCGGAAACCAGUUGAAUAACAAGUCUACUAUCCGAGAUUGGUGCACCAACAUUUUUCAGUUGAUCAGCAAGAGAUUUGAGACGCUGACAGUAAGCCGAAACAUUCGGAAAAUUCUCCAUUUUUGUACUGGAGAAUUCAGCCUCCAAAGUUACCACACGGGAAUUCUUGUUGUCCUGGAAUAUGUCACGCAACCUGUUCCAUGCCUCCAUAGCAGUGGCAUCUGGUUCAAUGAUCGUAUGUAAAAGAUCAUUGGAGAUAGUCGCAUAAAUCCAAGACAGAACCGUAGCAUCAAGCGUCGACCACAAUUCCUUUUCAUCCUCAGUAGAAAGAACCUUCUCUUUGCCUGUGGCAGGAGGAAUAAUAUGAGAAAGCACCUUAUGAGAACGUGCGGUAAUUUUGAAAAGCUCCGCCCAUGUCGAGUAUUGACCAUUCUCCAUCUCAAGAAUAAUGGGGAUAUGAUUGCGGAUAUUUGACACCGCAAGAGCUGGAUGAAAGGAGCUCUUGUUACCAGACAUUGGCUGCUGAUUAGUUGUAUCAGUCAUGAUAAUGAGAAAAGAAAAGAAGAUGAGUGCUUAGCGGAAGAAAAGAAAGAAAGAAAGAUCGUGGUAUUGCCUUAAGGCUCUGAUACCAUGAAAGAAAUAAUUCCUCUGCUAUUUCAUUAACAUUGCUGGUAUAUAUACAAUGUACAACACACCCUUCAAGGCUAUAAUCAGGGAACCUAAAAUAUAUCCAAAACUAAUCAUAGAAACAGACUAACUAAUUACAAUAAAUCAUAUCCAGAAAUAUCUCCACAGAUGUCGCAUAGAUAUCUUUAACACCUAGUCCUAAACUAAAAUUAUCAGUUCGAUGUGAAAUACGAAAUCAUAUUGCAGACGUCAUUCGUUGUUCCACCUAGUCCAAAACUACUCUAAAACUAUAUUGCUGGUAGUCUUUCAGUUCAUCCUACUGUAUGCAAUAGUUUCAUAUAUAGGUAACUCGGCCUUGUGUGGACUUCCUUUAACAAAAAAAUGUCUGCACUCAGUGUCACCACCACUGGAAGUCGAAAAUAGUGAUGAUGAAGAUGAUGCUCAUGGUGAACUUAAUUGGGAAGUAAUCCUGACGGGAUGUGGAUGUGGAUUGAUUUGCGGAUUGUCUUCUGGGUACAUUGUUUUCAAAAUAGAAAGGCCUUGGUGAUUUCUGCAAAGUGCUGCAACUUAAGUUGAUGUUACGAAGCACGAAAAAUAUUGUUCGACCAAGAUCAACAACUUGAAAAUGUGUUCUGAAUCUGUAUUAAUAUUAAAAUAUUAUAAUAUUAUUCAUUUAACACUAUCGUCCAAUCAAUUUAAUUGAUUAUCAUUUAAUCAAUAUAUUAGAUAAAUAUUAAUUGUCUUCCUUACCUCUAACCAAUGAUGAAAUUAAUAACCUCCCUAUAAAUCUAUUAAGACAGCUUUGAGUUGUCAAAGUCCUCAAACAUAUUAAACACUUUGAAAAAUUUGUUUCUGCAAGUCAAAAUUGCAAACAACACUUUGAAAACUUAGGUGCCGAAUAGUCCUUAUAUUGGAUUAAUCAGAUUUAAAUAUUUAAUGGCGCUAACAAAAUCUGUUGAAGUUAGCAGUUAUAAGGCAUAUAAUUAGAAAAAUGGCACAGUAUAUAAAGCCUCAUCAUCUUUUUCACUCUGUUUUAUUUCUCUCAUUACUUCCAUCCAUUCUUACAACACUAGCUGAAACAAGACGAGAGGGAGAAGCUCUUGUGAAAUGGAAGAAUAGCCUAGCCCCGUCUUCUUUUCUCGAUACUUGGUCACUAACCAAUCUCGAUGAUCUUUGCAACUGGACUGGCAUUACUUGUAACUCUGCAGGUUCAGUCUCUGAGAUUAACCUUAAACAAAAACAACUCAGUGGAACGAUUUCUGAGUUUGGUUUCACUUCAUUUCCAAAUCUCAACAAUCUGAACAUAGCACGAAACAACUUUUACGGUCCAAUACCACCAGCCAUUAAGAAUUUGACACAGCUUCAAUACCUUGAUUUAAGCUUUAAUCAUCUCAACGGUUCCAUCCCGUACCAGGUUAGCCAUCUUCAGAAAUUACAAAUCUUACACCUGUCGCAUAAUGAAUUGCAAGCUCCAAAUUGGUCCAAUUUCUCUUCCAUGCCUUUUUUGCGCAUCCUCGGCCUCGGCAGCAAUAAUCUGGAGUCAGAAUUCCCAGAAUUUAUAUCCAACUCUCAUGGCCUCACUUUCCUUGACCUUUCUUUUAACAAGUUUACAGGUGAUCUUGUGCAUGAAUCAAUUUUUACCGAUCUACGUAAUCUCGAAAACCUCCAUCUUGCUAAAAAUUACUUUGAGGGGCCGAUUCUACCUAGUAUAUUUAAGCUUUCCAAUUUAAAAAUUCUUGAACUAUCAGGUAAUAAAUUUUCUGGUUCUAUUUCCAACUAUAUAGGUUUGCUUUCGGAGCUUGAGACCCUCUAUCUUGACUUCAAUUUUUUUGAAGGACCAAUUCCACCAAAUAUAUUCAACCUUUCUAAACUAAAAAUUCUUGAACUAACAGGUAAUAACUUUUCAGGUCCUGUUUCUAAUGAUAUAAGUUUGCUUUCCGAGCUUGAAAACCUCAAUCUUGCCUUAAAUUCUUUUGAUGGGCCUUUUCCAUCAAAUAUGUUCAACCUAACCAUAUUGAGACAUCUAAAUCUCUAUGGCAAUAAAAAUUUAUUUAAAGGAAGUAUCCCACUGGAUAUCAAAAUAAGUCACAAGGACUAAUUAAUUACAUCUAUGAAGCAUCUAUCUCCUUAAAUGUGAAAGGAACAGAGUAUGAAGUGAAAAACAUUCUUCAUAUUUACACAACCAUUGAUCUGUCAUGCAACAAAUUUCAUGGACAUGUUCCAAAGAGAGCUUAAUUAAAUGGCUUGCAUUGCUCAAUCUAUCUCAUAAUAGUCUUAACAGACAUAUGUUCUGCAUUAUUAUUAUACUUUCAUCAAUAUUUUUAAACANAACAAAAACAACUCAGUGGAACGAUUUCUGAGUUUGGUUUCACUUCAUUUCCAAAUCUCAACAAUCUGAACAUAGCACGAAACAACUUUUACGGUCCAAUACCACCAGCCAUUAAGAAUUUGACACAGCUUCAAUACCUUGAUUUAAGCUUUAAUCAUCUCAACGGUUCCAUCCCGUACCAGGUUAGCCAUCUUCAGAAAUUACAAAUCUUACACCUGUCGCAUAAUGAAUUGCAAGCUCCAAAUUGGUCCAAUUUCUCUUCCAUGCCUUUUUUGCGCAUCCUCGGCCUCGGCAGCAAUAAUCUGGAGUCAGAAUUCCCAGAAUUUAUAUCCAACUCUCAUGGCCUCACUUUCCUUGACCUUUCUUUUAACAAGUUUACAGGUGAUCUUGUGCAUGAAUCAAUUUUUACCGAUCUACGUAAUCUCGAAAACCUCCAUCUUGCUAAAAAUUACUUUGAGGGGCCGAUUCUACCUAGUAUAUUUAAGCUUUCCAAUUUAAAAAUUCUUGAACUAUCAGGUAAUAAAUUUUCUGGUUCUAUUUCCAACUAUAUAGGUUUGCUUUCGGAGCUUGAGACCCUCUAUCUUGACUUCAAUUUUUUUGAAGGACCAAUUCCACCAAAUAUAUUCAACCUUUCUAAACUAAAAAUUCUUGAACUAACAGGUAAUAACUUUUCAGGUCCUGUUUCUAAUGAUAUAAGUUUGCUUUCCGAGCUUGAAAACCUCAAUCUUGCCUUAAAUUCUUUUGAUGGGCCUUUUCCAUCAAAUAUGUUCAACCUAACCAUAUUGAGACAUCUAAAUCUCUAUGGCAAUAAAAAUUUAUUUAAAGGAAGUAUCCCACUGGAUAUCAAAAUAAGUCACAAGGACUAAUUAAUUACAUCUAUGAAGCAUCUAUCUCCUUAAAUGUGAAAGGAACAGAGUAUGAAGUGAAAAACAUUCUUCAUAUUUACACAACCAUUGAUCUGUCAUGCAACAAAUUUCAUGGACAUGUUCCAAAGAGAGCUUAAUUAAAUGGCUUGCAUUGCUCAAUCUAUCUCAUAAUAGUCUUAACAGACAUAUGUUCUGCAUUAUUAUUAUACUUUCAUCAAUAUUUUUAAACAUUUCUCAAUAUGUAUUUUCAAAGAAUUCUCAAGCACUUGAACAUUUGGACCGGUUCUUUCGAAGCCAAGAUGCCCAGGUUAUAUCAUGGCCAUACACAAAAAUGCCCAAAAAUAAAUAAAUUAAGAGAGAUUGCUCUGGGUCUCCCCAAGCCUUCCAGGACUCAUUCCAAGUCUUCUGAGGACCACUGCCUCGCCCUUUCAAAGACGUGAUAGUAGCUCAAGAGUGAUAUAAAUUACUUUCCGGACACUAAAAAUAAAUAAUCCGAUCAAAUUAAUUAAUAAUAAAUUAAGGAUGAAAUCCAAAUUAGUCCUAAAUUUUGAUAAUAUAUAAAAAUUAUAAUUAUAAAUUAUAUAACCAAAUGAGAAUUGAAUUAACUUACUUGGUACUAAAAUUGAUAAAUACAGUAUAGUAAUUUAAUUGAUGAAAAGUCAAAGUCUUCUAAUAAAUCCAUAAAGAAUAUGAAAAUCAAAAUAACGAAAAUUAUAAUUGAAAAAUCAAAAUCAAUAGUGUAUUGGAAUAUUGUUCACACACUUAUAUAUCAAAAUUUGUGGUCCAAAAAUUAUAGCACAAUAUCCUAAAUACACCACAUUAAAUAAUAGUUCAAAAAUAUUCAAUAAAUAAUUGUUUUCAUUCAUAAUUUUGUUAUUUUAAAAACUAAUAAUUUGGUUGAUGUUAACCUAUAUUUUAAUAUAUAAUUAUAUUAUUUUCAUGUUAUUUUAUUUAACCAAAAACAAUAUUUUUAUAAUAUUUAUUACAUUAAUUAUAUUAAAAGAUAUAAUUUCAUUAAAAAAAUUGAAUAAAAUUAAGAGGAUAACUCUAUGCCUCUCCAAGUCUACAAGACUCAUUUCAAGUCUACCGAGGACCACUACCAUUGAGAGAUGUGAAAGUAGUUUGAGAGUGACAUAAAUUAUUUUCCUGACAAUAAAAUGUAAUAUCUAAUAUAAAUUAAUUAAAUUAGAUAAUAAUAAAUCAAAACUAAUCAUGAAUUAUGAUAAUAAUUAAAUAAAUUAUAAUUAAAUUAUAUAAAUCAACUCCAAAUGAUACAAAUAACACUAAACCUUAGUUACUUUAUUGGUAAAAUAAAUAUAAUAUAAUAAUUAAAUUGAUGAAAAAUCAAAAUCAUCUAAUAAAUUCACAAAAAAUAUAUGAUCAUUAGUAUAUUAUAUCAGUAUCCACACACUUAUAUUUCAAAAUCUAUCCUACAAAAUUAUCAUCUCUGUAAACUAGCCACAAAAAAUAAAAAUUUAAAGAUAUUAGAUAUUUAGUUAUUUUCAUUAUAUAAUUUUUCCACACUAAAUAACAAAAUAUCUUUAUCAAAUUAUUAUUUAUGAAUUAAAUAUUCAAGUUAUAAUUCCAGCAUGCAGCGUAUAAAUAGAAGUGUGCAGUAUGAUAUCAGAUUCAUAACCCAGUUGAGGAGAAACAUGGCACACUCUGUGAAGCCUUCUCACCUUCUUCUCUUUGUUUUCUUUCUCUCAUCACUUGAAUCCAUUCUUGCAACAACACGAGAGGGAGAAGCUCUUGUGAAAUGGAAGAAUAGCCUAGCCCCUUCUUCUUUUCUCGACUCUUGGUCCCUCACCAAUCUCGAUAAUCUUUGUAACUGGACUGCCAUUACUUGUAACUCUGCAGGUUCAGUCUCUAAGAUUAACCUUUUUGAGAAACAACUUAAUGGAAUGCUGUCCGAGUUCGGUUUCACUUCAUUUCCAAAUCUCAACUAUCUCACACUCGCAGACAACUUCUUCUCGGGUCCGAUACCACCAGCCAUUGAGAAUUUAACACAGCUUCAAUAUCUUGAUUUAAGCAUGAAUAGUCUUAAUGGUCCCAUUCCGUUCCAGGUUAGCCAUCUUCAGAGCUUGCUCAUCUUGAACCUGUCACAGAAUGCAUUGCAAGCUCCAAAUUGGUCCCAUUUCUCUCCCAUGCCUUUCUUGCGCAUCCUCGACCUUAGUUUUAAUAAUCUUGUGUCGAAAUUCCCAGAAUUUAUAUCCAAUUCUCAUAGCCUGACUCACCUUAACCUUUCAAAUAACAAGUUUACUGGUCAUCUUGUGCAUAAAUUUACCAAUCUACAAAAUCUUGAAACCCUCUACCUUCAGAUCAAUUCUUUUGAGGGGCCGUUUCCACCAGAUAUAGUCCAGCUUUCCAAAUUAAAACGACUCUCCCUGUCAUGUAACAAAUUUUCAGGUUCAAUUCCCAAUGACGUAAGGUUGC